CUCCAGAGCAUUCACCUCCACCACCGCCUCCAGUUUACAAGUCACCCCCGCCACCUUACCACUACUCCUCACCACCACCUCCAGUGCAUUCGCCUCCUCCACCACCUUACCACUAUUUAUCACCACCACCUCCAGUGCAUUCUUCUCCACCACCACCGGUUUACAAGUCACCUCCACCACUAUCUCCAUUUUACAAGUCCCCACCACCACCUUACCAUUAUUCCUCGCCACCACCUCCAGUGCAUUCACCUCCACCGCCACCAGUUUACAAGUCACCUCCACCACCUCCUCCAGUUUAUAAGUCCUCGCCAUCACCUUACCAUUAUUCCUCACCACCACCUCCAGUGCAUUCACCCCCACCACCACCAGUUUACAAGUCCCGCCACCACCUUACCAUUAUUCCUCACCACCACCUCCUGUGCAUUCACCUCCACCACCAUUUACAAGUCACCUCCACCACCUCCUCCAGUUUACAAGUCUCCACCACCACCUUACCAUUAUUCCUCACCACCACCUCCAGUGCAUUCACCCCCACCACCACCAGUUUACAAGUCCCGCCACCACCUUACCAUUAUUCUCACCACCACCUCCAGUGCAUUCACCUCCACCAAUUUCCACCAAGUCACCUCCACCACCUCCUCCUCCAGUUCCUACCAAGUGCAUUCCACCAACACCACCUUACCAUUAUUCCUCACCACCACCUCCAGUGCAUUCACCCCCACCACACCAGUUUACAAGUCCCGCCACCACCUUACCAUUAUUUCUCACCACCACCUCCAGUGCAUUCACCUCCACCACCACCGGUUUACAAGUCACCUCCACCACCUCCUCCAGUUUACAAGUCCCCGCCACCACCUUACCAUUAUUCUCACCACCACCUCCAGUGCAUUCACCCCACCAUCACCAGUUUACAAGUCUCGCACCACCUUACCAUUAUUUCUCACCACCACCUCCAGUGCAUUCACCUCCACCACCACCGGUUUACAAGUCACCUCCACCACCUCCUCCAGUUUACAAGUCUCCACCACCACCUUACCAUUAUUCCUCACCACCACCUCCAGUGCAUUCACCCCAACCAUCACCAGUUUACAAGACACCUCCACCACCUCUUCUAGUUUACAAGUCUCCACCACCACCUUACCAUUAUUCCUCACCACCACCUCCAGUGCAUUCACCCCCACCACCACCAGUUUACAAGUCUCCGCCACCACCUUACCAUUAUUCCUCACCACCACCUCCUGUGCAUGCACCUCUACCACCAAUUUACAAGUCACCUCCACCACCUCCUCCUCCAGUUUACAAGUCUCCACCACCACCUUACCAUUAUUCCUCACCACCACCUCCAGUGCAUUCACCCCCACCACCACCAGUUUACAAGUCUCCGCCACCACCUUACCAUUAUUCCUCACCACCACCUCCGUGCAUUCACCUCCACCACCACCGGUUUACAAGUCACCUCCACCACCUCCUCCAGUUUACAAGUCCCCCCACCACCUUACCAUUAUUCCUCACCACCACCUCCAGUGCAUUCACCCCCACCACCACCAGUUUACAAGUCUCCGCCACCACCUUACCAUUAUUCCUCACCACCACCUCCUGUGCAUGCACCUCCACCACCAAUUUACAAGUCACCUCCACCACCUCCUCCUCCAGUUUACAAGUCUCCACCACCACCUUACCAUUAUUCCUCACCACCACCUCCAGUGCAUUCACCCCCACCACCACCAGUUUACAAGUCUCCGCCACCACCUUACCAUUAUUCCUCACCACCACCUCCAGUGCAUUCACCUCCACCACCACCGGUUUACAAGUCACCUCCACCACCUCCUCUAGUUUACAAGUCCCCGCCACCACCUUACCAUUAUUUCUCACCACCACCUCCAGUUCAUUCACCCCCAUCACCACCAGUUUACAAGUCUCCGCCACCACCUUACCAUUAUUCCUCACCACCACCUCCAGGGCAUUCACCCCCACCACCACCAGUUCACAAGUCUCCGCCACCUCCAGUCUACAAGUAUAAGUCACCACCACCUCCUUCCCCAAUUUACAAGUCACCAUCACCACCUUCUCCAGUAUACAAAUUACCUCCACCACCUCCUCCAGUUUACAAAUCUCCACCACCAUCAAUUUAUAAAUACAAGUCUCCUCCACUACCUCCUCCAGUGUACAAGUCAUCACCACCACCUGCUUACAAGUCUCCACCUCUUCCAGUUUACAGUUCCCCACCACCACCAAUCUACAAGUCUCCACCUCCACCCUACCAUUACUACUACAAUUCUCCUCCUCCUCCUCCUCGUCACUACUAAGCAAUUGUAUGCAAGUUUUUGAGGUAAUAACGCUUAACCAAUAAACUAACUUUCGCAUGAUAAAACUUAUCUCUAUCAAGACAAACUGCCAUGUGUAUCAUGCCAAAUACGUACACCUAGAUCCAUGAAAAUGAAUGGUAGAAAAUUUUCUUAAGAACUAAGGAACAGCAUUAGUAUUCCCUCUGCUUCCAAAAACUUGUGUAUUAAAUAGAUUAAUGAAUUGUUUAACAUGCUCAUUUACUUGAAAAUACACAAUACCCAUAACCUACUGAAUUUUUUGCAGGAAAAGGGAAAGACAAUCUGUGUUUGAGAGCUUCAUGAAGAUGUUGAAGAAUAAGAAUAAAAGCCCAAUGCGAGGAUGUUUCAAGUUUUUCUAUGUUUCCACUUUAAUUUGUAAAUUGAAUUUUGUGACUCAAUUAAUUCCCUGUUUGUGGGGUACGUGUUGUUUUACGUACCAUGCCGUACAGGUUUGUAAGGAUUUCUAUCCUAUUGGCAAAAGUCGGUUCCAUACAAUUAAUCAAUUCAUUUCACUUCUAUUGGCUCUACUAUUUAUGCAUGUUACGACAUUUUUUCUCUCUUUCCCUUAUAUUUUGCCUUUAAUAUUAUUGAAUCAAUAUUAAUAAUGGGCCUUUUUCUUAAAAUUAUACUAUUAUACAUAGGUUGUUUGGUCUAACGCUAAAUUCAUGUUUGUCUUUCUUUUAUUCCCUUUACAUCUCAAAGUAUACUAUAGUUUGUAAUCAUUGUGGUGAUGAUAUUGCCAGCUGGUACUUAUAGUUUAAGGCAGAGACAUGAUAUUAACAACUAUCUCAUUGAAACAUAAAGAAAAAUCAUGACAAGUGUGAGUCUUGGUUAAUGCACAAUUUGUUAGUGGAAUUUAUAUUUAUAAAACUCAAAAAAAAAUUUUGACAAUGCUAUUACUAAUUAAUUAAGGACUUUAUUGCUAUAAUUUAUCGCUUACUAGUUUAAACUAUAAAUGAUCUCAAUACUUUUCUCCAUGAUGUCGAUUUCUUUAGAUUACGAAAGGGAAAAAUUAGUGACAUAUCCCUUACUGAUUACAACAUCAGCAAAAAUUAGUUAUAAAUUUUUCCGGUGGUUUUAAAUCCCUCGGGCACUAAGAUUUUUUGCACAUCGAGUGAAUUGAGGAACAUAGGCAAUUCGUUCUGCAUACCAAGUCCUUGUUUAAGAUGCAAGUACUAAAAUGCAUCCACUUCAUUAAUUUGGGAAAUUGCCAUAGUUUUUUUUAAGCAUUUUGAUUUUUUACAUGAUUCAAAAUUUUCUUAUUGGAUACAAUCACUUUGUAUCAAGAACAUUUUCAAUCAUCCUUUUUAUCUUCUCAAUAAGAAAAUAAAAAUUUAUUCAUGCUUUUCUAACAUAUCCAAUCAUUGAUCUGAAAAAUAAAGAAUUUAAAAAAAAAGACAUUUUCAAUCAUUGCUUACAGGGCAACUUCCCCAUGUGAACCUCUUCAAACAAAGCCAAUAAUAUGAAGGAACAUCUAAAUACACUUUUGCCCUAAAGGCUGGUUGCCUUGGGGUCAAAAUUUAACCUUCGGGAGUAUAAUUACCCUGCCAAAUUUAUUAUUUUUUAUGGGUAUAUAGUUCCAAUUUUUCCUCCUGUUAAGCUUAUAAAUAUAUUAUCACCCAGAAAAUAAAGGAAUCUUGAAUACUAACAUGUCCAUUUACUUGAGUUGUCAUCAAUUUGGCUACUUCGAUUCCAUGAGGGCAAUCCAAUUCACACUUGCUAGAGAAAAUGGUGAUAAAGGCACAAAGAAAAUUAUAUGUAAUAUUGAUUGGUAGUAACCACCUUGUAUUGAUCCCACUAUUGUGGAUACUCGUGCUCUUAUGAAAAAAAAUUAUAAAAAAUUAGCAAAAUUUAAAAGAACAAAGUAAAUUUAUUCGUACAAAUCAGUCAAAGAAGUAGCAUUUUAAAGACCAUGAUGAAAUUAAUACUUUCAAGGUCUCUAUUAGGAAGACUUCCUUUGUUGGUGAAACUACACUAGGUACGGUUACAUGCAGAUGUUUACUGUUUUGGUACCUAAUUUCCUUGCCUUGAGUUGGGUGCAGAUGUUUAUAUUACAAAUAGAUGGUAUCAUAAAUUUGUUGUAUUAACGUCUGUUCUUUUUUUUCUUCCUUAAGUUUUUUUCUUUAUUCUCGUGACUUCAAAAAUACGAACUCAAGAAAUUAACUGCUUCGACAUUAAGGUAUAACUUCACAACUAGAGCCAAUAGAAAUCGUCAAAUGAUUUUUUGACAUCCAAAUUAAGCAAUAAAUUUUGUUUUCAUUUCACGGGAGAUUUUAUAGUUUCUUUUGGGUAUCAUACCUACAAGUGAUAAUUGUCAUUGGAUAGUGAAAGAAGUGUUAAUGAUUGUAAGAUUAAAUAUUGAAAAUUUAAACUAUUUAUCUUUAUUGAGAGAUACAACUUAAAGAAUCGUAUCCAAAAGAGACUAUAGAAUUUUCUCUGUUUUUCAUCAUCUGUAGACAUAAACUUUCUACGGUUGAUGUACUAUAAGGAAAUUUUGCCUAUACAAUGUGAUACCAUUUUUUCAAAAAGACAAGAUGGCAAAUUGCCCCCUUGAACGGAAAAAAUCAUGAUCUUUCCUCAAACUAGUCUACUUGUCAAUUCUUUGAAAAAGAAUACACUGCCCCGCAGAAUUCUAGAAAGUUAGGCAAAACUAGACAAGUUGACAGCUAUAAUCAUACCCAAGAUCAGGAACAAGCAGUUACACAUUUCAAAAUUCGCUGCUGCAACAACUAAUUUGAUGACUUACAACACUAAAUGGUCAAACUUUGAAUGGCAAUGAAUCUUUUGUUGUACAUCAUGAUGUAAUUUUCAUGUUACAUAAUAGAUUGAUAUCUAUGUUCUUUAAAUUAUCAUAAUAAUUAAAUUUAACUGAUAAAAAGAACACAUAUCAAUACACAAAAGUGUGUAACGUGAAUGUUAUAUUAGUGUAUUGCAGAAGACCUAUAGUCUCUUCACAUCUCUUCCUGCAUCUUUUAUGUUUUAUUACCUCCAAAAGCCUUUACAGGGUCUUUACCCUAAAAAUCAAUUCACCGACUCGCAUUUGAUGUCAGAAAUUCUUAAGACGAAUUCUACUUUACUCAAAGAUUGACUGUUAAUAAUGAGACAACGACCAUUUUGUAUUAUUACACCGUCCUUCUUGAUAGGCAAAAGAAAUAGAGAGGAAAGCGGGUCCGUAUAUGGUCUUUUAUUCAUAGAUAAUACAACAUUACGCCAUCGAGCAUUCACACAAUAUUUCAAAGUCAUUGCAUGCCUAAAGCCCCGCUUGAUAAUCCAAUUUCAUACUUAAAUUUAAUGGAUUCAAAUUUUAACACAUUCAAAUUGUUUGAUAACAAAAAAUUGAACGUCUAAAUUAAUUAAGUAACACUAAAUUUUUUAGACAAAACUUGCUCCCAAAAUUAAGUGAUAAGCUAUAUCACUUAUCACUGAAUGUGAUAUGCAUUCAAAUGUAUUAUAUUUAAUACUUAAUAAUUUAAUAAUUUAAUGGAUUCAAAAUUCAGAUUUUAGAUUUCAGUUUUAUCAAACAUACCCUAAGUUGCAAAAUAAUACCAAAACUUGUUAUUAUAUAGCUUGAGAUUCAAAAAUUUAGAGCAUAAUUCUCAACCUAACACAAUUGAAUAAUGAAUAUUCACGAUUGUCAAAUCUAUCAAAGUACAAUUUGAGGACAACCCAUUCCAACGCGUACACAAUUUCUCACUUUUCUAAAGUUGUUGAGAGCUGUUAAAAGAGAUUUACCAUGUUUACAUCUUCCAAGUCUUGGGAGUAAAAAAUGAAGCCACCGAGUGCUAUAAAAAGGGGGCUAGAGGCUGCCUAGAAGCAUAUCAGCCUAAAACAAGAAUUUGUAGUAACAAUGGGGAGCAAAGCAAAAGCAACGGGGUCUAGGCUGACUCCUCUUCUUACCACUGUUUUAGUGGUAUUUGUCGCCCUUGGCUUGCCCUUGGAAACUGCAGCUGAUUAUUACAAGUAUUCAUCUCCUCCUCCUCCUCCUUACCACUAUUCUUCACCACCACCUCCAGUGUAUUCACCUCCACCAACCCCUGCUUAUAAGUUACCCCCACCAUCUCCUCCAGUUUACAAGUCCUCACCACCACCUUACCACUACUCACCACCUCCGGUGUAUUUACCUCCACCAUCUCCAGUUUACAAGUCACCACCACUACCCCCUCCGGUAUACAACUCCCCGCCUCCACCAGUGUACAAAUACAAGUCCCCACCACCACCUCCUCCAGUUUACAAAUCUCCACCGCCACCAGUUUACAAAUACAAGUCACUCCCACCACCUCCUCCGGUAUACAAGUCUCCUCCGCCACCUGUUUACGAGUACAAGUCUCCUCCACCACCUCCUCCAGUGUACAAGUCCCCACCACCUCCAGUUUACAAGUACAACUCACCUCCACCUCCUCCCCCAGUUUACCUGUCUCCACCUCCACCCUAUCAUCACUACUACGGUUCUCCUUCUCCUCACCACUACUAAGCAAGUGCAUAAGUUUUGAGGUAAUAAUACCUAUCCAAAACUUUAUCAACACAAACUGCCAUGUAUAUCAUGCUAAGGACGUACACUUGAUCCAUGAAAAUGACUAGUAGAAGAUUUUUUUUAAGAACCAAAGAAAUACAUUAUUUUUUCGGUCUGUUUUCAAGAAUUUGAGCAGUAUACAGAUUAAAGAGUGUUUUUUUUUUUGUAAACUUGCUUGUCAACUUAAAAAUGCACAUAGCUGAAAGCCAACUGAAUAUUUGCAGGCAAAGGAGAAGGCAAUCGGUGUUUGAGACCUUCAAGAAGAUGUAGAAGAAUAAGAAUAAAAGCCCAAUGCGAGGAUGAUUCCAAGUUUCUACGUUACCAUUUCUACAUCUAAAUUGACUUUAGCUCCUGAGUUCCAUGUUUAUGGGGUUUGUACCGUUUUACGUACCAUGCAGUACAUGCUUGCAAGGUUUUCUGUCCUGUUGGCAAACUGCAGGUCCAUAUAAUAAAUGAAUACUAUUUACAUUACGACACUUUUCUCUUUUUCUCUUAUAUUUUGUCUUUAAUAUUGUUGAUCAUUUUUUUUUUAUCAAAAGCAUCAAAUGCUUAGGUAAUUUGGUCUAAUGCUAAUUGUUUUACUUUUAUUUUUCACCUACACCCCUUUUCAACUCAAAGGAUGCUAUAGUUUGUGAUAAUUGUUUAAGACCGAAGCAUGAUACUAAUAAAUAUCUCAUUGAAAGUCAAGGAAACUAACAUUAGGAAAAGUUUAAAUCUUGAUUUGAUGAAACUAUUUAUUCGUGGAAUUUAGAGAUACAAAACUCAAAUUGUGACGGUGUUGUUGCUAAAUUAUUAAGGACAUUAUCACCAUUAUUUUUCCCUGAUCACUAGUUUCAACUGCAAUGAUCUCAAUCUUUUUGUGACUAAUUCUUUCCUUAAUAAUUUAUAAAGACAAAACUCACAAAGAAUAUGUGACUAAUUCUUUCCUUUCGUCUUCUAAAGAAAAUGCCAACUGUUAGUUUAUCAAGGGGAAAAAGGAUCGACAUCAGUUAUUAUUGAAACUAGUAAGGAAUAAAUAAUGGUGAUAAUGUCCUUAAUAAUUUAACAACAGCACCAUCAGAAUUUGACUUUGAGCUUCGGUCUUAAACAAUGAUCACAAACUACAGCAUCCUUUGAGUUGAAAAAGGAAGUAGGUGAAAAGAAAAGUAAAAAAUACAAUUAGCAUUCCCUCAAAUUGUAGAAAGUUAGGUAGCAUUAUAGACAAGUUGAUAGCGGCAAUUUUACAUUUCAAACUUCACCUAUUCAAUAACUAAUUCGAUGGCUUGCUACAUGGUCAAUCUUUGGACCCCUUCCUGCCUCCAGAUAUCCCUUUCCUCAAUCAGGGGCUUCUACAAUUACCAGUUUCAAUUGUAUGGUAUAGUGUAAAUAUCAACAAAUUAGAUGUAGAUGCUAACAUAAUAAAUGUGAAUGCUAAGACAGCAACAUACAAUCGAACCUGCAAUUGUAUGAACCCCAAUCUCGCUUCCUAGUCCACCAUCUUUCUCUAGGUAAUAAUCUCCCUUCUAAUUUAUUCACAAAAUGCACCUUUCAUCACCUCCAAUAGCGUCGACAUGAUCUUUACCCUAGAAGACUAUUCACCGACUCUCAAUUGACGUCAGAAAAUCUAAGAGUAAUUCUACUUUACCCUAAGAUUGAUAUCAACAAGACAAGGACAAUUUAGAAUUAUUACACGCCUCUUCUUAAUAGGAAAAAGAAAUAGAGAAGAAAGUCAGGCCAGGUCUAAUUUCUUUUCAAAGGCAAUACAACAUUACGAAAUCAAGCAUUCAUUCAUACAAAUAUUUCAUAGUCACCGGUUUGCUGAGUAGAAAAAUUUAGACAAAAACUUAAUAUUAUAUUGUUUAAGAGUUAACAAUUUAGAGCUUAAUCUCCUUGUACUUUGGAGUUAACAAUUUAGAGCUUAAUCUCCUUGUACUUUGGACUAAACUUGAACGUGAAAGGAAAUCCCAAAACCAUAUUGGGCAUGAAUUCACACUUAAUAUACCCAAUAAAAGAUGGCGACUGGUGAAAGGCAGUGGAGACUGGUGGAGAGAUUUGAGGAAUAGAAGCAGACGGAAAAGCAACAAAUUUUUGCCGAAAAACGGUCACUUUCAUGGUUAAUUUUGCUACUCUCCAAUUGUACUUGACCAAUUACAACAAUUUCAUGGAGUUUGAUACGUGAAAAGAAUUUUUUAUAAAUUUUAUUUUGAUCCAUAAUGUUAUCUUUACAUAUAUAAAACAUUUUACAAUUUUGAUUUUGGCGCAGCUAACUUUUGGUUAACAAAAAUGCUCAUGUUUAAAAAACCAGAAAUAAAACAAAACAAGAAACAAAAGAAAUAAGAGGGUAGCAUAGACAUUUUGGAUUUUUCCGUUAAUUUGGAUGAUUUCCACCCACGUUCUAAUUUAAUCCAAAACACAAAGGAAUUACGUAGAGGUUUUAAAUAAUCAGGGAGCUUCAUGAUCGAACCCCAAACCACGUGAUAGCAUACAAGAGUUCUAUUUCACUAUCGGUAGACAAAGACUUUCUAUGGUUGAUGUACCGUAGGAAAAAAUCUGCCUAUACAACGUGAUAGCAUUUUUUCAAAAACACAAGAUGGAAAAUUGCCCCCUUAAACGUGGAAAUUCAUGAUCUUUCCUCGAACAAAGAAUACUCACGCCUAUUCAAGAUGGAAAAUUGCCCCCUUAAACGUCUAUUUGUCAAUUCUUGAAAAAAGAAUACUCACGCCUAAAACACGGCCUCUUCAUCUGCAGAAUUCUAAAAAGUUACGUAAACUCUAUAAACAAGUUGAUAGGUACAAUCGUACCCAAGAUCAAGUACAGAUAGUUGUACAUUCACUGCUGCAAUAACUAAUCUGAUGACUUACAAACAUAUCAUGGUCAAUCGUUGAAUGGUAAUGAGUCUUUUGUUAUGCAUUAGUAUUAGUGUGUACACUCUAAUAGAUUGAUACUUAUACUCUUUAAAUUAUCAUAAUAAUACCCUUAAUUAACUUUAACUCUUAAAAAGAAUACGUGUUAAUACACGAGAGUGUGUAACCUGAAUUGUUACUUAUACAUUAGUGUGUAAUAGAUAGGGAUGGCAGUGAGGGCGAGUGCCCGCGGGGGGCUCUCGGGGCGGGGGCGGGGGAGAAUUUUUUCCCCCCGUUUAGAAACGGGGCAGGGGACGGGGGAGUAUACCCCCGCCCCAUCCCCCGCCCCGCCACCCGCAAAAAAAAUUAUAUAUAUAUAAUUAUAUAUAAUAUGUAAUUUAAUUAGUUAUAAACUUAUGAUAAUGAUAUUAUUAGUUAGAUGUAUUAUAUAAUGUAUAUUAGUGUAUGUAAUAUAAUUAAUAUUAUCAAUUAUACGAAUAAUUAGACAUGUCCACUAAUAGAGUUUAUUAAUUAGUUAUACUAAAUUUACUAAUACAUUUGUACUAAAUUUCUAAUUACACUUAAUAGAAUAACACUUUUUUCUAAAAAAAAAAGCACAAACACAAUAAUGAAUUAGUGAUUGUAUUUGUACCAAAAGUGAAAACUUAACUAUUUUAGUUGUAUUUAUUUCAUCAUGUUGGAUUGUAUUCAAAUAAUUUUUGUUUGAUUGUUUUUAUGAGUUUCAAUUGUAAAAUUAAAAUGAAUAAUAACUUGAUGAUGUGUUGAUAUUUUAGUACUUGAUUAUUUAUUGAUUUAACUAUAAUAAAAUUUUAUUUUAUUAAAAUUUAACUAUAAUAAAAUUUUAUUAACCAAACGAGUUAUUAAUCCCGCGGGGGCACCCACGGGGGAAGCGGGGCGGGGCGGGGGAGUGGGAGGCGGGGGACGGGGCGGGGGUGGGGGGAGUUGUAGGUAGCGGGGCGGGGGAUGGGGGAGGGGUCCCCCGCCCCAACCCCGCCAUCCCCCGCCCCGUUGCCAUCCCUAGUAAUAGACUGGCAAGCAUUGUGGUGGUCAUUGAGAACUUACUGGAGAAAUAGUCCUAUAAGCUGUUCAAUGAGCAAUCACAACUUGCUAAUUGGAUGACUAAUAUAGCUCUAGCUGUAAUGUUUUAAUUAAAUUACAUCACUAACGUUGGGAUGACUUUUUAACCAAAAAAAAAUGCCUUAGUUCAAGCUUUUCCCUUUAUUGUGCAUUUUUUAAAGCAUUUGAUAGGCACUGCAAAUCUGUCAUUUUGGACAUUUUAUUAUUGACUAACAAUGAAAGCCGUGACGUCUACCCAUAACCAACACAAGAUUAAAUUAAUAUUAGAAAAAAUAAUUGAGUAAUUGGAAAAAAAAAAAGAGACUCAUUUUCAUUGAAACCCACCGACAAACUAAACGUGUCCAUGGCUUUUGAAUAGUGCAUUCAACGUUUAAUUGUAUAGUCCAGUUCAUUGCAGAUUACAUGGAGUAAAGAUUGUGCUCUUUCCUUUUUCACCCCUUUUGGAAUCGAUACUGUGGAGAAUUGGGUUUUUCCCUUCUUUUUUUCUUUUCUUUCCUUCUGUGCUUUGCAAAACAUAGGUAAAAAUAUGAAAUCCGAAGCAUUCUUUAAUUGGGAUUAAGUAUUGUUGUUGAAAUUAAAAAGAAAAAAGAAAGAACAACAAAAUUCCCAAUCUGGGUUGAUUGUUGAGCUCUAGAUUGGUUGCAUCGUGCUUCCAUAGAAGCUCUCUUAGUGUGAUACACUGCUUUCAAUCAGUUUAACACGGGAAAAAAAAAAAAAGAGAUGAAAAGCAAAUUUGGUGGGGAUAAUUUCAGAAACCUCCCCUGAAGAUUUUGACUAUUCUACUGGUCUCCCUUCAGAUUUUAAAAAUUACACUAAUCUUCCUUGAAGUUAAUUAUCUUGUAACAUUUAAAUUCAAUCAAUAAUUUAAAAAAUGAUAUUAUGAGAGAGAAAAUAAUGAUUUUAUCAUUGCCCCCCAUCUUACUACAUUAUUUAAUUAAUUUAAUAGCAACCCACACAUUAAAGAAAAAUAUUAAAAUUUGUUGUUUAUCAUUAAAGAUCAAAUCGCUUAUAACAUCAAAUAAUAGUAUAUUAUUUAUAUUUUUCACUCAAUAUAAUAUCCAAAUUACUCUUUUCAAUUACAUACCCAUUGUUAGACAAUCAACAACAAAUAACCAAAAAAUUUGCAACCAAAAUAUUACAAAAAAAUAAACUUUAACAUAUAAAUAUUCUUAUCAACAUAUUAAAGUUAGUUACUGAAAUUUUUAUGCUGUUAAACUUCACUCUUUUUGGUUACAGAUUUUUUUGAUUAUUUGUUAUUAAUUAUGUUUGAUGAUGGAUUUAUAAUUGAAAAGAACAAUUUGAAACUUACAUUAAGUAAAAUAUAUAGAGUGAUAUACUAUUUUUUAUAACAUAUGUGAUUCAAUCCUUCUUGAUAGGAUUGGUAAUAGAGGUAGAGGGGGGAGCCGGCUGCAUCCGGUCUACUUUUCAUAGAUAGUACAAUAUUGCGAAAUCGAUCGCAUUCACGCAAUAUUAUUUCCAAGUCAUUGCAUGGCUAAGCUGCAAAAAAAGUACGAACACAUGUUAUUAUAUAGCUUACGAUUCAAAACUUUAGAGCAUAACCCUCCACCUAACACAAUUGAAUAAUGAACAUUCACGUUUGUCAAAUCUGUCAAAGCACAGUUUGAGGACAACCCAUUCCAACCUGCAAAAGAUUUUUUACUUUUCUAAAGUUGUUGAGAGCUGUAAAAAGACUUACCAUGCUUGCAUCCUCCGAGCCUUGGGAGUUAAAAAUGAAGGCACUGAGUGCUAUAAAAAGGGGAAUAGAGGCUGCCUAGAAGCAUAUCAGCCUAAAACAAGAAUUUGUAGUUAAGAUGGGAAGCAAAGCAAAAGCAAUGGGGUCUGGGCUGACUCCUCUUCUUGCCACUGUUUUAGUGGUGUUUGUUGCUCUUGGCUUGCCCUCACAAACUGCAGCUGAUGAUCACUACAAGUAUUCAUCUCCUCCUCCUCCUUACCACUAUCCCUCACCACCACCACCAGUGCAUAUACCUCCACCUCAUCCUGUUUACAAGUACAAAUCUCCACCACACCCCCAGUACAAGUAUAAGUCACCACCACCACCUCCUCAUCCGGUAUACAGUCUCCUCCGCCACCACACACCCAGUUUACAAGUACAAGUCACCACCACCACCUCCUCAUCCGGUACCACACCCAGUUUACAAGUAUAAGUCUCCUCCGCCACCAGUUUACAAAUACAAGUCUCCUCCACCACCACCUCCAGUGUACAAAUACAAGUCUCCACCACCACCAGUUUACCACUACAAGUCUCCACCACAGUUUACAAAUACAAGUCUCCACCACCACCCCCAGUUUACAAAUACAAGUCUCCACCACCACCAGUUUACCACUACAAGUCACCACCACCUCCUCCCCCAGUUUACAAAUACAAGUCUCCACCACCUCCUCACCACUACUAAGCAAUUGCUUCUGAGGUAAUAACACUUGUUCAAUAUACCCACUUCUGCAUGAUAAAGCAUAUCUCUAUCAACACAAACUGUCAUGUCUAUCAUGCUAAGUGCCUUCACUUCAUCCACCAAAAUGACUGCUAGAAAAUUUUUUUUAUGUUACCAAAGAAAGGCAUCAUUUUUUCCCUCUGUUAUCAAGAACUUGUACAGUAUAUAGAUUAAAGAGUAUUUUUUUAACUAGCUUAUCAACUGAGAAAUGCAUAUAGCUGAUAGCCAGCUGAAUAUUUGCAGGCAAAGGAGAAGGAAACCAGUGUUUGAGACCUUCUUGAAGAUGUAGAAGCAUAAGAAUUAAAGCCCAAUGUGAAGAUGAUGAUUUCAAGUUUUUCUACGUUACCAUUUCUUUAUCUAAAUUGGUUGUAGCGCCUUAGUUCCUUUGUUUAUGGGAUUUGUAUCGUUUUACGUACCAUGCAGUACAUGUCAUGUUUGUAAGGUUUUCUAUCCUGCCGGCAAACCGCAGGUUCCAUGUAAUAAAUCAAUACUAUUUAUAUUACGACACUUUUCUCUGUUUCUCUUAUAUUUUGUCGUCUUUAAUAUUCUUAAUCAUAUUUUUAACAAAAAUAUUCAAACACUUAGGCAAUCUGGUCUAAUGCUAAUUGUAUGUUUUACUUUUCUUUUUCACCUGCUCCCCUUUUCAACUCAAAAGGAUGCAAUAGUUUGUGAUCACUGUUUAAGACGGAAGCAUGAUACUAAUGAAUAUCUCAUUGAAACUCAAGGAAACUAACAUUGCGAAAAGUGUAAAUCUUGAUUUGAUGCAACUAUUUAUUCGUGGAAUCUAUAGUUACAAAACUCAAAUUCUGACUGCGCCAUUGAUAAAUUAUUAAUGACGCUAUCAUCAUUAUUUAUCCCUAACUAGUUUCGACUACAACUGAACCCAAUAUUUUCCCCAUGAUAAAAGUUUUUGACUAUUUUACUGGCCUCUCUUCAAAUUUUAAAAAUUACACUAAUCUUCAUUGAGAUUAAUUAUCUUGUAACAUUUAAGUCCAAUUAAUAAUUAAAAAAUGAUAUUAUGAGAGAGAAAAUAAUAUAAUUUUAUCAUUGCCCCCCAUCUUGCUAUAUUAUUUAAUUAAUUUAAUAGCAACCCACACAUUAAAGAAAAAUACUAAAAUUUGCUGCUUUUCAUUAAAGAUCAAAUUGCAUAUGCCAUAAAACAUAGUAUAUCAUUCUAUAUGUUUCACUUAAUGUAAGAUCCCAAUUGUUCUUUUCAAUUACAAACCCAUUGUCAAUAACAAAUAACCAAAAAAUUUGCAACCAAAAUAUUACAAAAAAAAACUUCAACAUCAUAAAUAUUCUUACCACCUCUAGUGCAUUCACCCUCAUAAAAUAAUUCAAGACCCUACUGUCAUAAAAUGACUGAUCAACUCCCGUAAACCUAAUUUGACAACAUUUAAAUGGAGAACUUUAGCUAAAAGAAUUAUGGUCAAGCUAAAGAAAAAACCAGUUAUUUUCCAACAUAUGCAAUCAUUGAUCAGGGAAAAAAAAAAGAGCAAAAAGACAUCUUCAAUCAUUUAAUAGCUUACAGGGCAAAUUAACCCCUAAGCGAAAACUGGUUGCUCUAGAAUCAAAAUUUUACUUUAGUUACCCAGGCAACUUUUUUGUUGCUUUUUUUUUUUUUUUCCUUUAGUUUUGCCCCCUCUGUCAAGCUUAUAAAAUUAUUAAGAUAAUAAAAGUGCCUUGAAUAGUAUUAAUAUAUCCAUUGACUUGAGCUGUCGUCAGUUUGCGAUUCCAUGAGGCCUUUUCAAAGUACUCAGAAAAUGGGGAGUCAUGAAAUCCAUUUGUUCUAUUCAUUGCUAAGAUGCUUUUCUCUAUAAAGAGACUUCCUAACGAAAAUACUUUGUAGAUUUCUUUACUCCAAGUGGUGCAUGGAAAAUUAAUAUUUUCAAUUAUCAAAUAAAAUUCCCUUUUUUCGGCGUAGAUUUCAUCCAUCCAGCUGUUAACACAUUCUAUAAAUCCGAAUUGACUAAUCUUUUCGUUUCCAUUUUCCAACUUGCGAAUACGGCAUAUAGUGUCUGCUAAACACUAUAUAUUCUCUGCCAAAUAUGAAUACAUAUCACUUUUCUGAGCAAGUGCAGAGUCAUUAUCAUUUUUAUUCCCACCUAACAAAUUAGGGAUAAAAAAGUUAAUAAUCUUUACAUGCUAUCAGGUCACAAGUUAAUAAUCUUUUAAAGAACAUGUUAAAUUAAUUUAUUGGUAUGAAUAGUAGUCAAAGAAGUAUGUUAAAGUUAGUAAUCUUUAAAAUAAUAUGUUAAAAUCAUUCGUACAAAUUAGUCAGAGAAGUAGCAUAAACACCGCGAUGCAAUUAAUACUUUCAAUCUCAAGGUCUCUAUUAUGGAAAUUUGCAUCGGUCAAUAUACACUUGGCAUAAUAUAAUCUCCCAACUCAUUUCUUUACAAAUGCACCUUUAAUCACCACCAAAAGGUGUGGACAUGAUCUUUACCCUAGAAAACUAUUCACCGACAGGCAAAUUGACGUCAGAAAUACUGAGGAAUUCUAGUUUCCUUCGGGUUCAUGCCAUGUUGUAUCCUUCAACUGUAACUCGAUUUCUAAGCUGUAAUUUGUGACAUAAUAGUCCUUAAACUAUGAAACCCUUCUUACUUAAUUACAAUGGUUAAUACAAUGCCCGUGACUAGACAAGUAUGAAGCAACCAUAACAGAAAAAAAAUCCAAAAUUAGAGAAAAGAAAGAAGUUUCGCGACCACCACCAGUUUACAAGUCACCUCCACCACCUCCUCCAGUUUACAAGUCACCUCCACCACCUUACCAUUAUUCCUCACCACCACCUCCAGUGCAUUCACCCCCACCACCACCAGUUUACAAGUCUCCGCCACCACCUUACCAUUAUUCCUCACCACCACCUCCUGUGCAUGCACCUCCACCACCAAUUUACAAGUCACCUCCUCCAGUUUACAAGUCUCCACCACCACCUUACGAUUAUUCCUCACCACCACCUCCAGUGCAUUCACCCCCACCACCACCAAUUUAUAAGUCUCCCCCACCGCCUCCCCCAGUAUAUAAGUCACCACCACCACCUCCUCCAGUAUACAAAUCACCUCCACCACCUCCUCCAGUUGACAAAUCUCCACCACCACCAAUUUAUAAAUACAAGUCUCCUCCACUACCUCCUCCAGUGUACAAGUCAUCACCACCACCUGCUUACAAGUCUCCACCUCCUCCAGUUUACAGUUCCCCACCACCACCAAUCUACAAGUCUCCACCUCCACCCUACCAUUACUACUACAAUUCUCCUCCUCCUCCUCGUCACUACUAAGCAAUUGUAUCCAAGUUUUUGAGGUAAUAACGCUUAACCAAUAAAUUAACUUUCGCAUGAUAAACCUUAUCUCUAUCAAGACAAACUGCCAUGUGUAUCAUGCCAAAUACGUACACCUAGAUCCAUGAAAAUGAAUGGUGAGGAGGGCCAUUUAGGCUCGGAGCGCCCUAGGCCUAGUUCCCCACCAUUUCCUGAAGUGCCGCCUCGGGUAUUAUCCUGGAAGGCGAUCGCGGCCCAUUUACCACCUCGGCUACAAUGUCAGGUCGUAACACCGAGGUGGACAUUGAAUGACAACUACGAAAAGGGGAGAUGUGAUCUCUGACACCUGAGCAAAGGCUGCUCUGACCCGCCGCCUGAAUCUGACAGAAUGUCCCAUCACGUCUCUUCAUGGAGACCGGUCAAGUCCACCUGAUCCACUGACUAUCUCAGAUCUUUUGGGACCCGUGCAAACAUCUCCUCUCUCCUAUCAGUCCCCUAUAAAUACACGAUACUUCUACUGAAAAAGGAGAUGACCAAUUUCUGGUAAAACACACUCCACUCAUUAUUUACUUCUCUAUAUCCGAACUGACUUAAGCUUCGGAGUUAUACCGGGGGAUCCAGCCCCUUUCUUAUCCAAGCAGGUGACUUCGUCCAAGAGAGUUGCCCAAGGUAAAGAUAUUCUUCCAAUUGAGGUGACUCACUCCUGCGGGUCGAAAAUCACCUCUUCAAUUGGCGCCGUCUGUGGGAACCGCAAAGAUAUUAGAAGAUGAAGCCUGCGCGUUCUAGAAGCAGAAAAGCUCUCACUAUCGAGGCUGGGCAAAGCAAUGCAGCUCAACAAGAAAAUAUUUCUGAAGGGCAGGAGUCCCCAAGGACUCAGCCCGCAAACGAAAAAGCCAUAACCCGUAUGGCCGAGUUUGUGACCGAGAACCCCAACAUCUUUGAAGAGUUGGGAAGAUACCUGAAGAGGCAAGGCAAACAAAAGGCCGAGUCCUCUAAAAGGAUGUCAGAUGGGUCUCUUGAGGACUCAUCUGAGGAGGAGUCGGAUGGAAGGCACUUAAGCCGAAGUGCCUCAAAGCGAGCAUUUUCUAAGGCCACUUCUAAGGUAGCCUCCCUGACCAAGGCGUUUUCCCGAGGGCUCUUGGGCCGACGACCCGAGGAAGAACCUCGGCCCUUGGGAAUACCCGGGGUGGACUGCAUGAGGGCUCCACCGUUCACGGAUGAUAUAAACGAGGAAAGGCUUCCUCCCAAUUUUAAGCUCCCCGCAGUACAAUCUUACGAUGGCCGAGGUGAUCCCGAGAAUCACAUCCAUACCUUCAUCUCGGCCUUCCAAAUAUACUGCAUCCCAGACCCUGUCAUAUGUCGGGCCUUUCCAGUAUUCCUCAGAGGAACUGCUCGAAAAUGGUUCUGAGCUCUAGAACCUAGGAGCAUUUCGACCCUGGGUGAAUUAGUGGAGAAGUUUCUCCACCGAUUUGUCUCCUCCCGACCUACGACUAGGACCUCGGCUUACCUGCUCACCGUGCAGCAGAACCCGGGAGAGUCACUCCGGUCGUACGUCCGGAGGUUCCAUGAGGAAAGCGUUCAGAUACCUGACCCCAAUGAGCAGGUAACCCUCGCUGCCUUUACCCAUGGACUCGUUGCCGGGGAGUUCAAUACGGGGAUCCAUAAAAAAUACCCCCGCACACUGCAUGAAUUGUGGUUGAAGGUUGAAAAGGGCAUACAGGCCGAAGACCUCCAUCGCAUGAAGAAAGAGGUCCAAGCCACCCGUCCAAGGGCUGAGCCCAGAAAGGGAAAAGACGCUGGCCGAACUGAAGUAGGGUCGGGAAGUGGCUUCCGAAGUCCUGGCCGAGACCGCCGCAGCGUGUUCGACAGGAUAUCCAAGGGGAAGUCACCUAUUCCCGAGUCCGAGUUGACUCCUUUAAAUACUACCCGAUCUCACGUGUUGUCCGUGAUGGAACAAAACAACCUCGGCAAGGGCCCGCCGAGGAUGUUUGGAAGCAGAGACAAGAGGAACUCGAACCUCUACUGCUUGUAUCAUCGUGACAUUGGUCACGAAACUGAGGAUUGCAACGAUCUCAAGAAGGAGAUCGAGAACCUCAUUAGACGGGGACACUUGAAACAGUUCAUCCGCAGAGGUGGAGGUCACCAACGUGACGAAAACCGGCAUGACAAAUGAGGUGACCAACGCCGAGAUGAGCGGCGGAGCUCCAGAAGCAGUUGCCGACCUCCUGAGGAUCCCAGGGAGACGAAAAGGCCUCCCCCAGACGGAUCUUCGGGACAUGGGCCAACCAUUGCCCGGGUCAUUAACACCAUUGCCGGAGGUCCGACGGGAGGGGACAGUCAGAACUCCCGGAAGAGAACCUAUAAGCAGGCUAACCCGGAUCAGGCCGAGUCGAGUUCUCGCCUGUCCGAGGUGAUCACCUACGGGCUCAGUGAUCCCAUCCCAGCUGCAUCCAGCAGUCAUGAAACCUUGGUGAUUGAAGUCCUCACCAAUAACUACAUUGUGAAAAGGUCUACAUAGACCCGGGAAGUUCAGUUGACGUCAUGUACCUCCGUACCUUUGAGAGCCUUAAAAUGGCUAAGGGGUGCAUGACCCCGCUGAGAACCCCUCUUGUAGGGUUCGGGGGACACGUGGUGCACCCCGAAGGGAUGGUGACUCUGACAGUGACCAUAGGGCAUCACUCUCGCUGUAGAACCGUCCCUGUCAAUUUUGUGGUGGUUAAGGCUGACUCCCCAUACAACCUACUUUUAGGUCGGCCUACGCUCAAUGCCUUGCGGGCGGUCUACUCCACCUACCACCUGAGCUUCAAGUUUCCUACCCCAGCAGGGGUGGCCGAGGUCAGCAGCGACGUCUGUGCUGUCCGGGAGUGCUACCUCGCCACCCUACAAGCAGCCUCCCCGUCUACCUCCGGUGCGAGGUCCGAGAAGAGGUCAAAUAUCCUCUCAAUAGAUAGCAUCGAUCCUCAGUGAGCUGAGAAGGUCCCGAGGCUGGAGACUGGGGAUGAGGUGGAAGAGAUUCCCCUGGACCCCACGAAACCUGAUCAGACAGUUCGCGUUGGUACCCGAUUGCCCGGUCCUAUCCGAAGAGGUAUGAUGGACCUCCUCAGGGAAUACCGGGACGUCUUUGCUUGGGCCGCCGAAGAGGUCCAAGGAGUCCCGCACCAUCUCAUGAUGCAUGACUGAACGUCGACCCCCAAGUCCGUCCGGUCAAACAGAAGAGAAGGCACAUCGGCCCUGAGCGCAGCCAAGCUGUUGGUGAGGAAGUGGACAAGCUUUUACCCGCUAAAAUAAUCCGAAAAGUCCAAUACCCGAUCUGGUUGUCUAACUCGGUCAUGGUCAAGAAGGAUACGGGGGCUUGGAGAAUGUGCGUCGAUUUUACCGACCUCAACAAAGCCUGCUCCAAGGAUUGCUACCCCUUGCCCAAAGUCGAUACUUUGGUAGACUCAGCAAUGGGCUACGAGAUCCUCUGUUUCUGGGAUGCAUUCAAAGGCUAUCACCAAAUUGGGAUGAGUCAAGAAAACCAGGAGAAAACGGCCUUCUACACCGACCGCGGCACGUACUGUUAUACUACCAUGCCAUUCGGGUUGAAGAAUGCCGGAGCCACUUAUCAACGCUUGGUCAACCAAGCAUUCAAGUCUCAAAUCGGCCGGAAUGUUGAGGCCUAUGUAGAUGACAUCCUCCUCAAAAGCCAGACGAACUCCACCUUCCUGGCCGACUUGAAGGAGGUCCUUGACAUCCUGCGGAAGGUGAAAAUGAUGCUGAACCCCAAGAAAUGUGUUUUUGGGGUCACCUCGGGGAAAUUUCUAGGUUACCUCGUCUCAAGGCGAGGUAUCGAAGCAAAUCCGGAUAAGGUGCGAGCCAUCCAGGAGAUGUCUCCACCCCGGUGCGUCCGCGAUGUCCAAAGGCUGACAGGGCGAUUAGCCGCCCUGAAUCGGUUCUUAUCGCAGUCGGCAGCUAAAGCACUGCCCUUUUUCAAAGUGUUGAAGAAAGCUGACCAUUUCUCCUGGACGGAAGAGUGUCAACAGGCGUUUGAGCAGUUGAAGGAUUACCUUCACUACCUUCCAACGCUCACCUCACCUCGUCCGGGGGACAAAUUAAUCUUAUACCUUUCUGCUGCGGCCGAAGCGGUGAGUGCCGUGCUGAUAAGGAAGGAAGGGGUCCAAAUGCCCGUCUACUACGUUAGCCGAGUCCUCCGAGGUCCAGAGACCAGGUACACACAAGCAGAGAAACUUGUGCUAGCCCUGAUCCACGCCGCCCGCAGACUCAAGCCCUACUUCCUAGCUCACCACGUCUGCUUGAGGACUGAUCAACCACUUCGGCAGAUUUUGACACGACCAGAGGUUUCGGGACGUCUUACCAAAUGGGCCAUUGAGCUGGGGGAGUACGACCUAACUUAUGAGCCUCGCACAGCGAUCAAGGCCCAGGCUCUCGCAGACUUCGUAGCCGAGCUCACCUUUGACGAGGUGCAAGGAUCCGUCCCGGCUGCCACAUCGGCCACAGUUGAUGUGGCCACCACUGGGCUCCAGCGGUGGAUCCUACACGUGGACGGUUCGUCAACAGUGAGGGUAGUGGAGCAGGCUUGCUCCUCGAAGACCCCCAAGGAGAAAUAUGCUAAUAUGCCUUAAGAUUUGACUUCGCUGCUUCAAACAAUGAAGCUGAAUACGAAGCCGUCAUUGCUGGACUGCAGCUAGCUCGCAAGCUCGGGGCCGCACACAUCUUGGUUUAUAGUGAUUCCCAACUCGUCGUGUGCCAGAUAUUAGGUGAGUACGAAGCCAGGGACGAGGUGAUGCAUCGUUACCUCUCCAAGGUCCUCCAGUUGGCGACUCACUUCGAGUCUUUUGAAAUUCAAAGAAUACCGCUAUCGAAAAACAGAAGGGCUGACGCCCUCUCCCGGCUUGCCUCAACCUCUUUCUCUGACCUGAACAAGACGGUUCUCGUUGAAGUUCUAGCCGAACCAGGAUAUGUAGCCGAGGUAGUAUACCCCGUCUACCCUGGGGACACCUGGAUGGGUCCCCUGACUCGAUUUUUCAGCCAGGGUGAGCUCCCCGAAGACCGAGCUGAGUCACGGAAGCUCCAACGAAAAGCAGCACGGUACAUUCUCCGACAAGGCCUUUUAUACAAAAGGUCUUACCUCGGCCCUUAGUUGCGAUGUAUCACGCCCGAGGAAGGCCAGAGAAUCCUCCAAGACAUACAUGAGGGGCUCUGUGGUGCUCACGUCGGCUACAGAAUGCUGGUAAAAAAGGCUUUGUUACUUGGGUAUUUUUGGCCCACUAUGAGGAUAGAUGCCCAGGUCAUGGUCCUUUGCUGCCCCUCCUGCCAGCAUCACGCUCCUGAGCACCACCAGCCGACCAAUUUAAUGAUCCCUAUCACCUCGUCAUGGCCAUUUGAGCAAUGGGGAACGGACAUAAUUGGCCCCUUUCCCAGAGCUCCAGGCAAUUAUACCUACGUGGUGGUAGCAGUGGACUACUUCACCAAAUGGGUCGAAGCUGAACCCCUAAAAAAUAUCACUGGUGCGGCAGUCCAGAAAUUCUUCUGGAAGAAUGUGGUUUGCCGCUUCGGCCUACCCCGGGUGAUCAUCUCGGAUAAUGGCCGACAGUUCGCCGAUAAUCCUUUCAAGGCCUGGUGUGAGAACCUCGGGGUCAAACAGCAUUUCACUUCGGUGGGACACCCCCAAGCCAACGGACAAGCCGAAAACUUCAAUCGCACGCUCCUCCAUGGCCUCAAGACCAGGCUCCACCAGGCUGGAUCGUUUUGGAUGGAAGAGCUCCCCAGUGUGCUGUGGUCCUACCGAACUACGCCGAGAUCAGCAACCCAGGAAACCCCGUUUUCCUUAACCUACGGGUCAGAAGCUGUUGUUCCAGCCGAAUUCAUCACCCCGAGUCCACGAAUGGCCGCAUAUGCUGCCGAAGUCAAUGAAGAAGAACGGCGAGUUGACCUCGACCUCGUCGAAGAGAAGCGUGAUAUGGCCGCGGCCAAAGUUGCUGUUUACAAAAAUAUCGUAGCUGGCUACUACAACGCUCGGGUUAAACAUUUGCGGUUCAGUCCGGGAGACCUGGUGCUCAGGAAGAACUCAGUCAGCCGGGCUGAACCUCAGGGUAAACUAACCCCCAAGUGGGAGGGACCAUACCGUGUUGUUGAGUCCAGCCAAAAUGGAUAUUGUAAAUUGGCAUACCGAGAUGGGUCUCUGAGUGCCCCGAACUUGGCAUGCUGAAAAUCUUAAGUUGUACUACCCUUGAGGGUAUGUGCUUUUAAUCUUGAGUUAUUUCACACUUAUUUUCAUUUCAUUAUAAGUGAAAAAUAAGGGGACAAAGUAGCAGUAAAGAGGAAAACCGAAUUUAAUUAAAAAGAAAGCAAGAAUAUGAACUCAAUUCCAUUGAAUUACAUAAAAGUAGAAAGCCGAGGUCACCUUUAAUUAGGAAGAAAGCAAGAAUAUAAACUCAAUUCCAUUGAAUUACAUAAAAGUAGAAAGCCGAGGUCACCUUUGACCUCGGCCUACAAUGACAAAAAAAAAAACAAGUGCCUCUAGGCACUCCCUACCCUGACAUCCUGGCCCCCCGUGGUCGCGCCACCCGUUUCGGCACCCUGUCCACCCUCAGCUCCUCCACCGGCCUGGUCGUCUUCAGUACCAUCUAGUUCAAACUCCUGGAGCCAUUUGUUGAAUUCGGCUCGGACUUCGGUUAGGUCUUUCUCAGUCCGGAUGCCCUCAGCCAUGCUGUCGCAUAGCUCCUUGGCAUCCUCGUUAUAGUGCGAAGUGCUCUGAAGGGACUCCAGUUGUUCAGAGGGAAGAAAGGAUGCCGCGUCAUUAAUAGCCGACGUGUACCCGAACAUGAAGCUUGGCCGGGUGAGCUCGCCGAGGUCACGGAUGAAGGACUCUGACGUCCGGAAGGCUUCCACAGCAGUGACCCCGGCCUUGUCCAUGGCCUCCCUGUUUGACUGUUCUUCUUGGGCCCUCCUUUUUUUCUCCUCAUCAAGAGCAGUCACCAGGGAAUUGUUCGCGACCUCGGCCCUUUUGUUAGCCGCCUUGGCCUUGUCACGCUCCAACUCGGUUGCCUUCAGUUUUUCUUCCAACUCGGCAAUUCUCUUCUGGAGCUCGGCAGGAGGCUCAUAGUUUUCCAUGAACUUUCCAUACCGUUGAAUCAUCUCGACAAAAAAAGCCGUGGUAGAGGCCCAUGACACCGAGGCGCUCUGCAUCAACUCCCCUGCGGAGAGCUUCCUAGCAUAAGUGCUAUCUCGUGGCAGCACUGAAUGCACCAAGAGCUCCUGAGCGACCAAAGGGUUCUUGCAGCGAUCGUUGAAAUUAAUCUCCCACUCUGGACACCAGUGUGAUCCGGGGUGUCUCUUGUCCUCCUCAGCUGCCUUGAAAGGCACAUGAUGGAGUUUGAACAAAGAUGACCCCGUGACGGGGUUCUCCGGAAAUAUGGUCACACCCUGACCCCGGGGGGGAGUGGCAAUCGUGACCCAGCGAGAAGGGAUUCCCACCGGAAUUGCCGAGGCUCGGGAACCUCCCGGAGUGGCCGAGGUGUGCGAGCCCUCGCCCACGAUCACCACGGCAGGCUCGCGGUCGCCCGACGCCGCGGUGGUUUUCUUAGCCGGCCUGGAAGAGGACCCUGCAGUGUCCUUGCGCUUUUUGGGAGCUCUUUUGACCACCUCGACAUCUCCCGAGGUUAUCAGGUCGAAAAUCUUCGUCACUGCAAAGUAGGAGACGAAGUCAGUUAGAAUUCAAGAGGGAUAAACUAAAAGGGAAGAAAUGGAAAAAUACAAAGUCUGUGAAGCCUAGUCGAGAGUAAGACAGGCUGGUCAGAGCUCGUCAAGGCUCAACUGAUCCCGCCUUCCACGAGCACCACUUCGGGAAAAUCCCAGCAGUUUAUCCUGAGGCCCGACCCCGUUAACUUCUGGAAGUUACGCUCUUCUAACUUCCCUGGAGAUAUCUCCUUGAUCGAGGUGGGAGGCCUCCACCAGAAUCCGCGAGGGAAGUCAUCGGCCGAGACGAAGAAGAAGUUUUGCUUCCACUCCUUUAUUGAGUUCGGAGCAUCAACCACCAACUUCGGAACUUUGUUUCCGAAGUAGAACCAUCCUUUUUCACUUCUGCUGUUCUUGAGUGAGUAACAGCGGCGAAAGAGGUUGACCUAAGGUUGUAUCUCCUGAUGUCGGCAAAGUAGCUGGAAGCCAACGAGAAUGCGAAUAGCGUUAGGGGUGAGUUGAGUGAUUCUCACCCCCCAGUACCUCAGGCAGUCCCGAAGAAACCUCGUCGUGGGCACUCUGAGUCCGGCCUCCAGCUGUUCCUGAUAGAUAGUCACCUUGCCCUUUGGUGGCAGUGCGGCUGACUGAUGCGGUUGGGGUAUGUAAAUACUAUAAUCCCUUCUCCAGGGAUACCUGCGGACCACCUCGGCUAUUGAGGCUUGUCCCAUACCACUACUGAAGAACGGCAUCUGGCCGUAGUCGAGAGUUGCCACGUUUGGAGGAGUGGAAGGUUCUUGUACUCCCUCGUCUCUAGGGAUCUCAAUCCCGAGGUCAUCGUUGUAUAGGACCUCGGGCUGGACCUCGAUCUCCUCGGGCUGCACCUCAACCGCCUCAGCUCGGCGUGAUGCCUCGGCACCUCCACCCUCAGCUUGGUGAGAUGCCUCAGCACCUCCGCCCUCGGACGCGGUCCUUUCCUGGGAGGGGUCAGGCCUCUCUGCCUCAGUGAGGUCAGGUCUCACUGUCUCUUUGUGCGUACGAGCUGUUCUAGCCAUUGUAUCAGAAGGGGAAGAAGUGAACUUACUUAGAAUCUGCGACUGGAAGAAGAUGCCGAAGUAGACGUGGUUUAGAAAGGUUGCCGAAGUGAAAAGAGAAAGAAACAGAGUUCUGGGGUGAUUCUUGAUUUUUGGUGAAGAGUAAAACGGUGAAAAAAGACCACUAUUUAUAGGCCACCAGGGUGAAACCCAAGAGACGGCACCCUCUCUCUUCAUUAAUGGGAGGACUGUUCGUCUGCCAACACAGCUGACAGCCGUCCCUUCAGUUAUCACUCAGUCCCAUCUAUGCGGUCAUGACGUGUCCGUGUUCCGUGUUUUAUACGCUUCUCAGCUUCGGGAAGUAACGACCACGGCGGAUGCCCAUCUCGCCCUUCUCAAAGCUUGGGGGGCUUAGUGAGGAGGGCCAUUUAGGCUCGGAGCGCCCGAGGCCUAGUUCCCCAUCAUUUCCUGAAGUGCCGCCUCGGGUAUUAUCCUGGAAGGCGAUCGCGGCCCAUUUACCACCUCGGCUACAAUGUCAAGUCGUAACACCGAGGUGGACAUUGAAUGACAACUACGAAAAGGGGAGAUGUGAUCUCUGACACCUGAGCAAAGGCUGCUCUGACCCGCCGCCUGAAUCUGACAGAAUGUCCCAUCACGUCUCUUCAUGGAGACCGGUCAAGUCCACCUGAUCCACUGACUAUCUCAGAUCUUUUGGGACCCGUGCAAACAUCUCCUCUCUCCUAUCGGUCCCCUAUAAAUACACAAUAUUUCUACUGAAAAAGGGGAUGACCAAUUUCUGGUAAAACACACUCCACUCAUUACUUACUUCUCUAUAUCCGAACUGACUUAAGUUUCGGAGUUAUACCGGGGGAUCCAGCCCCUUUUCUUAUUCAAGCAGGUGACUUCGUCCAAGAGAGUUGCCCAAGGUAAAGAUAUUCUUCGAAUUGAGGUGACUCACUCCUGCGGGUCGAAAAUCACCUCUUCAAAUGGUAGAAAGUUUUCUUAAGAACCAAGAACAGCAUUAGUAUUCCCUCUGCUUCCAAAAACUUGUGUAUUAAAUAGAUUAAUGAAUUGUUUAACAUGCUCAUCUACUUGAAAAUGCACAAUACCCAUAACCCACUGAAAUUUUUGCAGGAAAAGGGAAAGAGAAUCUGUGUUUGAGAGCUUCAUGAAGAUGUUGAAGAAUAAGAAUAAAAGCCCAAUGCGAGGAUGUUUUCAAGUUUUUCUAUGUCCACUUUAAUUUGUAAAUUGAAUUUUACAACUCAAUUAAUUCCUUGUUUGUGAGGUACGUAUUGUUUUACGUACCAUGCCGUACAUGUUUGUAAGGAUUUCUAUCCUAUUGGCAAAAGUCGGUUCCAUACAAUUAAUCAAUUCAUUUCACUUCUAUUGGCUCUACUAUUUAUGCAUGUUACGACACUCUUUCCCUUAUAUUUUGCCUUUAAUAUUAUGAGUCAAUAGUAAUAAUGGGCCUUUUUCUUAAAAUUAUACUAUUAUACAUAGGUAGUUUGGUCUAACGCUAAAUUCAUGUUUGUCUUUCUUUUAUUCCCUUUACAUCUCAAAGUAUACUAUAGUUUGUAAUCAUUGUGGUGAUGAUAUUACCAGCUGGUACUUAUAGUUUAAGGCAGAGACAUGAUAUUAACAACUAUCUCAUUGAAACAUAAGUCAAAAUCAUGACAAGUGUGAGUCUUGGUUAAUGCACAAUUUGUUAGUGGAAUUUAUAUUUAUAAAACUCAAAAAAAAUUUUUGACAAUGCUAUUACUAAUUAAUUAAGGACUUCAUUGCUAUAAUUUAUCGCUUACUAGUUUAAACUAUAAAUGAUCUCAAUACUUUUCUCCAUGAUGUCGAUUUCUUUAGACUACGAAAGGGAAAAAUUAGUGACAUAUCCCUUACUGAUUACAACAUCAGCAAAAAUUAGUUAUAAACUUUUCCGGUGGUUUUAAAUCCCUCGGGCACUAAGGUUUUUUGCACAUCGAGUGAAUUAAGGAACAUAGGCAAUUCGUUCUGCAUACCAAGUCCUUGUUUAAGAUGCACGUACUAAAAUGCAUCCACUUCAUUAAUUUGGAAAAUUGCCAUAGUUUUUUUUAAGCAUUUUGAUUUUUUACAUGAUUCAAAAUUUUCUUAUUGGAUACAAUCACUUUGUGUCAAGAACACAUUUUCAAUCAUCUUUUUUAUCUUCUCAAUAAGAAAAUAAAAAUUUAUUCAUGCUUUUCUAACAUAUCCAAUCAUUGAUCUGAAAAAUAAAGAAUUAAAAAAAAAAGACAUUUUCAAUCAUUGCUUACAGGGCAACUUCCCCAUGUGAACCUCUUCAAACAAAGCCAAUAAUAUGAAGGAACAUCUAAAUACACUUUUGCCCUAAAGGCUGGUUGCCUUGGGGUCAAAAUUUAACCUUCGGGAGUAUAAUUACCCGCCAAAUUUAUUAUUUUUUAUGGGUAUAUAGUUCCAAUUUUGCCUCCUGUUAAGCUUAUAAAUAUAUUACGACCCAGAAAAUAAAGGAAUCUUGAAUAGUAACAUGUCCAUUGACUUGAGUUGUCAUCAAUUUGGCUACUUCGAUUCCAUGAGGCCAAUCCAAUUCACACUAGCUAGAGAAAAUGGUGAUAAAGGCACUUAGAAAUUUAUAUGUAAUAUUGAUUGGUAGUAACUGAUAAGUAUAUAUUUUACGUGUUUUAAAUAUGUUUUAUUAGUUAGUUUUGGUGUGUUUUAACUACUUUUAUAACUAAUUAACUAGGAAUCUAGUGAAAAUAUGCAUUUUGUGGUUUGAAGUGUGAAAAUUGUAUUUCUAUGGAUUUUAAUGGUGAAAACUUCAUGUUUUUGUAGGUUUAAUGAUUCAAUCAUCAAAUGACAUGAUUUGAGAAGAUAAUUAGAUGAUUGAUGAUGUUUUGAAGUGAUAAAAAGAGAAUACAAAGUGCAAGAGAGGAAAUGCAAUCAAGAAUAAAAGAAGAAAAUUUUUGUAGCUUUGACAUAUUGUGGUAUUUUGGCAAUAUAUUGAGCUACAAUGAUUGGAUUAAGGUGAUUCUUAAACCAUUUGAAGCUAAGAUAUAGAUCUACAUUUGGUAUGAAGGCAUCGAAACCCAUGUCAGUCAUUUUCCUUGUCAAAAUGUUGAAAUACAGAAGUGCAACUCUGUUCUCGAAAGCUAAAACAGAGCUCUGGCUAGUCGAGGGUAUUUUCAUCAUUUCUUAGUCCACAGAGCUCCAAAUGAGAUGAUUCUUAAGGCAUUAGAACCCUAACUCAAAGAGCUACAACUUUCAUAUUUUGUACAAGAGUUAGUUCGGCCUCCAUCAUUCAGAAAAUAGUAGUUGAAGUGGUGCCAAAUGCAUAGAAGUGAAAACGCGAGCUAUCAAUACUCGACCUGAAGUCGCGUAUUCCUGAGGUCAUGCAUUCUCUUCUAUUUUCUGCAACUUGCCCUGCUUUCACAUAAUUUUUUCAUCUCAAUUCCAACUAUCAAUUUCGGCUAUAUCUGAUCAAGAAAAGUGUGGAAAGUUUGAAAGACAACUCAUAGGAGUUUCAAGAGUCAAAAAUUACAAUUAGAAACAACUCAUUUGGCUCUUGAAUCCUCUAUAAAUAGAGGCCUUUGAAGAACAUUUUCACAACUUUGGAAGGUUAGAGAAACUCCACAAAAACAUAGUCUUCACUAGAAUUUCCUUAGUUCAUUAGUUAGGGUAGUAUAGUAUAGUUAGUGUAGCUUUUCCUUCUUGUAUUUAUAGUUAGGUUUGAAUGAAGAUUCAGGAGCAAAGAUAGAGAGGUUGAUCUCAUGUGACAAGGGUGAUAUCUCUUCUACUACUUUCUCUUUUGUAUUUGAUUUCAUAUUUAACUAUACUACAAAUUUGGCUUUGUUUUUUUUUUUUAUCAUGUUUAGUUAAAGUUUAUGCCUAGAGUAUGGAUGACCUUUCUAUAUCUUGUUUGUGAUAUUUAACUGGUUAUUUGAUGAUGUUAUUUUUGAGCAAGUUAUUUAUCACUUUUGCUUUUCUAAUCGUGAUUAACUGGCCAUUAGUUGUGAUUAUCUAAAAGUGUUAAGUUUGUAAUGAGAAUUGGAGUUUAACACUAGUUCAAGGAAGUGAUAAAUUUAGGGAGUUCACUCAUGAGAGUAGAGGAACACCUUUGUGACCUAAGUGACUUGUUUCAUAUAAUUUCAUAGAAAAAAUGAACUUGUAAUUAAUUUCAUAACCACGAGAGUAAGUAUGGUUUAGCUAUAUGUAUAGUUGAUUCACUACGAGAGUAGGUUUCACAUACAUUAGAAAAUUACAUCAUAACUAGUCAAGAUAAUAUCAUUCAUUUAAUCAGUAAUCUCAUUUGCAUGAGUAGUAAGGCAUUCCAUAUCUCUAGGAGGUUUUUAGUAUUAUUUUCAUUACUUUUAUGUUUAUGGUAGUCUAGAUAAUAAUGGAGUUCAAAAACUACUAGUAAUUGAAAAUUUUCCCUGUGGGAUCGACCUUUAAUACCCUAUACUCGCUCUCGACUCGUAUACUUGCGAAAAAUCACGUGUGCGGUAUUUAGAAUUUAUAAAUGUAAAACUUGACUGUAGAUGAACUAAUUGAUAUAUGUAUACCCCGCACUCGUCAGUAACCAGCUUGUAUUGAUCCCAUUAUUGUGGAUAAUUGUGCUCUUAUGAAAAAAAAUUAUAAAAAAAUUAGCAAAAUUUAUGAUAACAAAUUAAAUUUAUUCAUACAAAUCAGUGAAAGAAGUAGAAUUUUAAAGACCAUGAUGAAAUUAAUACUUUCAAGGGCUCUAUUAGGAAGACUUCACUUGUUGGUGAAACUACACUAGCACAGUUAUAUGCACAUUUACUGUUUUGGUAUCUAAUUUCCUUGCCUUAAGUUGGGUGCAGAUGUUUAUAUUACAAAUAGAUGGUAUCAUAAAAUUGUUGUAUUCACGUUUGUUCUUUUUUUUUCUUCCUUAAGUUUUUUUCUUUAUUCUCGUGACUUCAAAAAUACGAACUCAAGAAAUUGGCUGCUUAAUCAAUAUGUCAUACAGGCUUCGCUAGUGAGGUAUAACUUCACAACUAGAGUCAAUAGAAAUUAUCAAAUGAUUUUUUAACAUCCAAAUUAAGCAAUAAAUUUUGUUUUCAUUUUAUGACAUAUAAUAGUACUACUUCAUGAGAGAUUUUAUAGUUUCUUUUAGGUAUCAUACCUACAAGUGAUAUUUGUCAUUGGAUAGUGACAGAAGUGUUAAUGAUUGUAAGAUUAAAUAUUGUUAAAUAUUGAAAUUUAAACUAUUUAUCUUUAUUGAAAGAUACAAGUUAAAGAAUCGUUCAAGGGGGCAAUUUUCCAUCUUGUCUUUUUGAAAAAACGCUAUCACAUUGUAUAGGCAUGAUAGGUUCAAAUUUGUCAUUAAAUUUAUGAUUGAUUUCCCUUUUAUUCAAGCCAAAUAUUGUUUUAAUUAUCAAAUUCUACUUAUAUUUGGUUAAUUGUACUAAUUGUAGGGCGGUAGAGCAAAAGUUGCUAAAAAUAGGUGAUUUUCUGCAAAUUGGUUGUCAAGGCUGAAGGAUUUGGGAUUCGCAUGUUCAAGGCCUGUUUCCAAGUUUGAUUCAAACUCUGGACAGUUUUAGAGGAAGAUUUGGAAGAUUUGAAAUUUCAUUAUUAGUUUUAUGGUUGAAUUAGGAAUCUUGGAAUAAUUUCUUUUGUGAUUUAUUUUUCUAUUUAGGAGACUAGUUGUUAUUUAGUAGUAGACUUCAAUUAGAAAACAAAGAGAAAAAGAAGGCCGGAAUCCCGCUUGAUUAAUACCUUGGCCAGGGAACAAUCUCGGUGGGGAGGACGGCCACUUAGCCUCUCAAUUCAUCUUGCUUUUCGUUAGUUUGAGAGGAAAACCAAUUGCAACUAGAUUCAAUGGAGUCUGGCAGAAUUUCUUCUAGGAUGCGUAGCUAAAUCCUCAAUUUUUAGUCGAAGGUCAAUUUGAAAAUUCGGUUCCAAAUAUCUGUGAAAUCGAAUUAUUUUACUUAUUUCUUUUAUUUAUUGGUAUUCGCACGUUUUCUGAUUUAACUUUUUAUGAUUGUUUUGUUAUUUGAAUGUCAAGGGUCCGAUAUUCGAAUUAACUUAAUAAUCUACUGCCAAAUUAACCGGUUAAAUCCGUAAUUGUUUGAUUGAUUAAUAUCAGUGGCGACUAGCGUGAUUGGUCCCAUGUUAGGAAAACGUCUGAUCUAAUUUAAACAAACCGUCGUAGCGUGUUUGUUGAUUAGGGUUGGACUUUUCUAAUUCUUAAUUCAAUUGAGAAAUUAAAUCUCCCGGUCGUACCUAAGAUUAUUUUUUUGUUAGCGAAAUAGUUAAUGGUCGUACCUUGACUAUCGAAAAAGUAAGGAAGAGUUGAUUGUUUAUCGCGUGUACGACAACUAUAAUCAAUCUAUUAAUGAGUAAUUGAAUUAUCUUUGCAUCAGUAAUCAGUUGAAUGGACCGUGUCUGAAAAGUUGUACCUUUGGCUAGAGUCUUAUCUGUUGUUGAUUCAUUCAUAUCUAUCUUCAUGCGUUGUUUUAAUUUAGUUAAUUAGUUAUUUUUAUAAAAACCCCUCAUCUCUGGACUCUAAAAGAAAUAAAUUAUUUCUAGUUCCUGUGGAUUCGAUCCUACUCACCGCUAUAUACAAAAUUUGUAUUUUUUUGAAUAAAUAAUUAUUAUUACACAGGCUUGACACCUGUCAAGGCAAAAUUUCCUUAACUUCAUCAUCUGUAGACGUAAACUUUCUACGGGUGAUAUAAUAUAAGGAAAUUUUGCCUAUACGAUGUGAUAGCAUUUUUUCAAAAAAGACAAGAUGGAAAAUUGCUCCCUUGAACGGAAAAAAUCAUGAUCUUUCCUCAAACUAGUCUACUAGUCAAUUCUUUACAAAAGAAUACUCGCUCCUAAACAUAGCCUGUUCAUCUACACUGUCCCGCAGAAUUCUAGAAAGUUAGGCAAAACUAGACAAGUUGACAGGUAUAAUCAUACCCAAGAUCAGGAACAAGCAGUUGCACAUUUCAAAAUUCGCUGCUGCAACAGCUAAUUUGAUGACUUACAACACUACACGGUCAAACUUUGAAUGGCAAUGGAUCUUUUGUUGUACGUCAUGAUGUAAUUUUCAUGUUACAUACAUUAAUAGGUUGAUAUCUAUAUUCUUUAAAUUAUCAUGAUAAUACCCUUAAUUAGAUUUAACUGAUAAAAAGAACACGUGUUAAUAUACAAAAGUGUGUAACGUGAAUGUUACAUUACUGUAUUGCAGAAGACCUAUAGUCUCUUCAUAUCUCUUCCUGCACGUAUCAAUUCGUUUCCUCUAGAUAAUAAUCUCCCAACUCGUUUCUUUACAAAUGCACCUUUUAUGUUUUAUUACCUCCAAAAGCCUUUACAGGGUCUUUACCCUAAAAAUCAAUUCACCGACUCGCAUUUGAUGUCAGAAAUUCUUAAGACGAAUUCUACUUUACUCAAAGAUUGACUGUUAAUAAUGAGACAGCGACCAUUUUGUAUUAUUAGACCGUCCUUCUUGAUAGGUAAAAGAAAUAGAGAGGAAAGUGGGUCCGUAUAUGGUCUUUUAUUCAUAGAUAAUACAACAUUACGCCAUCGAGCAUUCACACAAUAUUUCAAAGUCAUAGCAUGCCUAAGGCCCUGUUUGAUAGCUCAAUUUCGUAAUUAAAUUUAAUAGAUUCAAAUUUUAACACAUUUAAAUCAUUUGAUAACAAAAAAUUGAAUAUUUAAAUUAAUUAAGUAACACUGAACUUUCUAAACAAAACUUGCUUUCAAAAUUAAGUGAUAAGUUAUUCACUUAUCUUUGAAUGUGAUAUGCACUCAAAUAUAUUAAAUUUAAUAAUUUAAUGGAUUCAGAUUUCAGAUUUCAGUUUUAUUACACACCCUAAGUUGCAAAAUAAUACCAAAACUUGUUAUUAUAUAGCUUGAGAUUCAAAAAUUUAGAGCAUAAUUCUCAACCUAACACAAUCGAAUAAUGAAUAUUCACGAUUGUUUCAAAGUACAAUUUGAGGACAACCCAUUCCAACGCGUACACGAUUUUUAACUUUUCUAAAGUUGUUGAGAGCUGUUAAAAGAGAUUUACCAUGUUUACAUCUUCCAAGUCUUGGAAGUGAAAAAUGAAGCCACUGAGUGCUAUAAAAAGGGGGCUAGAGGCUGCCUAGAAGCAUAUCAGCCUAAAACAAGAAUUUGUAGUAACAAUGGGGAGCAAAGCAAAAGCAACGGGGUCUAGGCUGACUCCUCUUCUUACCACUGUUUUAGUGGUAUUUGUCGCCCUUGGCUUGCCCUUGGAAACUGCAGCUGAUUAUUACAAGUAUUCAUCUCCUCCUCCUCCUCCUUACCACUAUUCUUCACCACCACCUCCAGUGUAUUCACCUCCACCAACCCCUGCUUAUAAGUUACCCCCACCAUCUCCUCCAGUUUACAAGUCCUCACCACCACCUUACCACUACUCACCACCUCCGGUGUAUUUACCUCCACCAUCUCCAGUUUACAAGUCACCACCACUACCCCCUCCGGUAUACAACUCCCCGCCUCCACCAGUGUACAAAUACAAGUCCCCACCACCACCUCCUCCAGUUUACAAAUCUCCAUCGCCACCAGUUUACAAAUACAAGUCACUCCCACCACCUCCUCCGGUAUACAAGUCUCCUCCGCCACCUGUUUACGAGUACAAGUCUCCUCCACCACCUCCUCCAGUGUACAAGUCCCCACCACCUCCAGUUUACAAGUACAACUCACCUCCACCUCCUCCCCCAGUUUACCUGUCUCCACCUCCACCCUAUCAUCACUACUACGGUUCUCCUUCUCCUCACCACUACUAAGCAAGUGCAUAAGUUUUGAGGUAAUAAUACCUAUCCAAAACUUUAUCAACACAAACUGCCAUGUAUAUUAUCAUGCUAAGGACGUACACUUGAUCCAUGAAAAUGACUAGUAGAAGAUUUUUUUUAAGAACCAAAGAAAUACAUUAUUUUUUCGGUCUGUUUUCAAGAAUUUGAGCAGUAUACAGAUUAAAGAGUGUUUUUUUUUUUGUAAACUUGCUUGUCAACUUAAAAAUGCACAUAGCUGAAAGCCAACUGAAUAUUUGCAGGCAAAGGAGAAGGCAAUCGGUGUUUGAGACCUUCAAGAAGAUGUAGAAGAAUAAGAAUAAAAGCCCAAUGCGAGGAUGAUUCCAAGUUUCUACGUUACCAUUUCUACAUCUAAAUUGACUUUAGCUCCUGAGUUCCAUGUUUAUGGGGUUUGUACCGUUUUACGUACCAUGCAGUACAUGCUUGCAAGGUUUUCUGUCCUGUUGGCAAACUGCAGGUCCAUAUAAUAAAUGAAUACUAUUUACAUUACGACACUUUUCUCUUUUUCUCUUAUAUUUUGUCUUUAAUAUUGUUGAUCAUUUUUUUUUUAUCAAAAGCAUCAAAUGCUUAGGUAAUUUGGUCUAAUGCUAAUUGUUUUACUUUUAUUUUUCACCUACACCCCUUUUCAACUCAAAGGAUGCUAUAGUUUGUGAUAAUUGUUUAAGACCGAAGCAUGAUACUAAUAAAUAUCUCAUUGAAAGUCAAGGAAACUAACAUUAGGAAAAGUUUAAAUCUUGAUUUGAUGAAACUAUUUAUUCGUGGAAUUUAGAGAUACAAAACUCAAAUUGUGACGGUGUUGUUGCUAAAUUAUUAAGGACAUUAUCACCAUUAUUUUUCCCUGAUCACUAGUUUCAACUGCAAUGAUCUCAAUCUUUUUGUGACUAAUUCUUUCCUUAAUAAUUUAUAAAGACAAAACUCACAAAGAAUAUGUGACUAAUUCUUUCCUUUCGUCUUCUAAAGAAAAUGCCAACUGUUAGUUUAUCAAGGGGAAAAAGGAUCGACAUCAGUUAUUAUUGAAACUAGUAAGGAAUAAAUAAUGGUGAUAAUGUCCUUAAUAAUUUAACAACAGCACCAUCAGAAUUUGACUUUGAGCUUCGGUCUUAAACAAUGAUCACAAACUACAGCAUCCUUUGAGUUGAAAAAGGAAGUAGGUGAAAAGAAAAGUAAAAAAUACAAUUAGCAUUCCCUCAAAUUGUAGAAAGUUAGGUAGCAUUAUAGACAAGUUGAUAGCGGCAAUUUUACAUUUCAAACUUCACCUAUUCAAUAACUAAUUCGAUGGCUUGCUACAUGGUCAAUCUUUGGACCCCUUCCUGCCUCCAGAUAUCCCUUUCCUCAAUCAGGGGCUUCUACAAUUACCAGUUUCAAUUGUAUGGUAUAGUGUAAAUAUCAACAAAUUAGAUGUAGAUGCUAACAUAAUAAAUGUGAAUGCUAAGACAGCAACAUACAAUCGAACCUGCAAUUGUAUGAACCCCAAUCUCGCUUCCUAGUCCACCAUCUUUCUCUAGGUAAUAAUCUCCCUUCUAAUUUAUUCACAAAAUGCACCUUUCAUCACCUCCAAUAGCGUCGACAUGAUCUUUACCCUAGAAGACUAUUCACCGACUCUCAAUUGACGUCAGAAAAUCUAAGAGUAAUUCUACUUUACCCUAAGAUUGAUAUCAACAAGACAAGGACAAUUUAGAAUUAUUACACGCCUCUUCUUAAUAGGAAAAAGAAAUAGAGAAGAAAGUCAGGCCAGGUCUAAUUUCUUUUCAAAGGCAAUACAACAUUACGAAAUCAAGCAUUCAUUCAUACAAAUAUUUCAUAGUCACCGGUUUGCUGAGUAGAAAAAUUUAGACAAAAACUUAAUAUUAUAUUGUUUAAGAGUUAACAAUUUAGAGCUUAAUCUCCUUGUACUUUGGAGUUAACAAUUUAGAGCUUAAUCUCCUUGUACUUUGGACUAAACUUGAACGUGAAAGGAAAUCCCAAAACCAUAUUGGGCAUGAAUUCACACUUAAUAUACCCAAUAAAAGAUGGCGACUGGUGAAAGGCAGUGGAGACUGGUGGAGAGAUUUGAGGAAUAGAAGCAGACGGAAAAGCAACAAAUUUUUGCCGAAAAACGGUCACUUUCAUGGUUAAUUUUGCUACUCUCCAAUUGUACUUGACCAAUUACAACAAUUUCAUGGAGUUUGAUACGUGAAAAGAAUUUUUUAUAAAUUUUAUUUUGAUCCAUAAUGUUAUCUUUACAUAUAUAAAACAUUUUACAAUUUUGAUUUUGGCGCAGCUAACUUUUGGUUAACAAAAAUGCUCAUGUUUAAAAAACCAGAAAUAAAACAAAACAAGAAACAAAAGAAAUAAGAGGGUAGCAUAGACAUUUUGGAUUUUUCCGUUAAUUUGGAUGAUUUCCACCCACGUUCUAAUUUAAUCCAAAACACAAAGGAAUUACGUAGAGGUUUUAAAUAAUGAGGGAGCUUCAUGAUCGAACCCCAAACCACAAGGCGAUUUACUAUAUUUUACUCUUAAAUUUUGGUUUCAUCUCAUAGCAUACAAGAGUUCUAUUUCACUAUCUGUAGACAAAGACUUUCUAUGGUUGAUGUACCAUAGGAAAAAAUCUGCCUAUACAACGUGAUAGCAUUUUUUCAAAAACACAAGAUGGAAAAUUGCCCCUUAAACGGGGAAAUUCAUGAUCUUUCGUCGAACAAAGAAUACUCACGCCUAUUCAAGAUGGAAAAUUGCCCCCUUAAACGUCUAUUUGUCAAUUCUUGAAAAAAGAAUACUCACGCCUAAAACACGGCCUCUUCAUCUGCAGAAUUCUAAAAAGUUAGGUAAACUCUAUAAACAAGUUGAUAGGUACAAUCGUACCCAAGAUCAAGUACAGAUAGUUGUACAUUAACUGCUGCAAUAACUAAUCUGAUGACUUAUAAACAUAUCAUGGUCAAUCGUUGAAUGGUAAUGAGUCUUUUGUUAUGCAUUAGUAUUAGUGUGUACACUCUAAUAGAUUGAUACUUAUACUCUUUAAAUUAUCAUAAUAAUACCCUUAAUUAACUUUAACUCUUAAAAAGAAUACAUGUUAAUACACGAGUGUGUGUAACCUGAAUUGUUACUUAUAAAUUAGUGUGUAAUAGAUAGGGAUGGCAAUGGGGGCGGGUGCCCGCGGGGGGCUCUCGGGGCGGGGGUUGGGGCGGGGGGGAAUUUUUUCCCCCCGUUUAGAAAUGGGGCAGGGGACGGGGGAGUAUACCCCCGCCCCAUCCCCCGCAAAAAAAAAAUUAUAUAUAAUAUGUAAUUUAAUUAGUUAUAAACUUAUGAUAAUGAUAUUAUUAGUUAGAUGUAUUAUAUAAUGUAUAUUAGUGUAUGUAAUAUAAUUAAUAUUAUCAAUUAUAUGAAUAAUUAGACAUGUCUACUAAUAGAAUUUAUGAAUUAGUUAUACUAAAUUUACUAAUACAUUUAUACUAAAUUUCUAAUUACACUUAAUAGAAUAACACUUUUUUCUAAAACAAAAAAGCACAAACACAAUAAUGAAUUAGUGAUUGUAUGAUAGGGUGUAAUUUUACUAUUUAUUUUAUUAUUAAUUUCCCCUAUCACCUGACCUGAUGUGGAUUAAUUGCUGGAUUCUGCUCACUUUUAGUACUUUGUAUUUAUUUCAGGGAGUAGAACGGAAAUUUGAUAACAGGUGCUAAUUUGGCAGAAAAAGAGUCCAGAUGAUAGAGCUUGCCCCAAGGGCAUUUUUGGAAAGGAGAACUUGUGCCCAUCUUGGUAAUUUGGGAGAAAAGGGAAACAGACAAAAUGGGUCUAACAUGGAUUGGAAGCGGCCGCACAGUAGCAGGGAAGAGGGCAGACGUAAAAGCAAUUGCAGGGGGGAAAAGGAGUUUUUUUAGUUUUUAGCUUAGCAUCUGAUUUUCCCUGGGAGACUUUUGUUAAAGAUUUCCUUUUGGCUGAUAUUACGCAUGGCAGAUGGCUUUUAACUUAUUCCUCCAUCUUUGACUUUUCUUCUUUAGCUUGUGGCAGUGGAUUGCUACUUACGAAUGUCAGCACUUAGCCAUUCGUGGCUUUUGAUCUUUUCUUCCUUAGAAAUUCUGAGUAACCUCUUUUCCUUUGUGCGCCAGACGAAGUGAAAACUAUAAACUUUUGUAGUUUUUCUAUUCAUUCAAUAUAUUGAGACGAGUUGGAUUCUACCAAAUUUCAACGGACAUGGCCGCUGGUUUCUCUUCAAUUUUAUAUGGGCUUUGUUCAUCCAACAUGAACUAAUUUCACCACUCUAGUCAAGGAGCAACGAAGGCUCUGAUUUGCCUAAAAAUUGUGAGAUCGUUUUAAUUUAAUCUUUUCCUUUUAUUUAUUGGUAUCCGCACAUUUCUUGAUUGCUAUGCUUAUGGUUAUUUAAUUAAUUGAUUGUCUUGGAUCCAGAUAAUUAAUUGAUCUGAUAGCCUAUUGUCAAUUAGGGCAUUUAAAUCCGUAAUUGUUUAAUUGUCCUGAAAUAGUGACAACUGGCACGAUUAGAUUCGUGCCAGGGGGGAUAUGCGGGCUAAUCUAAAAUAACCCUGGUAGUGUGUUAUUUGGUUAGAAUAGGGCUCCUCUAAUACUAAGGCAAUUGGGGAAUUAAAUUCUACGGGCGUACCUAGGAUUAUUUCUUAAUUAGAGCAGUGAUUAACGGGCGUACCUUGAUCACCGACACAGUAAGGAGGGGUUGACCGUCAUCGCUUGUUUGGCAGUUAUAACCUAUUUAUCAGUAAAUAAUUGGGAUUGCCUUGCAUCAAUGAUCAAUUAGGUGAACCAUUGUUGAAGUUACUUCUUGGUUAGAUCUUUAGUUAAUAUUACCUUGAUUUUGGUGAAUUGCCAUUUGAUUUUUAGUUGCCUACUUUAUUUUAUUUUUAAUUGUUUCCUUGCUUUAAUUGAGUUAGGCCUUUAAUUAUUGUUAUUCUAAGUUUAGUGAAUUGUGGUUUAAUUCCUAAUUAGUUAUUUAUUUUUACUUUCUUAUUUGAAUUUAUUUGCUUGUUAUCAUUCCUACGAAAUCACCCCCCUGUGUUACUUUGGAUUUCUUAAGAAACAAAUAUACCCAAUCCCUGUGGAUACGACCCUACUUGCUCUGUUCACGAAUUCAUAAUUAUUUGUGAAAAGAAAUAACCAUUCCACUCGGGUAUAUCGGAUCAAGCAAAUUCUUCGGGAACAGGGUGAAUCAAGUAACCCAAUGCACACCUAGAGUCCCUGCUCCAGUACUUGGAAUUGGGUUUUGGUCAUUUUAACUGGCAAUUAGGUUUAAUUUUAUUAUUGCACAGGCUGACGACCCUGUCAAUUUUUGGCGCCGUUGCCGGGGACUGGCGUUAUUAUUUGUUUCUUUUUAAAUUCAUUCUUUGUCCUAAUUUUCUGGUUUUCUUCUAGUGUAUGCCUCGAUCUUCUCGUACAGGUAAUUUGAUUUUUGACCCUGAGGUAGAGAAGACCGCAUGUAGAACGAGAAAGGAAACCAGACAGCUCAGAGAAGAGCACUCCAGUGCUACAUCUCAGAGACCCGAGUCAGAAGUUGAACUAACAGAUUCGUUUGGUAACACUUCGAGUGACUCUGACCAGGAGGAAGACACCAUGGCUAAUGCACGAACAUUAAGGGAGUUGGCUGCUCCUGAUUUAACUCAGCAGCCUUUAUGCAUUACUUUCCCCACUUUAAAUGAUAACAUUCCAUUUGAACUAAAAUCUGGUCUGAUUCAGCUUUUACCCUCUUUUCAUGGUUUACCAGGUGAAGAGCCGUAUAAGCAUCUGCAGGAGUUUGAUGUCGUGUGUAAUAGUAUGAAACCCUCGGGAAUCACAGAAGAGCAGAUAAAAAUGAGGGCAUUCCUCUUCUCCUUGAAAGAUUCUGCGAAGGACUGGCUGUACUACCUGUCACCAGGUAGCAUCACCACGUGGGACCAAUUGAAGAAAAAAUUUUUGGAUAAAUAUUUUCCUGCGUCCAGGGCUGCAAGUCUAAGGAAAGAAAUUUGUGGGAUCAAGCAGCAUCCAGGGAAGUCACUUUAUGAGUAUUGGGAACGGUAUAAGAACUUGUUGCGCAGGUGCCCCCAACACCAAAUAAGUGAGCAAUUGAUCAUACAGUAUUUUUAUGAGGGGCUCCUUUUUAGAGACAGGAGCAUCAUUGAUGCCAGGGGGGAGGGUUGGGAUGGGUGGUACGGGGGGAGGGAGUGUAAGCAAGAGGUCUCGGGUUCGAGUCCUCCCGCUUACACACAAAAAAAAAGAUGCUGCAAGUGGAGGGGCACUGGUAAACAAAACCCCUCAGGAAGCACGGGAGUUAAUAGAGGGGAUGGCAGAGAAUUCACAACAAUUCAGUACAAGAGAGGAUGUCCCAAUACGUAAGGUGAAUGAGGUAGAGACACCCUCUAUGCAGCAGCAGCUAACUGAGUUGACCGCGUUUGUUAGGCAACUGGCUGUGAGAAAUGCAUCACAAGCCAGGGUGUGCGGGAUUUGCACUGGUAUGGGUCAUUCUGCAGACAUGUGCCCAAUGAUUCAGGAAGAAACUGCAGAACAGGUGAACAUGGCUGACCACGCGCCCGCGCCAAGGAAGCAGUACGACCCUUACUCAAGCACCUACAACCCCGGGUGGAGAGAUCAUCCCAACCUCAGUUAUGGAGAAAAUAGGCAGCCCAACAUUACACCGAACAGGCAGUCUAACUUUGUGCCAAAUAGGCCACCAGGGUACCAGCAGCAAUAUCAACCCCGACCACCUCCGUCCCCAAGCUCUGGCCCAUCUUUGGAGGAGAUGAUGAAACAAAUGAUGACAACUAUGGCUCAAAAUCAGCAAAUGACGGAGGCAACCAUUAUGCAAAAUCAGCAAAGGACGGACUCCGAAAUGAAGGAUAUAAGGAAUCAGAUAAGUCAAAUGGUCACAACAAUCAACCGUUUGGAUUCCCAGAACCAAGGUAAAUUGCCAUUUCAGCCCGAAUUAAAUUCGAAGAACGUGAGCGCAAUGACCCUAAGGAGCGGGAAAGAAAUUCAGGGGUCUGAACCUGUGAUCCCUAAGGAUAAGGAUGAGGAAAAGAUCGAAAAUGAGCUUGAAAGGGAGGACAGCAAUGGUGCAGAUCUAAAGGUACUUCCUGACCCAAUAAUUACAGCUAAAACUAACCCGCCUCCUUUUCCUAGCAGGUUGGAAAAAUCGAAAAAAGAGGAUAAGGAGAAGGAGAUCUUGGAGGUUUUUCGCAAGGUUGAGAUAAAUAUCCCCCUCUUAGACGCAAUCAGACAAGUACCAAAAUAUGCCAAGUUCCUAAGGGACUUGUGUGUCAACCGAAGGCAGUUGAGGGAAGAUGAACGGGUUAUUGUUGGGGAGAAUGUGUCAGCAGUCCUGCAGAGAAAGCUCCCACCAAAGUGCGGGGACCCAGGUAUGUUUACUAUUCCCUGUAGGAUAGGUAAUACUGUGAUAGAAGGGCCAUGUUGGAUCUGGGAGCAUCAAUUAAUCUCAUACCUAAAUCUAUCUAUGCUUCUCUAAAAUUAGGUCCAUUAAAAGAAACUGGAAUAAUCAUUCAAUUAGUUGACCGAACUAAUGCAUAUCCUGAUGGGUUGGUUGAAGAUGUGUUGGUAAAAGUUAAUGAUUUGAUGUUUCCAGCUGAUUUUUAUGUACUUGAUAUGGAUGAUGAUCACUCCCCUGAUCCCUCACCUCUGUUAUUGGGUAGACCCUUUAUGAGCACAGCACAGACGAAAAUUGAUGUUAAUAAGGGUAUCUUGUUCAUGGAGUUUGAUGGGAAAAUUGUGCAUUUCAAUAUCUUUGAUACUAUGAAAUAUCCCUCAAACUCCAACUUUAGCACAGUUUUCUCUGUGAGUGCUAUUGACCCUGUAGUGCAGGAAGUGUUUGAAACUGAUGGCAGGGAUGAGUUGGAGGUGGCUUUGACCAAGCACCUCGAGUUGGAGACAACUCCUGAGGUGGAAUGGAGCGAGGACCUAAAAUGCACAAUAGGUGCAUUACACUCAUUGCAGUCCACCACGAAAAGGUAUGAAGUCUUACCUAUUUUUACUCCCGAACCUCACCAGAGGGUGUUGCCAUCUGUGGUGCAGGCACCUGUACUAGAAUUUAAACCUCUAUCAGAGCACCUGAAAUAUGCAUAUCUGGGUGAUAAUGAGACACUCCCGGUGAUUAUCUCAUCGACACUGUCAAAAAUCCAGGAGGAGAAACUGAUCCGGGUCCUUAGAGAGCAUAAAGAGGCGAUAGGUUGGACAAUCGCAGAUAUUAAGGGGAUCAGCUCGGCCAUCUGUAUGCACCGGAUUAGACUAGAAGAGGAUGCCAAACCUGUUAGGCAGGCUCAAAGGAGGCUCAACCCCCUAAUGAUGGAAGUUGUAAAGAAAGAAAUUUUAAAAUUGCUAGAUGUGGGGAUUAUUUUUGCAAUAUCAGAUAGCCCUUGGGUAAGCCCGAUCCAGGUAGUCCCAAAGAAGGCAGGGGUGACGGUGGAGGCAAACCAAACGGGUGAGCUCGUGCCAGUGCGCAAACCCACUGGAUGGAGGCAGUGUAUAGACUACCGUAGGCUAAACGCCGUCACCAAAAAGGACCAUUUCCCUCUCCCUUUCAUUGACCAAAUGGUUGAACGUUUAGCUUGUAGAGCUUAUUAUUGCUUUUUGGAUGGAUUUUCAGGAUACUUUCAGAUAGCAAUUGCUCCAGAGGAUCAAGAGAAGACAACCUUCACGUGCCCGUUCGGGACCUUUGCUUAUAGACGAAUGCCAUUUGCGUUGUGCAAUGCACCUGCAACAUUCCAGAGGUGUAUGGUAAGUAUUUUUUCUGAAUAUGUGGAGAAAAUUAUUGAAGUUUUCAUGGACGAUUUCAGUGUGUAUGGUGAUAGUUUUGAUACGUGUUUAGAUAAUCUGAAAUUGAUCCUGAUAAGGUGUAUAGAGACUAAUCUUGUGCUUAAUUGGGAAAAAUGUCAUUUUAUGGUUGAGCACGGGAUAGUCCUGGGUCAUAUUGUAUCGUCUAAGGGCAUAGAAGUUGACAAGGCUAAAAUAGAUAUUAUUUUUGCAUUACCUUACCUCGCGAGUGUGCGGAAGGUGCGUUCUUUUCUUGGACAUGCAGGUUUUUAUCGAAUGUUCAUCAAGGAUUUUUCAAAAAUUGGAGCCCCGUUAUUCCAACUCCUACAAAAGGAUGUGACCUUCGAAUUCGAUGAUAAGUGUGAGGAAGCCUUCAACAAGUUGAAAGAAUUGUUGACCUCACCCCCAAUUAUCCAGCCCCCUGAUUGGAGUCUACCAUUUGAGAUCAUGUGCGAUGCCAGUGAUCAUGCCGUAGGGGCUGUAUUGGGGCAAAGAGUAGGGAAGGCAGCUCACGUCAUCUACUAUGCAUCCCGAGCAUUGAAUGGAGCCCAAUUGAAUUACUCCACUACUGAAAAGAAGCUUCUUGCAGUUAUUUUUGCUUUAGAAAAAUUCAGGUCAUAUUUGCUAGGUGCUAAAGUAAUUGUAUUUUCUGACCAUGCAGCAUUAAGGUACCUAAUGACCAAGAAAGAUGCCAAACUGAGGCUCAUUAGGUGGAUAUUGCUACUGCAGGAAUUUGACCUGGAGAUACGGGAUAAAAGGGGCUCAGAGAAUUUAGUAGCUGACCAUCUGAGUCGUAUACCCGUUGGAGAGGAUAAUGAACCAUUGAGGGAUGCGUUCCCUGAAGAGCACUUAUUUUCUUUAAAUUCUCAGUUGCCUUUGUAUGCCGAUCUGGUCAAUUAUUUGGUAACUGGUAAUUUUCCUGCAGGUUGACCAAAAUCGAAGAGGGAUAAAUUGAAGAGCGACGCCAAGUAUUUUAUUUGGGACGACCCGUACCUAUGGAAGAGGUGUGCAGAUCAAGUGAUGCGGAGAUGUGUAAGUGAAAUGGAAUUUCAAUCGAUUUUAGCUUUUUGUCAUACUUUUGCCUGUGGAGGUCAUUUGGACCCAAGAGAACUGCUCAUAAGGUUUUAGAAAGUGGAUUUUAUUGGCCUUCAUUGUUUAAGGAUGCCUAUGUGUUUUGUAAGUCAUGUGAUCGCUGUCAAAGGGUAGGUAAUAUACCCCGUAGAGAUCAAAUGCCCCAAGUCCCGUUGAUUUUUAUUGAAAUUUUUGAUGUCUGGGGUAUAGAUUUCAUGGGGUCUUUUCCUACUUCAUUUGGUUUUUUAUAUAUUUUGCUGGCAGUUGAUUAUGUGUCUAAAUGGGUGGAGGCUAAGGCCACUCGAACUAAUGACUCGAAAGUAGUUGCAAAUUUUGUCAGGUCUAAUAUUUUUGUGCGAUUUGGAAUGCCUAGUGCUAUUGUCAGUGAUAGGGGAACGCACUUUUGCAACAAAAUCAUAGCUGCGUUGUUUCGCAAGUAUGGUGUACUCCAAUGGGUCUCAACGUCGUACCACCCUCAGACCAAUGGUCAAGCGGAGGUGUCGAAUCGAGAGAUCAAGUCUAUCUUGGAGAAAAUGGUGCGCCCCGAUAGGAAAGACUCGAGUCAAAGGCUGGAGGACGCACUUUGGGCCUAUCGGACGGCGUACAAGACUCCUAUAGGGAUGUCACCGUACAGGUUGGUAUUUGGGAAGCCGUGUCACCUUCCAGUGGAGUUUGAGCACAAAGCUUUUUGGGCGAUAAAGUAAUGCAACAUGAAUUUAGAGGAAGCCGGUGCCCAACGAAAGUUGGAUUUGCAAGAAUUAGAAGAGAUCCGGAACGAGGCUUACGAAAAUGCACUAAUUUAUAAGGAGAGAAGCCGGAUAUUUCAUGAUCAACAAAUUUCAAGAAAAUCCUUUGAAGUUGGUCAGAAGGUCCUACUAUACCAAUCCAGGCUCAAGCUAUUCCCAGGUAAACUACGUUCCCGUUGGAUUGGACCUUUUCUUGUUACUCAUGUUUUUCCAUAUGGUGCAGUUGAAAUCCGGAGCGCUAAAACAGACAACAAAUUUGUGGUGAAUGGACACCGUCUCAAGCAUUACUACGAAGGAUUUUCAGGUGAAAAGGUGGAGACAAUAAGUCUAGACGCGCCACCGUGUCCUAAUCAGUGACAUUUUACUAUGUCUAGCCAAAGACAUUAAAGACAGGCGCUCAUUGGGAGGCAACCCAAUUGUCCCUUUUAAUUAUUUGUUUGAUUUCGUGUGAUAGUUUAAAUAUGUUUUCCUUGAAUUCGACUGAUUUUGGGUUUCAGUUUUCGUUUUUGCUGAAUUGUAGGUGACCUUCAGUCUUGACGCGCCCGCGUGAUGACAUGCAGGAAGCUCACGAUCAGAAUCGUCUGAAAGCUCUCUUGCCCUUUUGACGCACCCGCGUGAUGACGUGCAGGAAGCUCACGAUCAGAAUCGUCUGAAAGCUCUCUUGCCCUCUUGACGUGCCCGCGUCACGUUCGCAGGAAAGGUACGGGUUUCAAAAAUUUAAAGAAAAAAUAAUAAUAAUAAUAAUUUAAAAUUUUGAAAUUAACUUCCGUAAAAAAAAAAAAGAAGAAAAAAAAUUUCACCGUGGCUUAAAUAGAGCCUAAAGAAGAGAAAAAAGAAACAAUUUCUUUCUUUUUUUUUUCUUUUUCUUCUUUCUUCCUUCUUUCUUUCUUUCUUCUUUCUCUUUUCCCUCUCUCUUCUCCCCUGUUUCUUCUCCCCUGUCCGUCGCCCGUGCGCCCCAUCGCUGCUCCACCUCCACACGCACGCCGACGCUGCGAGCCACCUGCGACCCCAGCGCCAGAUCUGGACCAUCGCCGAAACCCGCAGCCUCCGCCACCUCCACCUGAGCUCUGCCUCGCGCGCAACCCAGCUGCUCUGCGCCCGAAGCUCCACCGCCGCCACAGCCUCCCCACGCAGCUCCCUGCUCACGCGGCCACAAGCCCAUUGGAAACGGGACAGAGACUGCCGCCGAGCCACUUGCCCGCGUGACCGCCGCUGUUUUCCACCACCUCCCUCACGCGAGCUCUUUCCCUCUCAGCAGCAAUCCACUUCACAGCGCACCCGCUGCGCGCCGUCGCAGCCCUCGCAGCUCCAGCCCGUCUGGUCUAGUCCGCCGCGCGCACCAACCACCCACGGACGCUACCCCCAUCGCUAACCCACGCGGCCUCCACUCCAGUCUGUCCGCCGCCGCUGCUCGUGUCUCCCUUGCGCACCUCACGCCACCCGCUACUGUCCCCUUCCGUUUGGUUAGCAUCCACGGUGGAGGUAAUUGGAGGUUAUUUUCUCAAUUGUGUGACUUCCGCCUGUGAUACUGGUUGCAUUAUUUUUGCUGGGAAUUGCUACUUCUUUUGGGUUGGGUUCAACUGUGCAAUUAAUUGGCCAACUGGAGCCAUUUGUUGGGAUUUUGGGUGAGCUGAAAUACUGCAUUUGUGUGUUACAUUGGGAGGUUUAUUGGGUACAUUCUAACCGCUGUUUUCCAUUGUUACUCUCGCUGGGGUGUCUAUUAAAUUGCGAUUGAAGUAUUUUGGAUAUUGCAUGUUGAGAUUGAGGUUUCAUUGAAUUUGGCCUACGUUCUGCCCCCAGUGGUACUGGUGGGAAUAUUUUCAAUUGAAUUUGUUACCUCUAGUUGGUUGGCUACAUUAUUAUGGUCGAAUUCCUAAGUUGUCGUCAUUGCAUUUGUUGAUCUUGAUUUGGGGCAUUAACCGGCCAACUGGAGCCAUCUGUGCGUUUUUAGGCGCUAUUAUUGGUUUCUUCUCCCUUAACUUUGUCAACUAUAUUUGGUUGGGUAUUUGGUUGACUGCCACGGACUUGUAACUGUGUUUUGCUUCUAAUUGACCAGUUGCACAGCAGUUUUUUUUUAAUUGAUAGGGUGGUUAUACCUCUGGAUAUUUGUAUCCACUGGUUUGAGGACAUGGUGAGACCAAAAUCCUCCUCUAGGUCUAGGACCCCUAGAACCUCGCAAUCCCAACCCCAAGCCUCUACUCUAGUCAAUACCCCUAUAAAUCAACCUACUGCUCCCGGUGUCCGAACCUGGUUAGGUAGGGGUAGAGGUGCCCACGUGGCUUCCGCCACUCACUUGGGAGGGCAUUUGGAAUUCACUAGAGCCGCCGAUCAGCGACGCUAUGCUCAAGCUUGUGAGCGGCGUAUCAUUCCGUGCAAAUGCGCGGACCACAUUACUAUGGUUUUUCUGGGGAUCCAAGGGGAGGUUGAGCGCAUGUACACCGCCAUUGGAUGGCGCCCCUAUCUGGAUAUUUUCCAGCCAGCCUUUGUCGAGUUGACUAGAGAGUUUUACACCACUUUUAAGUUUGAAUUACCGACUAGGUAUACUGUUGCGACUCCCGAUAUCAUUCACUUCCGUCUCAUGGGCCAGGAAUUCAAUUUCUCUAUCACCCAGUUCAAUCUGGCUUUCGGUUUCAUCACUCGGGAGUAUGCAGAGACUAGGGAAUACGGUGAGAGUGCCUGCGAUUUUGUGGAACCUUUCCUUACCGCCUACCGUGAGGUGUGGGAGGACAUGUCUGUGGACAUGCAGCGUUACGAUCCCUCUCGGUCUCGGAGCUCCUUUCUAGAGGACCCGAGUGCUCGGUAUGUUCAGCGGCUUUUAGCAUAUAGCUACUCGGGCAGAAAGAACAGCUUCGGUAUUAUCUCUCGGCCGGAGCUCUUCUUCCUUUGGUGUAUGAAGAAUGGGUUCAAGGUCAAUUUGGGUUGUUGGUUGGCGGCACAGUUCAAGACCGUCAUGGCAAAGAAGAACAAGCCGUUGAUUCUUGGGUCGUAUAUCACGUACUUGGCGGUCCAGCUAGGCGUUCUGAAUCUACAGGAUCACGAUUUGCACUUGGCCUGCGACAUGGAGUAUCUCACUGCUGACCGGCUAGAGAAGAUGGGGGUUCUGGAGCUUGUCGAUGGCCACUACCGAUUUGUGCCCCCGGGACCGCCCCGCGCCCCGCCUCGCUCUUCCUCCACCCAUUCGGCCCCAGUUGGCGGUGAUCCUGGCCCGUCGACAUCCGCUCAGCUCCCUCCACCAGCAGGGGCUGAAGAUUGGCACCAAAUCAGGACGCAGAUUCAGAAUUUGGACGCCCGGAUGAUUAGCAUCGAGAGCAACGUGGCGGCUAUAUCACAGAAUCUGGCGGCAUUCCUGCAGCACUCGGGUUUCCCGCCCCCAAUCCCACCUCACCCUCCACUAUGACCCGGUUUCAGGGAAGUUUGGUUACUUUCUCCCUCACUUUUGUUGUUUUUUGACACAUUGAGGACAAUGUGUCCUAUAGGUGUGGGGGGGUCUAUAGUCUUUCUAGUUUUUAGUAGUUGUUAGUUUUUAGUUUUUUAGUAGUUUUAGUUUUAUUUCUAGUUGCGUAUUUUCUUUCUUUUCUUAGUGCUUAUUCCCCAUGUGAAAAGAAAAAGAAAACAAAAAAAAAGAGAAAAAAAUGUUGGUUUAUUGACUCUAACUCUACUUUUGCCAAGUUUUUUUUAAAUAAAAAUGUAUCGGGUUAAUGUGGUUGGAUCCAGAAUAUCUCCCUGGUGAAUAUCGGAUUGCUUGGCUCUUUUGAUUUCUGUGUUAAUUUCUCUAGGCAUAGGGAAUGACUGUUGGCAUUUUAAUGUGAACUGGUCCAAUAUUGACUCCAGUUCUCUAUGUUUGGCAAUAAUGAGGCGAGCUGUUCCUAUUUUUGGUUCUUAGUGUUGUUAUUAUGUGUUUUUGGCUUUGUUUGGCUGUGAAUAAUCUGGACUGUACUCCGCUAUGAGUUACUACUGAGUAACCGAGGAUCGGCACCUAAAAGUGUCGAUUCUCGCGUCAAAAGGUGGUACUUUAUAUGAGUACGUGGUCGUAUAGCAGUAGGAGCUGAGUAACCGGGCUCCUUCAUCUAAAAAUGUUGGAGUUCGCGUCAAAAGGCCCCGACGGCUAACGACUAAGUCUUUUUGUGUUAAUUAUUAUUGCUUUGAAAAACAAAAAAAAAAAAGAACGAAAAAAGAGAGAAUAAAUAAUAGGAAGGCUUGCCGGUUUAUGGACUUAAUAUGGAGACUUGUGUGAAUAUUUGGACCAUUAGCUAAUAAAUGUUGUGCGCCAUUCCCUUUUCUUAGAGUAGUUAACCUGGAAAUUGAAGGAAUUUGCAGUUUAGGGGCUAACCGGGGGGGAGGCUUCUUGGAUUUUAAUCACCAAUGCUCGAUAUAUGUUUUUCUCUUGAAGAUCUUGGCAAUAUAGGAGAUUGGACAAUGGCCAUCAUCGAAUUUUGGUGUUCGUUUACUAUUCUUAUGCUUGAGGACAAGCAUGGUUUAGGUGUAGGGGGAAUUGAUAGGGUGUAAUUUUACUAUUUAUUUUAUUAUUAAUUUCUCCUAUCACCUGACCUGAUGUGGAUUAAUUGCUGGAUUCUGCUCACUUUUAGUACUUUGUAUUUAUUUCAGGGAGUAGAACGGAAAUUUGAUAACAGGUGCUAAUUUGGCAGAAAAAAGUCCAGAUGAUAGAGCUUGCCCCAAGGGCAUUUUUGGAAAGGAGAACUUGUGCCCAUCUUGGUAAUUUGGGAGAAAAGGGAAACAGACAAAAUGGGUCUAACAUGGAUUGGAAGCGGCCGCACAGUAGCAGGGAAGAGGGCAGACGUAAAAGCAAUUGCAGGGGGGAAAAGGAGUUUUUUUAGUUUUUAGCUUAGCAUCUGAUUUUCCCUGGGAGACUUUUGUUAAAGAUUUCCUUUUGGCUGAUAUUACGCAUGGCAGAUGGCUUUUAACUUAUUCCUCCAUCUUUGACUUUUCUUCUUUAGCUUGUAGUAGUGGAUUGCUACUUACGAAUGUCAGCACUUAGCCAUUCGUGGCUUUUGAUCUUUUCUUCCUUAGAAAUUCUGAGUAGCCUCUUUUCCUUUGUGCGCCAGACGAAGUGAAAACUAUAAACUUUUGUAGUGUUUCUAUUCAUUCAAUAUAUUGAGACGAGUUGGAUUCUACCAAAUUUCAAUGGACAUGGCCGCUGGUUUCUCUUCAAUUUUAUAUGGGCUUUGUUCAUCGAACAUGAACUAAUUUCACCACUCUAGUCAAGGAACAACGAAGACUCUGGUUCGCCUAAAAAUUGUGAGAUCGUUUUAAUUUAAUCUUUUCCUUUUAUUUAUUGGUAUCCGCACAUUUCUUGAUUGCUAUGCUUAUGGUUAUUUAAUUAAUUGAUUGUCUUGGAUCCAGAUAAUUAAUUGAUCUGAUAGCCUAUUGUCAAUUAGGGCAUUUAAAUCCGUAAUUGUUUAAUUGUCCUGAAAUAGUGACAACUGGCACGAUUAGAUUCGUGCCAGGGGGGAUAUGCGGGCUAAUCUAAAAUAACCCUGGUAGUGUGUUAUUUGGUUAGAAUAGGGCUCCUCUAAUAUGUAAGGCAAUUGGGGAAUUAAAUUCUACGGGCGUACCUAGAAUUAUUUCUUAAUUAGAGUAGUGAUUAACGGGCGUACCUUGAUCACCGACACAGUAAGGAGGGGUUGACUGCCAUCGCUUGUUUGGCAGUUAUAACAUAUUUAUCAGUAAAUAAUUGGGAUUGCCUUGCAUCAAUGAUCAAUUAGAUGAACUAUUGCUGAAGUUACUUCUUGGCUAGAUCUUUAGUUAAUAUUACCUUGAUUUUGGUGAAUUGCCAUUUGAUUUUUAGUUGCCUACUUUAUUUUAUUUUUAAUUGUUUCCUUGCUUUAAUUGAGUUAGGCCUUUAAUUAUUGUUAUUCUAAGUUUAGUGAAUUGUGGUUUAAUUCCUAAUUAGUUAUUUAUUUUUACUUUCUUAUUUGAAUUUAUUUGCUUGUUAUCAUUCCUACGAAAUCACCCCCCUGUGUUACUUUGGAUUUCUUAAGAAACAAAUAUACCCAGUCCCUGUGGAUACGACCCUACUUGCCCUGUCCACGAAUUCAUAAUUAUUUGUGAAAAGAAAUAACCAUUCCACUCGGGUAUAUCGGAUCAAGCAAACUCUUCGGGAACAGGGUGAAUCAAGUAACCCAUUGCACACCUAAAAUCCCUGCUCCAGUACUUGGAAUUGGGUUUUGGUCAUUUUAACUGGCAAUUAAGUUUAAUUUUAUUAUUGCACAGGCUGACGACCCUGUCAUUGUAUUUGUACCAAAAGUGAAAACUUAACUAUUUUAGUUGUAUUUAUUUCAUCAUGUUGGAUUGUAUUCAAAUAAUUUUUGUUUGAUUGUUUUUAUAAGUUUCAAUUGUAAAAUUAAAAUGAAUAAUAACUUGAUGAUGUGUUGAUAUUUUAGUACUUGAUUAUUUAUUAAAAUUUAAUUAUAAUAAAAUUUUAUUAACUCAACGAGAAAAAUUUUAUUAAUCCCGUGGGGGCACCCGCGGGGAAAGCGGGGCGGGGCGAGGGGAGUGGGAGGCGGAGGACGGGGCGGGGGCGGGGGAUGGGGGAGGGGUCCCCCGCCCCAACCCCGCCAUCCCCCGUCCCGUUGUCAUCCCUAGUAAUAGACUGGCAAGCAUUGUGGUGGUCAUUGAGCAACUUAUAGGAGAAAUAGUCCUAUAAGCUGUUCAAUGACCAAUCACAACUUGCUAAUUGGAUGACUAAUAUAGCUCUAGCUGUAAUGUUUUAAUUAAAUUACAUCACUAACGUUGGGAUGACUUUUUAACCAAAAAAAAAAAGCCUUAGUUCAAGCUUUUCCCUUUAUUGUGCAUUUUUUAAAGCAUUUGAAAGGCACUGCAAAUCUGUCAUUUUGGACAUUUUAUUAUUGACUAACAAUGAAAGCCGUGGACGUCUACCCAUAACCAACACAAGAUUAAAUUAAUAUUAGAAAAAAUAAUUGAGUAAUUGGAAAAAAAAAAAAAAGAAGAGUCUAAUUUUCAUUGAAACCCACCGACAAACUAUACGUGUCCAUGGCUUUUGAAUAGUGCAUUCAACGUUUAAUUGUAUGGUCCAGUUCAUUGCAGAUUACAUGGAGUAAAGAUUGCGCUCUUUCCUUUUCACCCCUUUUGGAAUCGAUACUGUGGAGAAUUGGGUUUUUCCCUCCUUUUUUUCUUUUCUUUCCUUCUGUGGUUUGCAAAACAUACGUAAAAAUAUGAAAUCCGAAGCAUUCUUUAAUUGGUAUUAAGUAUUGUUGUUGAAAUUAAAAAGAAAAAAGAAAGAACAACAAAAUUCCCAAUCUGGGUUGAUUGUUGAGCUCUAGAUUGGUUGCAUCGUGCUUCCAUAGAAGCAAGAUUUGUAAAAUCGGAAUCCUACAUAGGAUCGAUUUUAGUUUCACAGGAUCGGAUUGUAAAAUCGUAAGAUCCUACCAAAAGCUCUCAAUUGCAAUUAAAGGUUGCAAUUCUUUAAUAAAUUACAAAUAUACCACAAAUAUUUUCAUUUACUUGCAAAAUGGAGCUUCGUAUUUCACAAAUUUACAAAAAAAUUGUAGGAUCGUACGAUCCUACCGAUCCUACGAUCCUACACGAUCCUACCGAUCCUGCUACGAUUCUAUGCGAUCCUACAAAGAUUAAUAUGAUUUGCGACUCUGCAUACGAUCCGGAUCGAUUUUGGUUAUCCGGAUCGUAGGAUCGUAUGAUCCUACGAUCCGGAUCGCGAUUUUGACAACUAUGCAUAGAAGCUCUCUUAGUGUGAUACACUGCUUUCAAUCAGUUUAACACGGGAAAAAAAAAAAGAGAUGAAAAGCAAAUUUGGUGGAGAUAAUUUCAGAAACCUCCCCUGAAGAUUUUGACUAUUCUACUGGUUUCCCUUCAGAUUUUAAAAAUUACACUAAUCUUCCUUGAAGUUAAUUAUCUUGUAACAUUUAAAUUCAAUCAAUAAUUUAAAAAAUGAUAUUAUGAGAGAGAAAAUAAUAUGAUUUUAUCAUUGCCCCCCAUCUUACUACAUUAUUUAAUUAAUUUAAUAGCAACCCACACAUUAAAGAAAAAUAUUAAAAUUUGUUGUUUAUCAUUAAAGAUCAAAUCGCUUAUAACAUCAAAUAAUAGUAUAUUAUUUAUAUUUUUCACUUAAUAUAAUAUCCAAAUUACUCUUUUCAAUUACAUACCCAUUGUUAGAGAAUCAACAACAAAUAACCAAAAAAUUUGCAACCAAAAUAUUACAAAAAAAAUAAACUUUAACAUCAUAAAUAUUCUUAUCAACAUAUUAAAGUUAGUUACUGAAAUUUUUAUGCUGUUAAACUUCACUCUUUUUGAAUACAGAUUUUUUUGAUUAUUUGUUAUUAAUUAUGUUUGAUGAUGGGUUUAUAAUUGAAAAGAACAAUUUGAAACUUACAUUAAGUAAAAUAUAUAGAGUGAUAUACUAUUUUUUAUAACAUAUGUGAUUCAAUCCUUCUUGAUAGGAUUGGUAAUAGAGGUAGAGGGGGGAGUCGGCUGCAUCCGGUCUUCUUUUCAUAGAUAGUACAAUAUUGCGAAAUCAAUCGCAUUCACACAAUAAUAUUUCGAAGUCAAUGCAUGGCUAAGUUGCAUAAAAGUACGAACACUUGUUAUUAUAUAGCUUAAGAUUCAAAACUUUCGAGCAUAACCCUCCACCCAACACAAUUGAAUAAUGAAUAUUCACGAUUGUCAAAUCUGUCAAAGCACAGUUUGAGGACAACCCAUUCCAACCUGCAAAAGAUUUUUUACUUUUCUAAAGUUGUUGAGAGCUGUAAAAAGACUUACCAUGCUUGCAUCCUCCGAGCCUUGGGAGUUAAAAAUGAAGGCACUGAGUGCUAUAAAAAGGGGAAUAGAGGCUGCCUAGAAGCAUAUCAGCCUAAAACAAGAAUUUGUAGUUAAGAUGGGAAGCAAAGCAAAAGCAAUGGGGUCUGGGCUGACUCCUCUUCUUGCCACUGUUUUAGUGGUGUUUGUUGCUCUUGGCUUGCCCUCACAAACUGCAGCUGAUGAUCACUACAAGUAUUCAUCUCCUCCUCCUCCUUACCACUAUCCCUCACCACCACCACCAGUGCAUAUACCUCCACCUCAUCCUGUUUACAAGUACAAAUCUCCACCACCCCCACCACCACACCCAGUUUACAAGUAUAAGUCACCACCACCACCUCCUCAUCCGGUAUACAAGUAUAAGUCUCCUCCGCCACCACCACACCCAGUUUACAAGUACAAGUCACCACCACCACCUCCUCAUCCGGUACCACACCCAGUUUACAAGUAUAAGUCACCUCCACCACCUCCUCAUCCGGUACCCACAGUUUACAAGUAUAAGUCACCACCACCACCUCCUCAUCCGGUAUACAAGUAUAAGUCUCCUCCGCCACCACCACACCCAGUUUACAAGUAUAAGUCACCACCACCACCUCCUCAUCCGGUGCCACACCCAGUUUACCACUACAAGUCACCACCACCACCUCCUCAUCCGGUACCACACCCAGUUUACCACUACAAGUCACCACCACCUCCUCACCCAGUUUACAAAUACGAGUCUCCACCACCACCAGUUUAUAAGUACAAGUCACCACCACCUCCUCCACCAGUUUACAAGUAUAAAUCUCCUCCACCACCACCACCAGUUUACCACUACAAGUCUCCACCACCUCCUCCCCCAGUUUACAAAUACAAGUCUCCACCACCUCCUCACCACUACUAAGCAAUUGCUUCUGAGGUAAUAACACUUGUUCAAUAUACCCACUUCUGCAUGAUAAAGCAUAUCUCUAUCAACACAAACUGUCAUGUCUAUCAUGCUAAGUGCCUUCACUUCAUCCACCAAAAUGACUGCUAGAAAAUUUUUUUUAUGUUACCAAAGAAAGGCAUCAUUUUUUCCCUCUGUUAUCAAGAACUUGUACAGUAUAUAGAUUAAAGAGUAUUUUUUUAACUAGCUUAUCAACUGAGAAAUGCAUAUAGCUGAUAGCCAGCUGAAUAUUUGCAGGCAAAGGAGAAGGAAACCAUGUUUGAGACCUUCUUGAAGAUGUAGAAGCAUAAGAAUAAAAGCCCAAUGUGAAGAUGAUGAUUUCAAGUUUUUCUACGUUACCAUUUCUUUAUCUAAAUUGGUUGUAGCGCCCAAGUUCCUUUGUUUAUGGGAUUUGUAUCGUUUUACGUACCAUGCAGUACAUGUCAUGUUUGUAAGGUUUUCUAUCCUGCCGGCAAACCGCAGGUUCCAUGUGAUAAAUGAAUACUAUUUAUGUUACGACACUUUUCUCUGUUUCUCUUAUAUUUUGUCUUUAAUAUUCUUAAUCAUAUUUUUAACAAAAAUAUUCAAACACUUAGGCAAUCUGGUCUAAUGCUAAUUGUAUGUUUUACUUUUCUUUUUCACCUGCUCCCCUUUUCAACUCAAAAGGAUGCAAUAGUUUGUGAUCACUGUUUAAGACGGAAGCAUGAUACUAAUGAAUAUCUCAUUGAAACUCAAGGAAACUAACAUUGCGAAAAGUGUAAAUCUUGAUUUGAUGCAACUAUUUAUUCGUGGAAUCUAUAGUUACAAAACUCAAAUUCUGACUGCGCCAUUGAUAAAUUAUUAAUGACGCUAUCAUCAUUAUUUAUCCCUAACUAGUUUCGACUACAACUGAACCCAAUAUUUUCCCCAUGAUAAAAGUUUUUGACUAUUUUACUGGCCUCUCUUCAAAUUUUAAAAAUUACACUAAUCUUCAUUGAGAUUAAUUAUCUUGUAACAUUUAAGUCCAAUUAAUAAUUAAAAAAUGAUAUUAUGAGAGAGAAAAUAAUAUAAUUUUAUCAUUGCCCCCCAUCUUGCUAUAUUAUUUAAUUAAUUUAAUAGCAACCCACACAUUAAAGAAAAAUACUAAAAUUUGCUGCUUUUCAUUAAAGAUCAAAUUGCAUAUGCCAUAAAACAUAGUAUAUCAUUCUAUAUGUUUCACUUAAUGUAAGAUCCCAAUUGUUCUUUUCAAUUACAAACCCAUUGUCAAACAUGAUCAAUAACAAAUAAUCAAAAAAUUUGCAACCAAAAUAUUACAAAAAAAAACUUUAACAUCAUAAAUAUUCUUACCACCUCUAGUGCAUUCACCCUCAUAAAAUAAUUCAAGACCCUACUGUCAUAAAAUGACUGAUCAACUCCUGUAAACCUAAUUUGACAACAUUUAAAUGGAGAACUUUAGCUAAAAGAAUUAUGGUCAAGCUAAAGAAAAAACCAGUUAUUUUCCAACAUAUGCAACCAUUGAUCAGGGGAAAAAAAAAAGCAAAAAGACAUCUUCAAUCAUUUAAUAGCUUACAGGGCAAAUUAACCCUUGAGUGAAAACUGGUUGCUCUAGAAUUAAAAUUUUACCUUAGUUACCCAGGCAACUUUUUUGUUGCCUUUUCUUUUUCUUUUUUGGGUAUAUAGCUCCAGUUUUGCCCCCUCUGUCAAGCUUAUAUAAUUAUUAAGAUAAUAAAAGUGCCUUUAAUAGUAUUAAUAUAUCCAUUGACUUGAGCUGUCAUCGAUCGGUUUGGGCUACUUCGAUUCCAUGAGAACAAAUGGUAAUAAAAGUACUCAGAAAAUGGGGAGUCAUGAAACCCUUUUGUUCUAUUCAUUGCUAAGAUGCUUUUCUCUAUAAAGAGACUUCCUAACGAAAAUACUUUGUAGAUUUCUUUACUCCAAGUGGUGCAUGGAAAAUUAAUAUUUUCAAUUAUCAAAUAAAAUUCCCUUUUUUCGGCGUAGAUUUCAUCCAUCCAGCUGUUAACACAUUCUAUAAAUCCGAAUUGACUAAUCUUUUCGUUUCCAUUUUCCAACUUGCGAAUACGGCAUAUAGUGUCUGCUAAACACUAUAUAUUCUCUGCCAAAUAUGAAUACAUAUCACUUUUCUGAGCAAGUGCAGAGUCAUUAUCAUUUUUAUUCCCACCUAACAAAUUAGGGAUAAAAAAGUUAAUAAUCUUUACAUGCUAUCAGGUCACAAGUUAAUAAUCUUUUAAAGAACAUGUUAAAUUAAUUUAUUGGUAUGAAUAGUAGUCAAAGAAGUAUGUUAAAGUUAGUAAUCUUUAAAAUAAUAUGUUAAAAUCAUUCGUACAAAUUAGUCAGAGAAGUAGCAUAAACACCGCGAUGCAAUUAAUACUUUCAAUCUCAAGGUCUCUAUUAUGGAAAUUUGCAUCGGUCAAUAUACACUUGGCAUAAUAUAAUCUCCCAACUCAUUUCUUUACAAAUGCACCUUUAAUCACCACCAAAAGGUGUGGACAUGAUCUUUACCCUAGAAAACUAUUCACCGACAGGCAAAUUGACGUCAGAAAUACUGAGGAAUUCUAGUUUCCUUCGGGUUCAUGCCAUGUUGUAUCCUUCAACUGUAACUCGAUUUCUAAGCUGUAAUUUGUGACAUAAUAGUCCUUAAACUAUGAAACCCUUCUUACUUAAUUACAAUGGUUAAUACAAUGCCCGUGACUAGACAAGUAUGAAGCAACCAUAACAGAAAAAAAAUCCAAAAUUAGAGAAAAGAAAGAAGUUUCGCGACCACCACCAGUUUACAAGUCACCUCCACCACCUCCUCCAGUUUACAAGUCACCUCCACCACCUUACCAUUAUUCCUCACCACCACCUCCAGUGCAUUCACCCCCACCACCACCAGUUUACAAGUCUCCGCCACCACCUUACCAUUAUUCCUCACCACCACCUCCUGUGCAUGCACCUCCACCACCAAUUUACAAGUCACCUCCUCCAGUUUACAAGUCUCCACCACCACCUUACGAUUAUUCCUCACCACCACCUCCAGUGCAUUCACCCCCACCACCACCAAUUUAUAAGUCUCCCCCACCGCCUCCCCCAGUAUAUAAGUCACCACCACCACCUCCUCCAGUAUACAAAUCACCUCCACCACCUCCUCCAGUUGACAAAUCUCCACCACCACCAAUUUAUAAAUACAAGUCUCCUCCACUACCUCCUCCAGUGUACAAGUCAUCACCACCACCUGCUUACAAGUCUCCACCUCCUCCAGUUUACAGUUCCCCACCACCACCAAUCUACAAGUCUCCACCUCCACCCUACCAUUACUACUACAAUUCUCCUCCUCCUCCUCGUCACUACUAAGCAAUUGUAUCCAAGUUUUUGAGGUAAUAACGCUUAACCAAUAAAUUAACUUUCGCAUGAUAAACCUUAUCUCUAUCAAGACAAACUGCCAUGUGUAUCAUGCCAAAUACGUACACCUAGAUCCAUGAAAAUGAAUGGUAGAAAGUUUUCUUAAGAACCAAGAACAGCAUUAGUAUUCCCUCUGCUUCCAAAAACUUGUGUAUUAAAUAGAUUAAUGAAUUGUUUAACAUGCUCAUCUACUUGAAAAUGCACAAUACCCAUAACCCACUGAAAUUUUUGCAGGAAAAGGGAAAGAGAAUCUGUGUUUGAGAGCUUCAUGAAGAUGUUGAAGAAUAAGAAUAAAAGCCCAAUGCAAGGAUGUUUUCAAGUUUUUCUAUGUUUCCACUUUAAUUUGUAAAUUGAAUUUUGCGACUCAAUUAAUUCCCUGUUUGUGAGGUACGUAUUGUUUUACGUACCAUGCCGUACAUUUUUUUUUUCCAACAAACGGUAUCAUGUUAUAGAUAUUAACACUUGACCUUACAAGGAUUAGUUACAAAAAGGGGAUACUACCCUCAACUCUGUCCUAGCUAAAUCAGUCAGCCAUAUUGGGAAAUUAGUUUCCCAUUCAAUAUCAUGUACAAGCUUCACAGCAUAUUGUGCUAAUUGAUGGCUGAUGUGAUUUUCAGUUCUAGGUAUAAACACAAAAGAACAUUUUUCAAAAGCUAGACUAAGUUCCUGCACAUCUUCUAAGAUAGUUGCAGUCGUGUAGUCAUACUCCUUGCGUUUAGUAAUCUGCUCUACCACUGAUUUGCAGUCUGUAUGGACUAUAAUUUGUGUCCAACCUGCUUGGGUAGCCAUCAGCAGAGCAUUUCUCACAGCCCGAGCUUCCACUUCACUUGCCGAUCCCUUUCCCUGUGUGACAAUUCCUUUUGCUUUCAAAAGCUGUCCUUUCCAAUUUCUUGCUAUAAUCCCUUGUCCGGUCCUGACUCGUUUAGCUGAUAUCGCUGCAUCGGUAUACAGCCUUAUCUCUUCCUUCCUUGGCCGCACUCUCCUGGUAGGUAAGGCAUCAUUCAGCUUCCCUGCGAUCUCCUUCUGGUCUGUACUCCCUACCUGUUCAAACUCAAGCCAUUCCUCCUGUGCUUUCCUUACUAUUUUUACUGGAUCCUGGUUGGCUUGUUCAAAAAAUUUUUUGUUCCUGGCUUUCCAAAUUUGCCAAAGGAUAUUGAUAGUAAGACUAACUCUCUCCUGACCUUGGUUCAGUGCCAGCGAUUGUGUGACUUGUUCCCACCAUAACCAAAAGUUAUAUUGCAUACCCAGUAAUCCAUCCCACCUGACCGGUGCUAGCUUCCACGUUUCCACAGCCUUUUCACAGAAGAAAAACAAAUGCUCAAUAGUUUCCAUAUCUUCACCACAGCAACCACAUCUGCCUUCCCCUCUAUGUAGCCUUUUCGACAUCUGUUCAUUGACUGGCAGACAAUUUUGUAAGCACUUCCACAUGAAGUGUUUUAGUUUGGCCUUCACCUUCAAAUGCCAUAGCUGCUUCCACACAUUUCGUUUUCGUAUCUCCCAACUUGUUUCUGCCUCUUGGCCUGUCCUUGUACCUGCUUUUCCUUCCCGUUGCCUUGCUAAAGCAUAACCAGAUUUCACGCUAUAAAUUCCAGCUUUGGAAUGCCCCCAUACCAACCUAUCCUUUCUUCUUCCUAUACUUGUUGGAAUUCCCUUUAUGUGCUCUGCAUCUUUUGCACAAAACCACUUGAGAAGCAAAUCAUUUUUCCAUUUCCCUUCCUCUAUCAGCUCACUUACCCAUUCCAACUUGCAUCCCACAGGUUGUGUGGUUGAUGCAAAGCCGGUAUCUGAACCAACUAUCCAUCUGUCCCGCCACAUGUUGACUGACUUGCCAUCUCCAAUUCUUUUCCAAAGACCAUCAUACAGAAAGGAGGCUGCACUAUGAAUACUCUUCCAACACCAUGAGGCUGAAGAGACUGGCUUCUUGUCCAUCCAUUUUUCAUCACUCAUAUACUUCGCCUUCAUUACCUUACUUACUAACAAAUUUGGAGCCAUUAAGAAUCUCCAAAUUUGUUUUGCCAGUAAUGCUGUGUUGAAGGCCUCCAAAUCUCUAAAGCCUAAACCUCCUCUUCCCUUAACUUCUAAGAGCUUCUUCCAGCUUGCCCAAUGUACACAGGUACCCUUUUCUCCCUUCCCCCACCAGAAACUCGCUAUUUUACCUGUGAUUUGUCUACACAAACCCCUUGGAAGUCUAAAGCAAGCCAUCACAUAUGUUGGCAUAGCCAUAAUCACUGAUUUGACCAGAAUUUCUUUCCCUCCUUGGCUCAACAGUUUUUGUUUCCAACCUUGCAACUUGUUACUAAUUUUGUUCUGGACAAAUGCAAAGACCUGUGUCUUUGAUCUUCCAAUUGCCAUUGGGAGUCCUAGGUAGGUUCCAUUCCUUGCCUCUUUAAUGUUAUCUAAUACCUCCCUCACUCCAUUCUUCCUUUGAUCAGUGGUAUUUUUGCUAUAGAAGAUAGCUGACUUUUCAAAAUUCACCACCUGUCCGGAUGCUUGACCAUAUCUUUCCAAUAUGCUUUUGACCUUCCUCGCCUCCUGCUUGGUUGCUUGGCAGCAUAGUAGAGAAUCAUCUGCAAAAAAUAGGUGAGAAACCAUCGGACUGUCCUUGCAUAUUUUGAUCCCUGUAAUUUCCUUGUUCAUCAUAGCUUUAUGGAUCAAACAUGAAAGACCUUCAGCGCAUAUAAUAAACAAGUACGGGGAUAGGGGGUCUCCUUGUCUAAGCCCUCUACUCGGUUGAACACAGCCUACCUUUUGCCCAUUUAAGUUGAAGGAGUAAGUCACAGUAGAUAGGCAAGACAUGAUCCAUUUAACAAAAAUUGGACAAAACCCCAUUUUCAUCAUAACUCUCCCCACAUAUUUCCAUUCGACUCUAUCGUAAGCUUUGGACAUGUCCAGUUUAAGAGCCAUAAAUCCUACCCUUCCCUUUCUCCUAUUUUUCAAAAAAUGCAGGAUUUCAUGUGCAACUACUACAUUAUCAAGAAUUUGACGGCCUGGGAUAAAAGCGGAUUGAGAGGGACUAAUACAAUGAUGCAAGACACCUUUCAAUCUAUUAGCUAUGAUUUUAGAAAUGAUUUUAUACAGGACAUUGCACAAGCUAAUAGGUCUAAAAUGCACCACAGAUUCAGGAGUAUCAACUUUAGGAAUCAACGAAAUAAUAGUAUCAUUCACAGCUUUGAGCAAAUGCCCAGUAUGAAAGAAACUCUUAAUAGCUGCUACCACAUCAUCCUUGAUAAUAUCCCAAUAGUGUUGAAAAAAUAGAGGAGACAUACCAUCCGUUCCUGGUGCUUUAUUAGGGUGCAUCGAGAACAAAGCUUUCCUGAUCUCACUUUCCUCCACUUGUCGUAUCAGUUGUCCAUUCAUAUGACUCGAAAUAGUGCUUGGAAUUUCAGCUAGAAUGUCCUCAAAGCAGUCCGGGUUAGUAGUGGUAAAAAGGUCUUUAUAGUACUCACAAAGUUCCUCCUCAAUCUCAUGUUCCUCCUUGCACCAUGUCCCAUCUUUUUUCUGCAAUAUAGUGAUCUUAUUUCUCCUCCUCUUUGCCAUGACCGAAGAAUGGAAAAAAGCUGUAUUCUUGUCCCCUUCUUUGAGCCACUUGUUCCUGGAUUUUUGACUCCAAAACAUCUCUUCCUCUGCAUAAGCUUUAUUCAAUUGUGCUUUUAGUUCAGCCACUUGUACUCUUUUCCCUUCAUCCUUUCUUGCUUUCACUUCAGCCAAUUUCUCCUUUAACACUUUAAUUCUAACCUUUGAGUUUCCCUGCACCUUUUUCCUCCAAUCCAGAAUAGCCAUGCGACAUUCCUUUAUUUUUGUAGCCACUCUAAACAUCCUGGACCCUGACUUCACCUUUGUCCAUGCUCCUUGAAUCACCCUUUUUGCUUCUGGAUUUAGCGUCCAUCGUUGAUCAAAGUAAAAUCUCCGUUUUCUCCUUGUGUUUUCCGGGUUUGUAUCCACAAGAAGCAUUAGAUGAUCAGAGGCUUCAGUAUCUAAAUGAGUACACUGUGCCUUUUCAAAUCUUUGCAGCCAUUCGGUGCUGCAUAAACAUCUAUCCAACCUCUCUUUCACUUCCCCAUCCCCCUCCCAACUAUUGCACCAAAUCCACGGGACCCCUUGAUAACCUAAGUCAACCAGGUUAUUGUCUUUGAUAAACCUGUUGAACUCCCUAAAACAUCUUUCAGCUCUAUCCCUUCCUCCCCACUUCUCCUCACUAGACCUCAAAUCAUUAAAAUCUCCUACAAUGAUCCAGCCAUCCCCCCAGUCCCUCAUCCUGUCCUCUAAAUAUUUCCAUUGUGCUUUUCUAAUGUUACUAUCUGUGCUUGCAUAAACACACACUAGCCCCCAGUAUCCUUUAGUAUCCUUGUCCUCAACUCUAGCACUAAUACACCAAUCAGUACUUACAAUCUGGUCUAAAAUCACCUCAUUGUUCCAGAAUAAUGCUAGACCGCCUGCUUUACCUAUUGAAUUCACAAAAAAGCUAUUGUCAUACUGAAUCUUCCUUUGAACCUUGCCCAUAAACCCUUCCUGAUUCUUAGUUUCACAAAGGAACACCACCUUAGGAGAGUGGAAGUUAGUCACUUCCUUUAGUUGGGGACUUGUCAAGGGGCCUCCUACACCUCGACAAUUCCACACCACAACCUUCAUUUACACUUUGGAGGCUUUCCGGGGCUAGCCUCCAUUUCCCCUAUUGUACUAACAUUUAUUAGAUCCAGUUUCAUAACCUUUACCUUCGGUACAUUAUCAUCAUCCUCCUCUAUCGGUUGUGUUCCCUGAAACAUACCAUCAGCCUUCCUUUUAGCACACGAAACCUGCGUUACUUGUCCAUUUGUAUCUGCCUUUAAGGAUGUUUUAGCCGGCCUCCCUCUUCUUUUAAAACUGCUUCUUUUUUCAGCUUUGUUAUCUUCUUCCCCUGGAGUAGCCUCCUUUCUUGGCAUUCUUGCAUUUGUCUCCUCCUGCUUUAUUGACCCUACCCGCAAACUUUCACAUUCCUGUUUUGAGCUGUCCGUUUCCAUAUCCUCAUAAUCUACUGGUGGGAUUACGCUGCUCCCUCCUUUACUCCCUUCCUGUACCCUACCCUCCUUUUCACCAUUUCCCUCCAUUAAGACCACAGCCAAACUUUCCACCCGUUGGUUUGCCUUUCCAUACUGCCUGCUGUCUUUUAGAAUCUCAUCCCACCUCUCUUCAUAUUGUCUCGUCAUCAUUUUCUCCUUAUCCCCCCUUUCCUUUCCCCCCAAGACUCUACCAUUUUUUCCCCCAAGAGUUAAUGUAUCUCCAGCCAUUUGUACUCCAGUUUGAACUUCACUACUAGGAGACCCUGCCCCCACCCUCCUUGCAUCAAUUUCACUUACUCCUUCCAGCCGUCCCUUUAAGGGAGAUACCAUUAUAUUUCCAGCUCUCAUCCAGGCACCAUAUUGUUCCUCUCGCUUCUCCCCCCCACCCUUCCUACCACAGUACAAGUCCUAUCACUAUGCCCAAUGAUACCACACCUAUAACAGAAAUCAGGGCAGCGUUCAUACCUGAACUCAACCCACACUGCCUGGUUCUUACAGUUGAUCUUUGUCCCUCUAACCAGUGGUUUCGUUAUAUCUACCUCAGCCAUAAUCUUCAUGUGGCGACCCUCUUUCCCACCACUUCCUGGGAGAAUCACUCCCCUCACUGAUUUAAAGAUCCCUCCUAUUUUCAAACCCACUGCUCUGCUCAACCAGUGCACCGGUAGGUUCCAUAGUUGAAUCCAAAGAAAGGAAUGCUGGAAAAAGCUGCUGUUUGUAUCAUACCCCUCUACCCACUCCUUCACUAUCAGCAACUGGUUGUCCAUGACCCAAGGCCCUCCAGAUAAGAUCUUUUUCUUUUCCCCUUCAUCUCCCAGAUGGAAAUGGAAUAAGUUAGGACCUAACUCAGUCACUUUCAUCUUUGAGGGGUAUCCCCAUGCAUGAUUUGUAAAGUUCUUUAACCCCGUAAAGUUGGCAAUUUUUUCACCAAUCAGCUUUCCUACCAGGCUUCCUUGACACUCAGAGACGCCUUCUUCCAGGUCCUCACCACUCAGAUCGACACCUCCUAACUCUGUUUCAGACAAGUCAAAAUUUUGAAAGGCUCUUUCUAAAGCAUCCGCCAUUGCUGUGACGAGAGCUCCUUGAGAAACCAAGCACUAUUUCUGAGCUAUGAGUGACCCACUGACAGACCUGUGAAGAAUUGCAAAGACAGACAAAGCUGUGUUAUCCGUACACACUAAAAACCAACCAGAAAAACAGAGAGGAACUCGACAGAAAAAGCACAGGCACAAGAAGAAACGAAAGAAAAAAGAAAAACCAACAAACCACUAUCCCACUCCCGACCACAUAACAGCAUUAAAGAAAGGGACACAAAUACGACACUCCAACUUCCGAUCACAUGCUCUGACUCAAUGGAUCAUAUCUUGCCCAAAGCGUUUACUCCUCCAACCGAUUCCAAACCACUACAGACAUUGUCUCCCAUUUUGAAGCCGGAAGAAAGGUGGCUUCUGGACAGGGAACAUGAAAGCAAAGGUUGAACUAAAGAUUUGAUUUUAGAUCUGAAAAUUACGCUGUAGGAAAAAGUGCUAUGUGUUUGUACCUCACCCACUCUCCCACACCGAGGAGGGGAACCUCUAAAGUUAGAGAGAGAAGCUCUCAAGUUAGAGAGAAGCUUUGGAAGUUAAUUACCAACGUACCAUGCCGUACAUGUUUGUAAGGAUUUCUAUCCUAUUGGCAAAAGUCGGUUCCAUACAAUUAAUCAAUUCAUUUCACUUCUAUUGGCUCUACUAUUUAUGCAUGUUACGACACUCUUUCCCUUAUAUUUUGCCUUUAAUAUUAUGAGUCAAUAGUAAUAAUGGGCCUUUUUCUUAAAAUUAUACUAUUAUACAUAGGUAGUUUGGUCUAACGCUAAAUUCAUGUUUGUCUUUCUUUUAUUCCCUUUACAUCUCAAAGUAUACUAUAGUUUGUAAUCAUUGUGGUGAUGAUAUUACCAGCUGGUACUUAUAGUUUAAGGCAGAGACAUGAUAUUAACAACUAUCUCAUUGAAACAUAAGUCAAAAUCAUGACAAGUGUGAGUCUUGGUUAAUGCACAAUUUGUUAGUGGAAUUUAUAUUUAUAAAACUCAAAAAAAAUUUUUGACAAUGCUAUUACUAAUUAAUUAAGGACUUCAUUGCUAUAAUUUAUCGCUUACUAAUUUAAACUAUAAAUGAUCUCAAUACUUUUCUCCAUGAUGUCGAUUUCUUUAGACUACGAAAGGGAAAAAUUAGUGACAUAUCCCUUACUGAUUACAACAUCAGCAAAAAUUAGUUAUAAACUUUUCCGGUGGUUUUAAAUCCCUCGGGCACUAAGGUUUUUUGCACAUCGAGUGAAUUAAGGAACAUAGGCAAUUCGUUCUGCAUACCAAGUCCUUGUUUAAGAUGCACGUACUAAAAUGCAUCCACUUCAUUAAUUUGGAAAAUUGCCAUAGUUUUUUUUAAGCAUUUUGAUUUUUUACAUGAUUCAAAAUUUUCUUAUUGGAUACAAUCACUUUGUGUCAAGAACACAUUUUCAAUCAUCUUUUUUAUCUUCUCAAUAAGAAAAUAAAAAUUUAUUCAUGCUUUUCUAACAUAUCCAAUCAUUGAUCUGAAAAAUAAAGAAUUAAAAAAAAAAGACAUUUUCAAUCAUUGCUUACGGGGCAACUUCCCCAUGUGAACCUCAUCAAACAAAGCCAAUAAUAUGAAGGAACAUCUAAAUACACUUUUGCCCUAAAGGCUGGUUGCCUUGGGGUCAAAAUUUAACCUUCGGGAGUAUAAUUACCCGCCAAAUUUAUUAUUUUUUUUAUGGGUAUAUAGUUCCAAUUUUGCCUCCUGUUAAGCUUAUAAAUAUAUUACGACCCAGAAAAUAAAGGAAUCUUGAAUAGUAACAUGUCCAUUGACUUGAGUUGUUAUCAAUUUGGCUACUUCGAUUCCAUGAGGCCAAUCCAAUUCACACUAGCUAGAGAAAAUGGUGAUAAAGGCACUUAGAAAUUUAUAUGUAAUAUUGAUUGGUAGUAACUGAUAAGUAUAUAUUUUACGUGUUUUAAAUAUGUUUUAUUAGUUAGUUUUGGUGUGUUUUAACUACUUUUAUAACUAAUUAACUAGGAAUCUAGUGAAAAUAUGCAUUUUGUGGUUUGAAGUGUAAAAAUUGUAUUUCUAUGGAUUUUAAUGGUGAAAACUUCAUGUUUUUGUAGGUUUAAUGAUUCAAUCAUCAAAUGACAUGAUUUGAGAAGAUAAUUAGAUGAUUGAUGAUGUUUUGAAGUGAUAAAAAGAGAAUACAAAGUGCAAGAGAGGAAAUGCAAUCAAGAAUAAAAGAAGAAAAUUUUUGUAGCUUUGACAUAUUGUCGUAUUUCGGCAAUAUAUUGAGCUACAAUGAUCGGAUUAAGGUGAUUCUUAAACCAUUUGAAGCUAAAAUAUAGAUCUACAUUUGGCAUGAAGGCAUCGAAACCCAUGUCAGUCAUUUUCCUUGUCAAAAUGUUGAAAUACAGAAGUGCAACUCUGUUCUCGAAAGCUAAAACAGAGCUCUGGCUAGUCGAGGGUAUUUUCAUCAUUUCUUAGUCCACAGAGCUCCAAAUGAGAUGAUUCUUAAGGCAUUAGAACCCUAACUCAAAGAGCUACAACUUUCAUAUUUUGUACAAGAGUUAGUUCGGCCUCUAUCAUUAAGAAAAUAGUAGUUGAAGUGGUGCCAAAUGCAUAGAAGUGAAAACGCGAGCUAUCAAUACUCGACCUGAAGUCGCGUAUUCCUGAGGUCAUGCAUUCUCUUCUAUUUUCUGCAACUUGCCCUGCUUUCACAUAACUUUUUCAUCUCAAUUCCAACUAUCAAUUUCGGCUAUAUCUGAUCAAGAAAAGUGUGGAAAGUUUGAAAGACAACUCAUAGGAGUUUCAAGAGUCAAAAAUUACAAUUAGAAACAACUCAUUUGGCUCUUGAAUCCUCUAUAAAUAGAGGCCUUUGAAGAACAUUUUCACAACUUUGGAAGGUUAGAGAAACUCCACAAAAACAUAGUCUUCACUAGAAUUUCCUUAGUUCAUUAGUUAGGGUAGUAUAGUAUAGUUAGUGUAGCUUUUCCUUCUUGUAUUUAUAGUUAGGUUUGAAUGAAGAUUCAGGAGCAAAGAUAGAGAGGUUGAUCUCAUGUGACAAGGGUGAUAUCUCUUCUACUACUUUCUCUUUUGUAUUUGAUUUCAUAUUUAACUAUACUACAAAUUUGGCUUUGUUUUUUUUUUUUUAUCAUGUUUAGUUAAAGUUUAUGCCUAGAGUAUGGAUGACCUUUUUAUAUCUUGUUUGUGAUAUUUAACUGGUUAUUUGAUGAUGUUAUUUUUGAGCAAGUUAUUUAUCACUUUUGCUUUUCUAAUCAUGAUUAACUGGCCAUUAGUUGUGAUUAUCUAAAAGUGUUAAGUUUGUAAUGAGAAUUGGAGUUUAACACUAGUUCAAGGAAGUGAUAAAUUUAGGGAGUUCACUCAUGAGAGUAGAGGAACACCUUUGUGACCUAAGUGACUUGUUUCAUAUAAUUUCAUAGAAAAAAUGAACUUGUAAUUAAUUUCAUAACCACGAGAGUAAGUAUGGUUUAGCUAUAUGUAUAGUUGAUUCACUACGAGAGUAGGUUUCACAUACAUUAGAAAAUUACAUCAUAACUAGUCAAGAUAAUAUCAUUCAUUUAAUCAGUAAUCUCAUUUGCAUGAGUAGUAAGGCAUUCCAUAUCUCUAGGAGGUUUUUAGUAUUAUUUUCAUUACUUUUAUGUUUAUGGUAGUCUAGAUAAUAAUGGAGUUCGAAAACUACUAGUAAUUGAAAAUUUUCCCUGUGGGAUCGACCUUUAAUACCCUAUACUCGCUCUCGACUCGUAUACUUGAGAAAAAUCACGUGUGCGGUAUUUAGAAUUUAUAAAUGUAAAACUUGACUGUAGAUGAACUAAUUGAUAUAUGUAUACCCCGCACUCGUCAGUAACCAGCUUGUAUUGAUCCCACUAUUGUGGAUAAUUGUGCUCUUAUGAAAAAAAAUUAUAAAAAAAUUAGCAAAAUUUAUGAUAACAAAUUAAAUUUAUUCAUACAAAUCAGUGAAAGAAGUAGAAUUUUAAAGUCCAUGAUGAAAUUAAUACUUUCAAGGGCUCUAUUAGGAAGACUUCACUUGUUGGUGAAACUACACUAGCACAGUUAUAUGCACAUUUACUGUUUUGGUAUCUAAUUUCCUUGCCUUAAGUUGGGUGCAGAUGUUUAUAUUACAAAUAGAUGGUAUCAUAAAAUUGUUGUAUUCACGUUUGUUCUUUUUUUUCUUCCUUAAGUUUUUUUCUUUAUUCUCGUGACUUCAAAAAUACGAACUCAAGAAAUUGGCUGCUUAAUCAAUAUGUCAUACAGGCUUCGCUAGUGAGGUAUAACUUCACAACUAGAGUCAAUAGAAAUUAUCAAAUGAUUUUUUAACAUCCAAAUUAAGCAAUAAAUUUUGUUUUCAUUUUAUGACAUAUAAUAGUACUACUUCAUGAGAGAUUUUAUAGUUUCUUUUAGGUAUCAUACCUACAAGUGAUAUUUGUCAUUGGAUAGUGACAGAAGUGUUAAUGAUUGUAAGAUUAAAUAUUGUUAAAUAUUGAAAUUUAAACUAUUUAUCUUUAUUGAAAGAUACAAGUUAAAGAAUCGUUCAAGGGGGCAAUUUUCCAUCUUGUCUUUUUGAAAAAACGCUAUCACAUUGUAUAGGCAUGAUAGGUUCAAAUUUGUCAUUAAAUUUAUGAUUGAUUUUCCUUUUAUUCAAGCCAAAUAUUGUUUUAAUUAUCAAAUUCUACUUAUAUUUGGUUAAUUGUACUAAUUGUAGGGCGGUAGAGCAAAAGUUGCUAAAAAUAGGCGAUUUUCUGCAAAUUGGUUGUCAAGGCUGAAGGAUUUGGGAUUCGCAUGUUCAAGGCCUGUUUCCAAGUUUGAUUCAAACUCUGGACAGUUUUAGAGGAAGAUUUGGAAGAUUUGAAAUUUCAUUAUUAGUUUUAUGGUUGAAUUAGGAAUCUUGGAAUAAUUUCUUUUGUGAUUUAUUUUUCUAUUUAGGAGACUAGUUGUUAUUUAGUAGUAGACUUCAAUUAGAAAACAAAGAGAAAAAGAAGGCCGGAAUCCCGCUUGAUUAAUACCUUGGCCAGGGAACAAUCUCGGUGGGGAGGACGGCCACUUAGCCUCUCAAUUCAUCUUGCUUUUCGUUAGUUUGAGAGGAAAACCAAUUGCAACUAGAUUCAAUGGAGUCUGGCAGAAUUUCUUCUAGGAUGCGUAGCUAAAUCCUCAAUUUUUAGUCGAAGGUCAAUUUGAAAAUUCGGUUCCAAAUAUCUGUGAAAUCGAAUUAUUUUACUUAUUUCUUUUAUUUAUUGGUAUUCGCACGUUUUCUGAUUUAACUUUUUAUGAUUGUUUUGUUAUUUGAAUGUCAAGGGUCCGAUAUUCGAAUUAACUUAAUAAUCUACUGCCAAAUUAACCGGUUAAAUCCGUAAUUGUUUGAUUGAUUAAUAUCAGUGGCGACUAGCGUGAUUGGUCCCAUGUUAGGAAAACGUCUGAUCUAAUUUAAACAAACCGUCGUAGCGUGUUUGUUGAUUAGGGUUGGGCUUUUCUAAUUCUUAAUUCAAUUGAGAAAUUAAAUCCCCCGGUCGUACCUAGGAUUAUUUUUUUGUUAGCGAAAUAGUUAAUGGUCGUACCUUGACUAUCGAAAAAGUAAGGAAGAGUUGAUUGUUUAUCGCGUGUACGACAACUAUAAUCAAUCUAUUAAUGAGUAAUUGAAUUAUCUUUGCAUCAGUAAUCAGUUGAAUGGACCGUGUCUGAAAAGUUGUACCUUUGGCUAGAGUCUUAUCUGUUGUUGAUUCAUUCAUAUCUAUCUUCAUGCGUUGUUUUAAUUUAGUUAAUUAGUUAUUUUUAUAAAAACCCCUCAUCUCUGGACUCUAAAAGAAAUAAAUUAUUUCUAGUUCCUGUGGAUUCGAUCCUACUCACCAUACAAUCCAACCUGCAAUUGUAUGAACCCCAAUCUCGCUUCCUAGUCCACCAUUUUUCUCUAGGUAAUAAUCUCCCUUCUAAUUUCUUCACAAAAUGCACCUUUCAUCACCUCCAAUAGCGUCGACAUGAUCUUUACCCCAGAAGACUAUUCACCGACUCUCAAUUGACGUUAGAAAAUCUAAGAGUAAUUCUACUUUACCCUAAGAUUGAUAUCAACAAGACAAGGACAAUUUAGAAUUAUUACACGCCUCUUCUUAAUAGGAAAAAGAAAUAGAGAAGAAAGUCAGGCCAGGUCUAAUUUCUUUUCAAAGGCAAUACAACAUUACGAAAUCAAGCAUUCAUUCAUACAAAUAUUUCAUAGUCACCGGUUUGCUGAGUAGAAAAAUUUAGACAAAAACUUAAUAUUAUAUUGUUUAAGAGUUAACAAUUUAGAGCUUAAUCUCCUUGUACUUUGGAGUUAACAAUUUAGAGCUUAAUCUCCUUGUACUUUGGACUAAACUUGAACGUGAAAGGAAAUCCCAAAACCAUAUUGGGCAUGAAUUCACACUUAAUAUACCCAAUAAAAGAUGGCGACUGGUGAAAGGCAGUGGAGACUGGUGGAGAGAUUUGAGGAAUAGAAGCAGACGGAAAAGCAACAAAUUUUUGCCGAAAAACGGUCACUUUCAUGGUUAAUUUUGCUACUCUCCAAUUGUACUUGACCAAUUACAACAAUUUCAUGGAGUUUGAUACGUGAAAAGAAUUUUUUAUAAAUUUUAUUUUGAUCCAUAAUGUUAUCUUUACAUAUAUAAAACAUUUUACAAUUUUGAUUUUGGCGCAGUUAACUUUUGGUAAACAAAAAUGCUCAUGUUUAAAAAACCGGAAAUAAAACAAAACAAGAAACAAAAGAAAUAAGAGGGUAGCAUAGACAUUUUGGAUUUUUCCGUUAAUUUGGAUGAUUUCCACCCACGUUCUAAUUUAAUCCAAAACACAAAGGAAUUACGUAGAGGUUUUAAAUAAUGAGGGAGCUUCAUGAUCGAACCCCAAACCACAAGGCGAUUUACUAUAUUUUACUCUUAAAUUUUGGUUUCAUCUCAUAGCAUACAAGAGUUCUAUUUCACUAUCUGUAGACAAAGACUUUCUAUGGUUGAUGUACCAUAGGAAAAAAUCUGCCUAUACAACGUGAUAGCAUUUUUUCAAAAACACAAGAUGGAAAAUUGCCCCCUUAAACGGGGAAAUUCAUGAUCUUUCCUCGAACAAAGAAUACUCACGCCUAUUCAAGAUGGAAAAUUGCCCCCUUAAACGUCUAUUUGUCAAUUCUUGAAAAAAGAAUACUCACGCCUAAAACACGGCCUCUUCAUCUGCAGAAUUCUAAAAAGUUAGGUAAACUCUAUAAACAAGUUGAUAGGUACAAUCGUACCCAAGAUCAAGUACAGAUAGUUGUACAUUCACUGCUGCAAUAACUAAUCUGAUGACUUACAAACAUAUCAUGGUCAAUCGUUGAAUGGUAAUGAGUCUUUUGUUAUGCAUUAGUAUUAGUGUGUACACUCUAAUAGAUUGAUACUUAUACUCUUUAAAUUAUCAUAAUAAUACCCUUAAUUAACUUUAACUCUUAAAAAGAAUACGUGUUAAUACACGAGAGUGUGUAACCUGAAUUGUUACUUAUACAUUAGUGUGUAAUAGAUAGGGAUGGCAAUGGGGGCGGGUGCCCGCAGGCAACCGCCCCGCGGGGGGCUCUCGGGGCGGGGAGGGGGGAAUUUUUUCCCCCCGUUUAGAAACGGGGCAGGGGACGGGGGAGUAUACCCCCGCCCCAUCCCCCGCAAAAAAAAUUAUAUAUAUAUAAUUAUAUAUAAUAUGUAAUUUAAUUAGUUAUAAACUUAUGAUAAUGAUAUUAUUAGUUAGAUGUAUUAUAUAAUGUAUAUUAGUGUAUGUAAUAUAAUUAAUAUUAUCAAUUAUACGAAUAAUUAGACAUGUCUACUAAUAGAAUUUAUUAAUUAGUUAUACUAAAUUUACUAAUACAUUUAUACUAAAUUUCUAAUUACAUUUAAUAGAAUAACACUUUUUUCUAAAAAAAAAAGCACAAACACAAUAAUGAAUUAGUGAUUGUAUUUUUACCAAAAAUGAAAACUUAACUAUUUUAGUUGCAUUUAUUUCAUCAUGUUGGAUUGUAUUCAAAUAAUUUUUGUUUGAUUGUUUUUAUGAGUUUCAAUUGUAAAAUUAAAAUGAAUAAUAACUUGAUGAAUAAUAAUGUCAAUCGUUGAAUGGUGUGUACACUCUAAUAUUAUGCAUUAGUAUUAGUGUGUACACUCUAAUAGAUUGAUACUUAUACUCUUUAAAUUAUCAUAAUAAUACCCUUAAUUAACUUUAACUCUUAAAAAGAAUACGUGUUAAUAACUCUUAACCUGAAUUGUUACUUAUACAUUAGUGUGAAAUAGAACGGCAAGCAUUGAGCAACUUAUAGGAGAAAUAGUCCUAUAAGCUGUUGGAUGACUAAUAUAGCUCUAGCUGUAAUGUUUUAAUUAAAUUACAUCACUAACGUUGGGAUGACUAAUGGUUUAAAAAUAAUUGAGUAAUUGGAAAAAAAAAAAGAGACUAAUUUUCAUUGAAACCCACCGACAAACUAAACGUGUCCAUGGCUUUUGAAUAGUGCAUUCAACGUUUAAUUGUAUAGUCCAGUUCAUUGCAGAUUACAUGGAGUAAAGAUUGUGCUCUUUCCUUUUUCACCCCUUUUGGAAUCGAUACUGUGGAGAAUUGGGUUUUUCCCUUCUUUUUUUCUUUUCUUUCUUUCUGUGCUUUGCAAAACAUAGGUAAAAUUAUGAAAUCCGAAGCAUUCUUUAAUUGGGAUUAAGUAUUGUUCUUGAAAUUAAAAAGAAGAAAGAAAGAACAACAAAAUUCCCUGAUUGGUUGCAUCGUGCUUCCAUAGAAGCUCUCUUAGUGUGAUACACUGCUUUCAAUCAGUUUAACAUGGAAAAAAGAAAGAGAUGAAAAGCAAAUUUGGUGGGGAUAAUUUCAGAAACCUCCCCUGAAGAUUUUGACUAUUCUACUGGUCUCCCUUCAGAUUUUAAAAAUUACACUAAUCUUCCUUGAAGUUAUAACAUUUAAAUUCAAUCAAUAAUUUAAAAAAUGAUAUUAUGAAAGAGAAAAUAAUAUGAUUUUAUCAUUGCCCCCCAUCUUACUACAUUAUUUAAUUAAUUUAAUAGCAACCCACACAUUAAAGAAAAAUAUAAAAUUUGUUAUUUAUCAUUAAAGAUCAAAUCGCUUAUAACAUCAAAUAAUAGUAUAUUAUUUAUAUUUUUCACUUAACAUAAUAUCCAAAUUACUCUUUUCAAUUACAUACUCAUUGUUAGACAAUCAACAACAAAUAACCAAAAAAUUUGCAACCAAAAUAUUACAAAAAAAAAUAAACUUUAACAUCAUAAAUAUUCUUAUCAACAUAUUAAAGUUAGUUACUGAAAUUUUUAUGGUGUUAAACUUCACUCUUUGUAAUAUUUUGGUUACAGAUUUUUUUUGAUUAUUUUUUAUUAAUUAUGUUUGAUGAUGGGUUUGUAAUUGAAAAGAAUAAUUUAAAACUUACAUUAAGUGAAAUAUAUAGAGUGAUAUACUAUUUUUUAUAACAUAUGUGAUUCAAUCCUUCUUGAUAGGAUUGGUAAUAGAGGUAGAGGGGGGAGUCGGCUGCAUCCGGUCUUCUUUUCAUAGAUAGUACAAUAUUGCGAAAUCAAUCGCAUUCACACAAUAAUAUUUCGAAGUCAAUGCAUGGCUAAGUUGCAUAAAAGUACGAACACUUGUUAUUAUAUAGCUUAAGAUUCAAAACUUUAGAGCAUAACCCUCCACCUAACACAAUUGAAUAAUGAAUAUUCACGUUUGUCAAAUCUGUCAAAGCACAGUUUGAGGACAACCCAUUCCAACCUGCAAAAGAUUUUUUACUUUUCUAAAGUUGUUGAGAGCUGUAAAAAGACCUACCAUGCUUACAUCCUCCGAGCCUUGGGAGUUAAAAAUGAAGGCACUGAGUGCUAUAAAAAGGGGGCUAGAGGCUGCCUAGAAGCAUAUCAGCCUAAAACAAGAAUUUGUUGUUAUGAUGGGAAGCAAAGCAAAAGCAAUGGGGUCUGGGCUGACUCCUCUUCUUGCCACUGUUUUAGUGGUAUUUGUUGCUCUUGGCUUGCCCUCAGAAACAGCAGCUGAUGAUCACUACAAGUAUUCAUCUCCUCCUCCUCCUUACCACUAUCCCUCACCACCGCCUCCAGUGCAUUUACCUCCACCAGUGUACAAAUACAAGUCCCCACCACCACCUCAUCAUGUUUACAAGUACAAAUCUCCACCACCCCCACCACCACACCCAGUUUACAAGUAUAAGUCACCACCACCACCUCCUCAUCCGGUACCACACCCAGUUUACAAGUAUAAGUCACCACCACCACCUCCUCAUCCGGUAUACAAGUAUAAGUCUCCUCCGCCACCACCACACCCAGUUUACAAGUAUAAGUCACCACCACCACCUCCUCAUCCGGUACCACACCCAGUUUACAAGUAUAAGUCUCCUCCGCCACCAGUUUACAAAUAUAAGUCUCCUCCACCACCACCUCCAGUGUACAAGUACAAGUCUCCACCACCACCAGUUUACAAGUACAAAUCACCACCACCUCCUCCCCCAGUUUACAAAUACAAGUCUCCACCACCACCAGUUUACCACUACAAGUCACCACCACCUCCUCACCCAGUUUACAAGUACAAAUCUCCUCCACCACCAAUUUACCACUACAAGUCACCACCACCUCCUCCCCCAGUUUACAAAUACAAGUCUCCACCUCCUCCUCACCACUACUAAGCAAUUGCUUCUGAGGUAAUAACACUUGUUCAAUAACACUUGAUAGCCAGCUGAAUAUUUGCAGGCAAAGGAGAAGGAAACCAGUGUUUGAGACCUUCUUGAAGAUGUAGAAGCAUAAGAAUUAAAGCCCAAUGUGAAGAUGAUGAUUUCAAGUUUUUCUACGUUACCAUUUCAAUAUCUAAAUUGGUUGUAGCGCCUUAGUUCCUUUGUUUAUGGGAUUUGUAUCGUUUUACGUACCAUGCAGUACAUGUCAUGUUUGUAAGGUUUUCUAUCCUGCCGGCAAACCGCAGGUUCCAUGUAAUAAAUCAAUACUAUUUAUAUUACGACACUUUUCUCUGUUUCUCUUAUAUUUUGUCUUUAAUAUUCUUAAUCAUAUUUUUAACAAAAAUAUUCAAACACUUCAGCAAUGGUUCACCUAGUUGAUCAUCGAAGCAGAGGCAAUUCCAAUUAUUUAUCAAUAAAUAGGAUAUAACUACCAAACAAGCGAUGGCAGUUAACCCCUCCUUACUGUGUCGGUGAUCAAGGUACGCCCGUUAAUCACUGCUCUAAUUGAGAAAUAAUCCUAAGUACGCCCGUAGAAUUUAAUUCCCCAAUUGCCUUACAUAUUAGAGGAGCCCUAUUCUAACCAAAUAACGCACUAUCAGGGUUAUUUUAGAUUAGCCCGCGUAUUCCCCUGACAUAAAUCUAAUCAUGCCAGUUGUCAUUAUUUUGAGGUAAUUAAACAAUUACGGAUUUAACACCUCAAUUGACAAUAGAUUAUUAAAUUAAUUAAUUAUUCGGAUCCAAGACAAUCAAUUAAUUAAACAACCAUAAGCACUACAAUCAGAGAAUAUGCAAAUACCAAUAAAUAAAUAAAAAAUAAAAUUAAAUCGAUCUCACAAUUUUUAGGCGAAUCAGAGCAUCCGUUGUCCCUUGACUAGAGCAAGGAAAUUAGUUCAUAUUUGAUGAACUAAACCCAUACAAAAGGGAAGCGAGAAAUGCAGCCAUUAUCCUUUGAAAUCUGGAAAAUUCAACUUGUCCGAAUAUCGAAUAGAUAGUAAUACUACAAAAGGUAAUUCAUAGCUUCCCUUUCGUCUGACACACAAGAAGAAAAAAAAGGGCUGCUAAUAACUAAAGGAGGAAAAGUCAAAGUCCUAAGCUAUGCUACAAGACGAAAAACUAAAGAAGACAAAAAGGCAGUGCUCAUUCCCUGCAAUCUCAAUUCCUAUUCUAUCUAAGUGCUCUCCAAUGUGCGGCGGCUCCCCUUCCGGAGAGGACGAAGUGGCACCCUUUUUUCCUGCGCAAUUUUCCUAUAUAAAGUAGUGCUCCUUGCAGCGGCUCCUGUGCGAAAAAAUGAAGACUUCGGCCCAAUUUGCCUAACAAGGGCUCACGUUUUGUUGUUCUAAAAAUGUCCCUAGGACAAACUCUAUCAUCUGAACUCUUUUCUUGCCAAAUUAGUACCUGUUAUUAUAUUUUCGUUCUACUCCCUGAAAUAAAUGCAAAAUAUCAAAAGUGAGUAGAAUCUAGCAAUUAAUCCACAUUAGGUCAGGUAAUAGGGAAAAUUAAUAAUAAAAUAAAUGAUAAAAUUGCAAUCUAUCACGGGACCACUGUGGUAAGGUGUGUUUCGCCUAUUAUAAGGAGUUCGGAGAGUUAGACGUGUUGGAGGCGGAGGCGCGGUCACUCCUGCACGCCCUCCAGCUGUGUGCAGAUCGCGAGGUACGGGCGUUGACUGUAGAAUCUGAUUCAAAGGUGCUUGUUCAACUAGUUUGCUCGGAUAUGAGGUCGAAGUGGCCGGUGUGUAUCGUAUUGCGGGAAAUAAGACAUUUGAUCCGGCGGAUGGGUGCAUCCCUUCAUCAUAUAUUCCGUGAGGCCAAUUCGGUGGCGGACGCAUUGGCUUCUCUGCAAUUGGGAGGGCAGCAGUACUACACCUCAGGCGUGGCGCUGCCUUUCAGGCCCAGAGGAGAGGCUCUGCUGGAUCGUCAAGGAGUACCUCGCAUCCGUGAGGCGCUCACUAAGGUUUGAUAGGCUAUGUCCUCCUUUCAAAAAACUUAUUUCAUCUACUCCUUGUAAUCAUUUUUCUUAUCAAUAAAUUGAGGCUUUUUAUUUAAAAAAAAACAUAUAAUUUAAGGCAAAAAUAUGAUCCUAGCGAGUAUCGCACUGAGACAUUAGGAAACAUCAUUAAAAGAGUAUUUCUUGAGUUAGUGCAACUAUUUCUUAGGGGAAUUUAUAGUUACAAAAUUCAAAAAUUUGAGAUUCUAUUACUGAUUAAUUAAGGGCGUUAUCACUAUUUUUCUUAUUAUCACCAUUAUUUACCCCACAUACUAUAAGUUUUUUUAGGGCACAGGAAAAGAGGUGGGCCGAUGUUUAGUUAUGUACAAAAGUUCAAAAUUUGUAGAUAACUUAUCAUGUGCCCUUAGAGCGUAGAAUACAGAAAAAAUAUCUUAAACUAUAACUAAUCCUAAUAUUUUUCUCUAUGAUAAACUAGCUCUUAUCCAUUUCUUUAGAUGAUGAAAGGAAAUAGUUAGUCACCUGUCCUCUAGUGAUUACAACAGCAUCAAAACAAAUUAGCACUCUUUUCCCGUAGUUUAAAAAUCCCUCAGCCACUAAGAUUUUGCAUGUCGAACGAAUUAAGGAACAUAGAAGGUUCGUGCUGCACCACAGUGUCCUUGUUGACGAUGCAAAGACAGAAAUGCAUCCGCGUAUACUUCCUUAAGCAUUUUGAUUACUUUAUGAUUCGAACUUUUCUUGUCUGACAGCUGGACUUAAUUGAAAAACACAAGUAACAAUAUUUCAAAGUUGAUUCGUCAAAGUUUACCCAAUUGGUGAAACUUUCUUCAUAGAGCUGACUUUGUAUUAGGUGACAAUGAUAUGGAAUUGAUGUCCUUCCCUUUUUCCUUUUUUUGUGUUGAAGACGCACAACGUUUUCAAUGGCAAAUUUAUAUGGGCUUUUCACGACAAAAUGUGUUCUGAAAAGUUCAUUCCAGAGGUUAAAAUUUUGUGUGUUAAAAAUUUGCUUCUCAGGACUUUGAUGGGAAAGUCUUGGUGUUUCCAAAAAGUUUAAGCAGGAUGCUUCUGGCUUUCUCUCCAUGUAUUUGUGAGUUAGAUCUAAAAUUAUCAGGGCUCCAGAGAUCUCUUGAAAUCGCAGCAUAUAUUGAAGUCUUUCCAGAAGGAGUCUUUUUUUUUUUUUUUAUGAAUUAUGAUAGAUAAUUAAUCUGACGGUGCAUAUAUAUAUAUAUGUGAUUUGCAGUAGGGUGUUUGACGAAAUGGUUAGGCUUCCUAAGUAAUGAUAGGAAUGCCAUUUGCAAAGAAGGACAGGGGGCUGGUGCUGUCAUAUUUUAUGCGAUUUGAUCCGUUGUUGUAUAAGUUUAAACUUUUGACGUGCAAUUGUGCUAUAAUAUUAUACUAAAUAUAUGUGUGAAAUAUUUUGUCUAUAUACAUCACUUUUAUCAUGAAUACAACAGCUGAGUAUAAUAAUAUAGUAUAAUGUAAUUGUACACCAAAUAAUGUAGCAAAUAUAACAAUUGAUCCGAAUUACACGGAACCAUAACAACAAGAUCACCGCCUCCCAAAUUUUACAAAAUUAGGUUUUUUUUUUUUCUCUUAGAUUAUUGAAAAUUUUCAAAAAUAAUCUACAUAAUUUAAGCUUUUGUCCUACAAAAAUUUGAAGAGAUUUUACAUUACAAGCUUAAGCUUAGAUAUAUUAAACUUUGCCCCCAAGAUUAAUUUUCCGUUUUUAUCUAUGAACCGAUCCAUAUAGCUAGUUAGACUGUAGUCCUCACAUUUGUGGGAUUUAACACCCAAGAUUCUCCUUCUUGGAAUGUAAAAUGUAGAUCUUCUAUGUUAAUAAUUCAAGACCCUACUGUCAUAAACGAAAUGACUGAUCAACUCCUGUAAACCUAAUUUGACAACAUUUAAAUGGAGAACUUUAGCUAAAAGAAUUAUGGUCAAGCUAAAGAAAAAGCCAGUUAUUUUCCAACAUAUGCAAUCAUUGAUCAGGAAAAAAAAAAAAAAGCAAAAAGACAUCUUCAAUCAUUUAAUAGCUCACAGUGCAAAUUAACCCCUAAGCGAAAACUGGUUGCUCUAGAAUCAAAAUUUUACCUUAGUUACCCAGGCAACUUUUUUGUUGCUUUUUUUUUUUUCUUUUCCUUUUUGGGUAUAUAUAUAGCUCCAGUUUUGCCCCCUCUGUCAAGCUUAUAUAAUUAUUAAGAUAAUAAAAGUGCCUUGAAUAGUAUUAAUAUAUCCAUUGACUUGAGCUGUCAUCGAUCGGUUUGGGCUACUUCGAUUCCAUGAGAACAAAUGGUAAUAAAAGUACUCAGAAAAUAGGGAGCCAUGAAACCCUUUUGUUCUAUUCAUUGCUAAGAUGCUUUUCUCUAUAAAGAGACUUCCUAACGAAAGUACUUUGUAGAUUUCUUUACUCCAAGUGGUGCAUGGAAAAUUAAAAUAUUCAAUUAUCAAAUAAAAUUCCCUUUUUUCGGUGUAGAUUUCAUCCAUCCAGCUGUUAACACAUUUUAUGUAUCCGAAUUAUAUAUUCUCUACCAAAUAUUGUAACUUUUCUGAGCAUCUUUACAUUUUUAUUCCCACCUAACAAAUUAGUUGUUGAGCAUCUUUACAUGCUAUCGGAUCACAAGUUAAUAAUCUUUUAAAGAACAUGUUAAAUUAAUUUAUUGGUAUGAAUAGUCAAAGAAGUAUAUUAAAGUUAGUAAUCUUUAAACACCACGAUGCAAUUAAUACUUUCAAGCUCAAGGUCUUUUUUUUUUUUUUUUUUGGUACUGUACUUCCUUGCUUUAUAGUAUGCACGUUUAUUUCUGUGGAUUGCUUAAGCUUAUAUUGUUAAUAAUUGGGCAUUUAACCAUAAAUUAUAAUGAUUAUGAAGUCAUAUAUAUAUAUAUAUAUAUAAGAAAAUUACCACAAUUAUUCAAUUUUUUUUGCAAAUUCAAAUUUUAUUAAUAAGAAAUAGGCAGUAAGCUUUUACAAACGGAAAAAAAAAAUCCUACAACAACUCUAGGACCUUUGAAAGAAAGAAAAAAAAAAGAAAAGAAAAGCUUAAGGACUCUACCUCAUAGAAGCUAAACAAUCCUACAAAUAAACUGCAAAAUAAAUCACAAUAACGCAAAAUUUUUGUCUUUCUUCCGUAUGAAAUGAAACUACGAAGUCAAGAAUUGACUCCUUUAACCGCUAUUGCCAGCGGGCUCCGUCAGCAAGAUACAACUUUGCAAUUUGAUUCAAUAGAAAUCCUCAAAUAGCUAUUUUGACAGGCAAAUUAAGCAUUAAUUUUGGUAUCCCUUCAUAAAAUACAAGAGUACUUUUGAUUAUAUCUAUAGAUCAACUUUCUAGGCUAUUUUGAUGUAUUAUAAGAAAAUCUGCCUCAACAAUUUUGAUAGCAUUUUUCCAAAAGCAGAAGAUGGAAAAUUGCCCAUUUGUACUGGGGAGUUCGUGAUCUUUUCCUCCUUCUAGUCUACUUACAAUUCUUGGAAAAAGGAAUACUCACAUCUCAAACAACUGCCUGUUCAUCUGCAAUGUCCUGCCGAAUUCUAGAAAGUUAGGUGGCAAUGCUAAUUACAUUUCAAAAUUGACUGCUGCGAUGACUAAUUCGAUGGCUUACUACAUGGUCAACGUUUGGAUCCCUUCCUGUCCUUUUUGGAUGCACAUUUUUUUUCUCUAGGCAAUAUAUAAUCUCCCAACUCAUUUCUUUACAAAUGCACCUUUAAUCACCACCAAAAGGUGUGGACAUGAUCUUUACCCUAGAAAACUAAUCACCGACAGGCAAAUUGACGUCAGAAAUACUAAGAGGAAUUCUAGUUUCCUUCGGGUUAAUGCCAUUUUGUACCCUUCAACUGUAACUCGAUUUCUAAACUAUAAUUUGUGACAUUAUAGUCCUUAAACUAUGAAACCCCUCUUACUUAAGUACAAUGGUUAAUACAAUACCCGUGACUAGACAAGCAACCAUAACAAAAAAAAAUCCAAAAUUAGAGAAAAGAAAGAAGUUUCGCGACCAAAGUAUGUAUCAAGGCAUAGUAUAGAAAUAAAAGUGUCCAAAUUAAGAGUUUAGGGAUAAAAGAGAUCAAGAUAUAGUUUAGGGAUUGAUUUGUCUCAAUUAGAGUUUUGAUGUCAACUAAGAAGAGAGAUAUAGUUGAAGGGUAGAAUAUAGAUAUAACAGUUCAAUGAUUGAUAUCAACGAGACAAUGACAACUUUGGAUUAUUACCAACCUCUUCUUGAUGGGAAAAGGAAAUAGAGAAGAAAGUCGGGCCUGGUCUAAGCCUGCUUCGGAGGCAAAACAACAUUAUGAAAUCACCGGCAUUCACACAAAUAUGUCAAAGUCACCGGCAUGCUAAGUUGCAUAAUUUAUACAAACACUGAAUAAUAUAUUGUUCUUAAAAUUUUUGUUUAAGAUUUAACAAUUAGAGCACGGUACACGAAUUAGCAAUAUUAAAUAAUGAAUGUUCACGAUUGAUAAAGUUAUCAAAGUACAGUUUGAGGACAACCCAUUCCAACGUGUACAAGAUGUUUAGCCUUUGAAAAGUUAAUUAGAGAAGGUGACGAGAUUUUACUAGGCUUAAAUCUUCUAGGCCUCGGAAGUAAAAAAUGAAGGCCUUUGAGUGCUAUAAAAAGGGGGCUAGAUGUUGCCUAGAAGCAUAUCAGCCUCAGACCACAUUUUGUAGCAAUGGGGAGCAAAGCAAAAGCAAUGGGGUCUAGGCUGACUCCUCUUCUUACCACCGUUUUAGUGGUAUUUGUUGCUCUUGGCUUGCCUUCAGAAACUGUGGCUGAUUACUACAAGUAUUCAUCUCCUCCUCCUCCUUACCAUUAUUCCUCACCACCACCUCCUGUGCAUUCACCUCCACCACCGCCAAUUUAUAAGUCACCCCCACCACCUUACCACUACUCCUCACCGCCACCUCCAGUGUAUUCAUCUCCACCACCACCUUCGCCAGUUUACAAGUCUCCGCCACCACCUUACCAUUAUUCGUCACCACCGCCUCCGGUGCAUUCACCUCCACCACCACCUGUUUACAAGUCACCUCCACCACCUUCGCCAGUUUACAAGUCUCCGCCACCACCUUACUAUUAUUCGUCACCACCGCCUCCGGUGCAUUCACCUCCACCACCACCGAUUUACGAGUCACCUCCACCACCUCCUCCAGUUUACAAGUCUCCGCCACCACCUUACCAUUAUUCCUCACCACCACCUCCAACGCAUUCACUCCCACCACCAGUUUACAAAUCACCGCCACCACCUCCUCCUAUGUAUAAGUCCCCUCCACCACCUUAUCAUUAUUCCUCACCACCACCUCCAGUGCAUUCACCCCCACUGCCACCAAUUUACAAGUCUCCGCCACCUCCAAUCUACAAGUAUAAGUCACCACCACCUCCUCCCCCAAUUUACAAGUCACCACCACCACCUCCUCCAGUAUAUAAGUCCCUACCCCCACCAGUGUAUAAGUACAAGUCUCCACCACCACCUCCUCCAGUAUACAAAUCACCUCCACCACCUCCUCCAGUUUACAAAUCUCUACCACCACCAAUUUAUAAAUACAAGUCUCCUCCACCACCUCCUCCGGUUUACAAUUCCCCACCACCACCAAUCUACAAGUCUCCACCUCCACCCUCCCAUUACUACUACAAUUCUCCUCCUCCUCCUCCUCAUCACUACUAAGCAAUUGUAUCCAAGUUUUUGAGGUAAUAAUGCUAAACCAAUAUAUUAACUUUCGCAUGAUAAACUUUAUCUCUAUCAAGACAAACUGCCAUGUGCAUCAAGCCAAAUACGUACACUUCGAUCCAUGAAAAUGACAAGUAGAAGGUUUUCUUAAGAACCAAGGAACAGCAUUAGUAUUCCCUCUGUUUCCAAAACUUGUGUAUUAAAUAGAUUAAUGAAUUGUUUAACAUGCUUAUCUACUUGAAAAUGCACAAUACCCAUAACCCACUGAAAUUUUUGCAGGUAAAGGGGAAGAGAAUCUGUGUUUGAGAGCUUCAUGAAGAUGUUGAAGAAUAAGAAUAAAAGCCCAAUGCGAGGAUGUUUUCAAGUUUUUCUAUGUUUCCACUUUAAUUUGUAAAUUGAAUUUUUCGACUUAAUUAAUUCCCUGUUUGUGGGGUACGUAUUGUUUUACGUACCAUGCCGUACAUGUUUGUAAGGAUUUCUAUCCUAUUGGCAAAAGUCGGUUCCAUACAAUUAAUCAAUUCAUUUCACUUCUAUUGGCUCUACUAUUUAUGCACGUUACGACAUUUUUUCUCUCUUUCCCUUAUAUUUUGUCUUUAAUAUUAUUGAGUCAAUAGUAAUACUGGGCCAUUUUUUUUAAAACUUAUACUAGUAUACAUAGGUAGUUUGGUCUAACGCCAAAUUCAUGUUUGUCUUUCUUUUAUUCCCUUUACAUUUCAAAGUAUACUAUAGUUUGUGAUCAUUGUGGUGAUGAUAUUACCAGCUGGUACUUAUAGUUUAAGGCAGAGACAUGAUAUUAACAACUAUCUCAUUGAAACAUAAGGAAAAAUCAUGACAAGUGUGAGUCUUGGUUAAUGCACAAUUUGUUAGUGGAAUUUAUAUUUAUAAAACUCAAAAAAAAAAUUUUGACAAUGCUAUUACUAAUUAAUUAAGGACUUUAUUGCUAUAAUUUAUCGCUUGCUAGUUUAAACUAUAAAUGAUCUCAAUACUUUUCUCCAUGAUGUCGAUUUCUUUAGAUACGAAAGGGAAAAAUUAGUGACAUAUCCCUUACUGAUUACAACAUCAGCAAAAAUUAGUUAUAAACUUUUCCGGUGGUUUUAAAUCCCCGGGCCCUAAGAUUUUUUGCUCAUCGAGUGAAUUAAGGAACAUAGGCAAUUCAUUUUGCAUACCAAGUCCUUGUUUAAGAUGCAAGUACUAAAAUGCAUCCACUUCAUUAAUUUGGGAAAUUGCCAUAGUUUUUUUAAGCAUUUUGAUUUUUUACAUGAUUUAAAAUUUUCUUAUUGGAUACAAUCACUUUGUAUCAAGAACACAUUUUCAAUCACCUUUUUUUAUCUUCUCAAUGAGAAAAUAAAAAUUUAUUCAUGCUUUUCUAACAUAUUCAAUCAUUGAUCUGAAAAUUAAAACAUUAAGAAAAGGACAUUUUCAAACAUUAAGAAGUAGUAUUUUAAAGACCAUGAUGAAAUUAAUACUUUCAAGGUCUCUAUUAGGAAGACUUCCUUUAUUAAUACUCUACUAGGCAGAGUUAUAUGCACGUUUACUGUUUUGGCCUUAAGUUGGGUGCAGAUGCUUAUAUUACAAAUAGAUGGUAUCAAAAAAUUGUUGUAUUCACGUCUGUUCUUUUUUUCUUCCUUAAGUUUUUUUCUUUAUUCUCGUGACUUCGCUAGUGAGGUAUAACUUCACAACUAGAGUCAAUAGAAAUCGUCAAAUGAUUUUUUGACAUCCAAAUUAAGCAAUAAAUUUUGUUUUCAUUUCAUAACAUAUAAUAGUACUACUUCAUGGGAGAUUUUAUAGUUUCUUUAGGGUAUCAUACCUACAAUUGAUAUUUAUCAUUGGAUAGUGAAAGAAGUGUUAAUGUCUCUAAGAUUAAAUAUUGUUAAAUAUUGAAAAUUUGAACUAUUUAUCUCUAUUGAGAGAUACAACUUAAAGAAUCCUACCCAAAAGAGACUAGAAUUUUCUCUGUUUUUCAUCAUCUGUAGACAUAAACUUUCCACGGUUGAUAGCAUUUUUCAUCAUCUAUAAGGAAAUUUUGCCUAUACAAUGUGAUAGCAUUUUUCAAAAAGACAAGAUGGAAAAUUGCCCCCCUUGAACGGAAAAUUGCCCCCUUGUCAAUUCUUUAAAAAAGAAUACCGUCCCGCAGAAUUCUAGAAAGUUAGGCAAAACUAGACAAGUUGACAGGUAUAAUCAGACCCAAGAUCAGGAACAAGCAGUUGCACAUUUCAAAAUUCGCUGCUGCAACAACUAAUUUGAUGACUUACAACACUAAAUGGUCAAACUUUGAAUGGCAAUGAAUCUUUUGUUGUACAUCAUGAUGUAAUUUUCAUGUUACAUAAUAGAUUGAUAUCUAUGUUCUUUAAAUUAUCAUAAUAAUUAAAUUUAACUGAAAAAAAGAACACAUAUCAAUACACAAAAGUGUGCAACGUGAAUGUUAUUUUAGUGUAUUGCAGAAGACCUAUAGUCUCUUCAUAUCUCUUCCUGCACGUAUCAAUUCGUUUCCUCUAGAUAAUAAUCUCCCAACUCAUUUAUUUACAAAUGCACCUUUUAUGUUUUAUUACCUCCAAAAGCCUAAAAAUCAAUUCACCGACUCGCAUUUGGUAUCAGAAAUUCUUAUUACGAAUUCUACUUUACUCAAAGAUUGACUGUUAAUAAUGAGACAACGACCAUUUUGUAUUAUUACACCGUCCUUCUUGAUAGGCAAAAGAAAUAGAGAGGAAAGCGGGUCCGUAUAUGGUCUUUUAUUCAUAGAUAAUACAACAUUACGCCAUCGAGCAUUCACACAAUAUUUCAAAGUCAUUGCAUGCCUAAGGCCUGCUUGAUAAUCUAAUUCCGUACUUAAAUUUAAUAAAUUCAAAUCUUAACACAUUCAAAUCGUUUGAUAACAAAAAAUUGAACAUCUAAAUUAAUUAAGUAACACUGAAUUUUCUAGGCAAAACUUGCUCCCAAAAUUAAGUGAUAAGUUAUUCACUUAUCACUGAAUAUGAUAUGUAUUCAAAUGUAUUAGAUUUAAUACUUAAUAAUUUAAUGAAUUCAAAUUUCAUAUUUCAUAUUUCAGUUUUAUCAAACACACCUUAAGUUGCAAAAUAAUACCAAAACUUGUUAUUACAUAGCUUGAGAUUCAAAAAUUUAGAGCAUAAUUCUCAACCAAACACAAUUGAAUAAUGAAUAUUCACGAGUGUCAAAUCUAUCAAAGUACAAUUUGAGGACAACCCAUUCAAACGCGUACACGAUUUUUAACUUUUCUAAAGUUGUUGAGAGCUGUUGAAAGAGAUUUACCAUGUUUACAUCUUCCAAGUCUUGGGAGUAAAAAAUGAAGCCACUGAGUGCUAUAAAAAGGGGGGUAGAGGCCACUUGAGAUCCUCGGUGACAUGUUUUCUAUGCCAAUCCAAUGCCACCAAUAGUGUUGCGCCAAGUGUCAUGUUAUUAUUUACACUUGUGUUAAACUAAGCCAAGUUGAAUUAUUAGAAAAUUAAAGUGUAAAUAAUAACAUGACACUUGGCGCAAUACUAUUGGUGACAUUGGGUUGGCAUAGAAAAUAUGUCACCGAGGAUCCCAAGUGGAUAGAUGCUGCCUAGAAGCAUAUCAGCCUAAAACAAGAAUUUGUAGUAACAAUGGGGAGCAAAGCAAAAGCAACGGGGUCUAGGCUGACUCCUCUUCUUACCACUGUUUUAGUGGUAUUUGUUGCCCUUGGCUUGCCCUUGGAAACUGCAGCUGAUUAUUACAAGUAUUCAUCUCCUCCUCCUCCUCCUUACCAGUAUUCCUCACCACCACCUCCAGUGUAUUCACCUCCACCAACCCCUGUUUAUAAGUUACCCCCACCAUCUCCUCUAGUUUACAAGUCCUCACCACCACCUUACCACUACUCACCACCUCCUGUGUAUUCACCUCCACCAUCACCAAUUUACAAGUCACUGCCACCACCCCCUCCAGUAUACAACUCCCCGCCUCCACCAGUGUACAAAUACAAGUCCCCACCACCACCUUCUCCAAUUUACAAAUCUCCACCGCCACCAGUUUACAAGUACAAGUCACCCCCACCACCUCCUCCGGUAUACAAGUCUCCUCCGCCACCUGUUUACGAGUACAAGUCUCCUCCACCACCUCCUCCAGUGUACAAGUCCCCACCACCUCCAGUUUACAAGUACAAGUCACCACCACCUCCUCCCCCGGUUUACCAAUCUCCUCCACCACCAGUUUACAAAUACAAGUCACCACCACCUCCUCCCCCAGUUUACCAGUCUCCACCUCCACCCUAUCAUCACUACUACGGUUCUCCUCCUCCUCACCACUACUAAGCAAGUGCAUCUAAGUUUUGAGGUAAUAAUACCGAUCCAAAACUUUAUCAACGCAAACUGCCAUGUAUAUCAUGCUAAGGACGUACACUUGAUCCAUGAAAAUGGCUAGUAGAAGAUUUUUUUUAAGAACCAGAGAAAUACAUUAUUUUUUCGCUCUGUUUUCAAGAAUUUGAGCAGUAUACAGAUUAAAGAGUGUUUUUUUUAAACUUGCUUAUCAACUUAGAAAUGCACAUAGCUGAAAGCCAACUGAAUAUUUGCAGGCAAAGGAGAAGGCAAUCGGUGUUUGAGACCUUCAUGAAGAUGUAGAAGAAUAAGAAUAAAAGCCCAAUGCGAGGAUGAUUUCAAGUUUCUACGUUACCAUUUCUACAUCUAAAUUGACUUUAGCUCCUGAGUUCCAUGUCUAUGGGGUUUGUACUGUUUUACGUACCAUGCAGUACAUGCUUGUAAGGUUUUCUGUCCUGUUGGCAAGCCGCAGGUCCAUAUAAUAAAUGAAUACUAUUUAUAUUACGACACUUUUCUCUCUUUCUCUUAUAUUUUGUCUUUAAUAUUGUUGAUCAUUUUUUUUUUUUAUCAAAAGUAUCAAAUGCUUAGGCAAUUUGGUCUAAUGCUAAUUGUUUUACAUUUAUUUUUCACCUACAUCCCUUUUCAACUCAAAGGAUGCUACAGUUUGUGAUCAUUGUUUAAGACCGAAGCAUGGUACUAAUAAAUAUCUCAUUGAAAGUCAAGGAAACUAACAUUAUGAAAAGUGUAAAUCUUGAUUUGUGAAACUAUUUAUUCGUGGAAUUUAGAGAUACAAAACUCAAAUUGUGACGGUGUUGUUGCUAAAUUAUUUUUUUUUUAUAAUAAAACACAGUUCAUUCAAGGAUUACUGGAAAUCGUCCAGCACAAUUGAGAUACAUUGUUGCCCAGGUGGCAGAUAAAUAUGCACUAAAAUUAUAGAUAUGCAAUUUAACAAAUACAUAAGAUUUGAGAAAUUAAGGACAAAUCUAAAAAGGACCAUAAAUUUGAAAAACAUUUCAUCCUAGAAUAAGUCGCUGCAACUCUCUUUGUGCAUGCUGUAAUCGUCAGAUCUACUAAUCAACAGUUGUAAGGUCCAGUAAAGAUGGUGAGAUCUGCCGAGAUUGAUCCAAAUCUGAAAUAUUCCCUCAGAUCUGCUAUCCAAUUGGUUCAAACUCAAUACUGAAAGUGAAAUCUGAUGAGAAGACUGAAAAAAUUGUAGAUCUAACAUAUAGAUCUAAAAAAACUCCAAGAUUUGAAAAAGUAAAGAAACAAAACUAAAUAAAACUCUCAUUAAGAUAGUUUAGGAGAGACUAAAACUCUCAAUAGGACACCCUAGGAGAGAAGAAAACUCUCACUAGGAUAACCUAUGAGAGACUUUAUUGAAUGAAAGGAAAAGCAAAGGACAAAGGAAGAAGAAGGGAGACCUUGGCUUAAGGCCAAGGUCUCCCUCCUAUGGAGGAGGAAGGGUAGAGGAGGAAGCCUAGAGAGAAGGAAGAGAAUCCCUCCGCUAGAGGGAAGGAAGAGCCUCUGAGAGGGUACCCGUGUUGUUGCUAAAUUAUUAAGGACAUUAUCACCAUUACUUUUCCCUUACUAGUUUCAACUGCAAUGAUCUCAAUCUUUUUGUGACUAAUUCUUUUCUUAAUAAUUUAUAAAUACAAAACUCACAAAGAAUAUGUGACUUAUUCUUUCCUUUCGUCUUCUAAAGAAAAUGCCAACUGUUAGUUUAUCAAGGGAAAAAGGAUCGACAUCAGUUGUUAUUGAAACUAGUAAGGAAUAAAUAAUGGUGAUAAUGUCCUUAAUAAUUUAACAACAGCACCAUCAGAAUUUGAGCUUUGUAUCUAUAAAUUCCACGAAUAAAUAGUUUCAUCAAAUCAAGAUUUACACUUUUCAUAAUGUUAAGUUUCCUUGACUUUCAAUGAGAUAUUUAUUAGUAUCAUGCUUCGGUCGUAAACAACGAUCACAAACGAUAGCAUCCUUUGAGUUGAAAAGGGUAGUGAAAAAGAGAAGUAAAAAAUACAAUUAGCAUUCCCUCAAAUUGUAGAAAGUUAGGUAGCAUUAUAGACAAGUUGAUAGCCGUAAUUAUACUAAAAAUCAGGCAAAAGCCAGCAAUUUUACAUUUCAAAAUUCACCUAUUCAAUAACUAAUUCGAUGGCUUGCUACAUGGUCAAAAUUCACCACAUAUCCCUUUCCUCAAUCAGGGGCUUCUACAAUUACCAGUUCCAAUUGUAUGGUAUAGUGUAAAUAUCAACAAAUUAGAUGUAGACACUAAUAUAAUAAAUAUGGAUGCUAAGGCAACAACAUACAAAAACAUAAUAAAUUUUGGCAUUCCUUAAAAAAUUACGUCCCCAAAUCAAUCUCAUACACCCAAUUUCUAAUUUAUUUAACUCAUUCCGUCUAUUAACUGCACCAUACAAUCCAACCUGCAAUUGCAUGAACCCCAAUCUCGCUUCCUAGUCCACCAUUUUUCUCUAGGUAAUAAUCUCCCUUCUAAUUUCUUCACAAAAUGCACCUUUCAUCACCUCCAAUAGCGUCGACAUGAUCUUUACCCUAGAAGACUAUUCACCGACUCCCAAUUGACGUCAGAAAAUCUAAGAGUAAUUCUACUUUACCCUAAGAUUGAUAUCAACUAGACAAUGACAAUUUAGAAUUAUUACACGCCUCUUCUUAAUAGGAAAAAGAAAUAGAGAAGAAAGUCAGGCCAGGUCUAAUUUCUUUUCGAAGGCAAUACAACAUUACGAAAUCAAGCAUUCAUUCAUACAAAUAUUUCAUAGUCACCGGUUUGCUGAGUAGAAAAGUUUAUACAAAAACUUAAUAUUAUAUUGUUUAAGAGUUAACAAUUUAGAGCUUAAUCUCCUUGUACUUUGGACUAAACUCGAACGUGAAAGGAAAUCCCAAAACCAUAUUGGGCAUGAAUUCACACUUAAAUAGACCCAAAAAAAGAUGGCGACUGGUGAAAGGCAGUGGAGACUGGUGGUGAGAUUUGAGGAAUAGAAGCAGACGGAAAAGCCACAAAUUUUUGCCGAAAGAGGGUCACUUUCAUGGUUAAUUUUGCUACUCUCUACUUGUACUUGACCAAUGACAGGUUGUCAGUCUGUGCAAUAAUAAAAACCUGUUCAAACUAAAAGUAAUUUCUGUAGAUAGUGGUAAGCAGGGUCGAAUCCACAGGGAUUAGGUGUAACUGUUUCUUUUCAAAUUCACAAUAACAAAGGGGGUGUUUUUAUGCAGAAUGUGACAAUCAAAGAAAUUCAAUUAAAAGUAAAAUAAUAAAAAUAAAAUAGCCAACUAGAAAUUAAAUAACAAUUUACUAAAAUCAAAUGAGUGAUAAUUAAGGAUCUAGCCAAGGAAUAACUUCAGCAGUGGUUCACCUAAUUGAUCAUUGGAACAAAGGCAAUUCCAAUUAUUUACUAAUAAAUAGGUUAUAACUGCCAAACAAGCGAUGACAGUCAAUCACUCCUUACUGUGUCGGUGAUUAAGGUACGCCCGUUAAUCACUGCCCUAAUUGAGAAAUAAUCUUAGGUACGCCCGUAAGAUUUAAUUUUCCAAUUGCCUUACAUAUUAGAGGAGUGUCAGGAACAAGGAAAUAGAAUGGGACGUCGUUUAAUGCAAAGGGUUGUGCGUUUAAGGCCUUAGAAGCAAUACUACGUCGUUCUAAUAACAUAGGCGGUGCUGGUGUGAUAGGCCAAGUUAGUUGAGGGUCAAUUACAUAAAUAGCCUUCUGUAACAGAUUUUUGGUUAUGUUUUUGAAUGAAAAGUAUCUCGCUGCUUUCUCUCUCUUGUCUGUUAUUUCCCUCCCUUUUCUUCUUUCUCUCUUCCCUCUUCUUAAUCUUGUUUCUUUCUUCUGAUUCUUCCCCCAAAUUCAAUACAAUUCCAGAAAUUAACCUGCAAGUCUGACAUUUGGUAUCAGAGCGGUCGAUUCUUGGCCGCGAAGGUAUCAGAAAUGGCUGAGAGCACGCGAUUCAGGACACUGGAGGAGCAACUCAAGAAGCAGGAGAAUCGGUUGCAAGAACUGGCGGAAUCCAUGGCUGCACUGCAGAGUACGAGUUCCGAGGAGUUGCGGCAUAAGCUACAGGCGGAAAUGGAGCAGAACAAUGCAAAAUUGGACGCGGUGGUGGGAAGUCUGGACCAGAAGUUCAAUAAAAUGGAACAGAGACUCAGUACAGUGUUGAAGCUGCUGAUGAAGGAGAAAGGUCUCCCUGAUGUCGAAGGAGGAAUUUCUGAUCCAAUCUUGCCGACUCCUCCAUCUCAUCUGAGGUUAGCAUCCUCAGUCGAAGGGAUUGGGCACCAACAAGAGUACAGAGGUAGGCAAUUCACUCCUAAUGUACCUCGAUUAGAACUGCCAAUGUUUAACUCUGGAAACCCUAGGGAAUGGACCAGGAAAUGCCAGAAAUAUUUUUUGAACUAUCAGAUAGCAGAGAGUCAAAAGGUAGAGGUAGCAGAGAUGUUUUUGGAAGGUAGAGCUGACAAUUGGUUUCAAGGAGUGAAAUUGGUGAGGCCAGGGUUGUCUUGGGGGGAAUUUAGUGAACUUUUGUGUGAAAGAUUUUCUGGAAGUAGUUCUCGUGACAUUGUGGAGGAAUUUAACAAGUUACAGCAGAAAGGAACUGUUGAGGAAUAUGAGGAGAAAUUUGAAGAACUAAAAGCUCUAAUGCUGAUGAAAACCCCCAGGUUGGAUGAACUUUACUUUGUUUCCAGUUUUAUUAGUGGCCUCAGGGAAGAAAUUAGACCUAUGGUGAAGAUGUUUAAGCCUCAAACACUGAUGAAGGCCUUUGAAGUUGCGGAGUUGCAGGAGUGUUCCCUGGAAAUCCAAUCGAAACAAAACAGAACUUCAAGGAGGACAGCAAUGGAACCCAAGUUUGGAAUGUAUAAGGGCACUACGAGUGAUUAGGGUCGCCAAAAUUCAUAUAAGUUGCCUGGAGUCACUCCUGUCUCCAGGAGGACUAAUGCAGUACACAAGGAAUUUAGUAAGAUAUCAGCGGAGGAAAUGCAGUAUAAGCGUAAGCACAGCCUGUGCUAUAGGUGUGGAGAGAAGUUUGGAAUAGGUCAUCAGUGUAAGAAAGGAAGUCUGAACUGUGUGAGCACUGAGGAAGAGGAGGACACUGAAUUUGAGGAUGCGGAAGGGGAACAGGAUGAGUUAACAGGAAGGGUCGGGGAACUUGCAGAAGUCUCUUUGAAUGCUUUAUCUGGUGCCAUAAGGAGGAAAUCCAUCCUGUUGAUAGGGAACUUAGGGGGGCUUCCAGUCAAAAUUUUGGUGGACACAGGCAGUUCUAACAGCUUCAUUCACCACAGGAUUGUCAACCUACUGCAUCUACCAUAUCAGGCAGUCAGUCCAUUUACUGUGACUCUAGCAGAUGGAACUGACAUUACCAGUGGAGCCAUCAGUCCCAGCGUGUCUUGGUUAAUUCAGGACUAUCAAUUCCAAUUUGACUUAAAAGUAAUGGAAUUAGGGGGAUGGGAUAUAAUUCUGGGGGUGGACUGGAUGUGCCAGUAUAGUCCCAUUACAUUUGAUUUCCACUCUCUUAGCAUUGCCCUUAGUGAUAGGGGUUCUUUACUACACCUCCAAGGACUUGUGAAGCAACCUACUAUGGAACUGGUGAGGGGCAGGGAUCUCAGCUCGUUUAUACAGGAGAAGCAAAGAAACUGUGCAGCCAUGCAUGCUGAUAGGGCCAGGGAAACAGGAGAGCAGCUUCCAAAAGCUAUAGAAAGGAUCCUGGAACAGCACUCUCAGGUUUUCUCCACCCCAACAGGAUUACCCCCAGAGAGGGAAUUGGACCAUCAGAUCAACCUCAAACCAGGAGCUGAACCCUUCAAGCUCAAACCUUACAGGUACCCCCACUCACAUAAAGCAGAAAUUGAAAAAAAAGUUGCUGAGAUGCUCACUAAUGGAAUUGUUAUACAUAGCACAAGCCCCUAUGCCUCCCCUGUAUUGUUAGUAAAGAAAAAGGAUAACUCCUGGAGAUUAUGCAUAGAUUACAGGAAGCUGAACGAGCUGACUAUAAAGGAUAAGUUCCCUAUUCCCAACAUAGAUGAACUAUUGGAUGAAUUACAUGGAACCAGAUACAUGUCCAAACUGGAUCUCAGAGCUGGUUACCAUCAGUUGAGGGUGAAAGCUGUUGAUACCCCUAAGACUGCCUUCCAGACACACCAUGGCCACUUUGAAUUCUUAGUGAUGCCUUUUGGACUCACAAACGCGCCAGCUACAUUUCAGUCCUUGAUGAACAGAAUAUUUCAGCCAUAUCUCAGAAAGUUUGUCCUAGUCUUCUUUGACUACAUAUUAGUGUACAGCCCCACACUAGAGAUGCAUGCACAGCAUCUACAGAUUGUGCUCAAUAUUUUAGAAGAAAAUCAGCUGUAUUACAAGAGGUCAAAGUGCUCUUUUGCCCAGUCCUCAAUUGAAUACUUGGGGCACGUGAUCUCAGAGGCAGGAGUGAGUAUGGAUGUGGCUAAGGUGGAGUGUAUCAAGUCCUGGUCUGUUCCUAGUACAGUCAAGGAGCUGAGAGGGUUUUUGGGAUUAAUUGGUUACUACAGGAGAUUCAUUAAAGGCUAUGGAGUGAUUAGCAAACCCUUGACUGUAUUGUUGAAAAAGGAAGGUUUUGCAUGGAACCAUGAAGCUCAAAUGGCCUUUGAAGAUUUGAAAAAGGUUAUGACCACAGCCCCAGUGCUGAGCAUGCCUAAUUUCGAACUUCCUUUUGUCAUAGAGACUGAUGCCUGUGGAAUAGGUAUUGGAGCAGUGUUGAUGCAGCAAGGACAUCCUAUUGCUUUCCUUAGCAAGGCAUUAUCAGUUCAGAAUUUGGGGUUAUCAGUCUAUGAAAAAGAGCUUUUUGCCUUAGUGCUAGCUGUAACUAAGUGGAGGCAUUACCUGGUGGGUCAUCACUUCAUUAUCAGGACAGAUCACCAAGCUCUCAAACAUUUGAUAGAGCAAAGGCUUACUCAUCCACUCCAGCACAAGUGGCUAACUAAGCUACUUGGUUUGGACUAUGAAAUACAGUAUAAAAAGGGUGCAGACAAUGGGGUGGCAGACGCCCUCUCCAGGAGAAGGAUUGAGGGAAACACUGUUGACUGUGGAGAGACUGGGCAUCAGACCUGCGCCAUAACCUCAGCUCAGCCUAGUUGGAUGCAGGAAAUGCUAGAAAGCUACAUUGGAGAUGCAGAGGCUCAACAGAAGUUAUCUGAGCUAUUGCUGGAUCCCAAUGCAGAUCCAGAUUAUCAGUUAAAGAAUGGGAUGCUCAAGUUUAAAGGGCGGCUGUACAUAGGAUCUGCUAACAACAUUAGGACCAAGGUGGUCAGAGCAUUGCAUGACUCAGCCCUUGGGGGGCACUCAGGUCCUGGAAUCCGUAAGGAUGUCCUUCAAUAUGUGAGAUCUUGUGAUGUGUGUCAAAGGAACAAACAUGAAAAUGUUCCUUAUCCUGGGUUGCUGCAACCAAUUCCUGUACCUCAGCAGGCUUGGUCACACCUCACCAUGGAUUUUAUUGAGCAACUACCCCCAUCCCAUGGAUUUGAUACCAUUUUGGUGGUGGUGGAUAGGUUAACCAAGUUCAGCCACUUCAUUCGACUCACUCACCCUUUUUCUGCACAGCAGGUAGCACAGCUUUUCCUUGACAACAUAUACAAGCUGCAUGGACUUCCUGAGACCAUUAUAACUGACAGGGACAUAAUCUUUCUUAGUAAGUUUUGGCAAGAGUUAUUUGGUAUGGUAGGGGUAAAGCUGCACUACAGUUCAUCGUAUCACCCUCAAUCAGAUGGUCAAAGUGAAAGGGUCAAUCAGUGUUUGGAAAACUAUCUCAGGUGUAUGUGCAGUGAGCAUCCUUCUCACUGGAGCAGUUGGCUUCCUACAGCUGAGUUAUGGUACAACACUAACUUCCAUACUAGCUUGCAGGUGACACCAUUCGAAGCACUAUACGGGUAUAAACCAAAUCACCUUCCCUUAGGACCUUUUCAUGAUAGCCUGGUACCUGCUGCUGGUAACAUGGUGCAGACUAGGCUCCAAAUUCUAUCCCUCAUCAAAGAGAAUCUAGCCACCGCCCAGAAUCGAAUGAAAAUGUUUACUGAUAAGCACAGGACUGAACGUGUCUUCCAAGUGGGGGAUUGGGUAUUUCUCAAGCUGCAACCUUACAGGCAACAAUCAGUGGCCUUACGGAAGAAUUUGAAGUUGGCUGCCAAAUACUUUGGACCUUUCCAGAUCCUUGCGAGAGUAGGGGAAGUCGCCUACAGACUUAAGUUGCCAGAGGGAGCUCGAGUUCAUUCCGUGUUCCAUGUGUCCUUACUUAAAAGGAAAGUGGGAGUUACACAGCAGGUAAAGCCCAGCUUGCCAGAAGUAGACGCAUCAGACCAAUGUUUGCUGAAGCCAGAGAAGAUUCUCCAGAGGCGUGUUAUCAUACGAGCUGCCAAACCAAUCAUCCAGUACCUGGUGAAGUGGAACAACUUACCAGAAUCCGAAGCAUCAUGGGAGGAUAAAAGCUUCAUUGACAGACAAUUUCCGGAAUUUCAAGCUUGAGGACAAGCUUUGCUUAAGGGGAAGAGAUUGUCAGGAACAAGGAAAUAGAAUGGGACGUCGUUUAAUGCAAAGGGUUGUGCGUUUAAGGCCUUAGAAGCAAUACUACGUCAUUCUAAUAACAUAGGCGGUGCUGGUGUGAUAGGCCAAGUUAGUUGAGGGUCAAUUACAUAAAUAGCCUUCUGUAACAGAUUUUUGGUUAUGUUUUUGAAUGAAAAGUAUCUCGCUGCUUUCUCUCUCUUGUCUGUUAUUUCCCUCCCUUUUCUUCUUUCUCUCUUCCCUCUUCUUAAUCUUGUUUCUUUCUUCUGAUUCUUCCCCCAAAUUCAAUACAAUUCCAGAAAUUAACCUGCAGAUCUGACAAGGAGCCCUAUUCUAACCAAAUAACACACUACCAGGGUUAUUUUAGGUUAGCCCGCGUAUUCCCCUGACAUGAAUCCAAUCAUGCCAGUUAUCACUAUUUUGAAACAAUUAAACAAUUACGGAUUUAACGUCCCAAUUGACAAUAGAUUAUCAAAUUAACUAAUUAUCCGGAUCCAAAACAAUCAAUUAAUUAAAUAAUCAUAAGCACUGUAAUCAGGGAAUAUUUGAAUACCAAUAAAUAAAAAGAAAGGACAAAAUUAAAUCGAUUUCACAAUUUUUAAACGAACCACAACCUCAGUUGUUCCUCGGCUAGAUUGAGAAAAUUAGCUCAUGUUCGAUGCGAAAAAUCCACAAGAAAUUGUUAAGAGAGCCGCGGCCAUUGUCCCUUGAAAUUGGGGAAAUUCAAUUCGGUUGAACUACGAAAGAAAAGUAAGCUACAGAGAGUUGCCGAUUGGGUUUUGCUUGUCCCUAACAUGCGAGGGAGCAAAGCCACGAAAGGACGACAAAGGUCAAAAAGAAAGGCUACAGAGCAUGUUCCAGGUCUUUUUGUGCUCUCCACAUCCGAGCCAACGAAAAGAAAUAAAAAACUACCAGGAGCUAAAGGAAAACCGCAAGAAAAGUCAAAGGCUAAAAAAACUUCCUAGUGCUUGUUCUCUGCUUAUCUCUUUAUCUAAUUCUAAGUCCCCGAUUUUUUGCUCCGUGCGGCGGCUCCCCCGGAGAGAAAGGAUUGCAUCCGCUGCCCUCUUCCACCAAUUACCAAAAUGGGCACACCGCUUCUUUUUCAAAAAUGCUCCUGGAUAAACUCUAUCAUCUGGACUUUUUUUCUGUCAAAUUGACAUUUAUUAUUAUAUUUUCGUUCUACUCCCUGAAAUAAAUGUAAAAUAUUAAAAAUGAGUAGAAUCCGACAAUUAAUUCACAUCAGGUCAGAUAAUAAAGAAAAUUAAUAAUAAAAUAAAUAAAUAAAUUGCAACCUAUCAACCAAAUACAACAAUUUCAUGGAGUUUGAUACACAAGCCCAAAUACACGAGAGUGUGUAACCUGAAUUGUUACUUAUACAUUAGUGUGUAAUAGAACGGCAAGCAUUAUGGUGGUCAUUGAGCAACUUGUAGGAGAAAUAGUCCUAUAAGCUGUUCAAUGACCAAUCACAACUUGCUAAUUGGAUGACUAAUAUAGCUCUAGCUGUAAUGUUUUAAUUAAAUUCCAUCACUAACGUUGGGAUGACUUUUUAAUCAAAAAAAAAAAAGCCUUAGUUCAAGCUUUUCCCCUUAUUGUGCAUUUUUUAAAACAUUUGAUAGGCACUGCAAAUCUGUCAUUUUGGACAUUUUAUUAUUAACUAACAAUGAAAGCCGUGGACAUCAACCCAUAUCCAACAAAAUAUUAAAUUAAUAUUAGAAAAAAUUAUUAAGUAAUUGGAAAAAAAAAGAAGAGGCUAAUUUUCAUUGAAACCCACCGACAAACUAUACGCUGCUUUCAAUCAGUUUUAACACGGGAAAAAGAAAAGGCAUGAAAAGCAAAAUUUGUGGGGAUAAUUUCGGAAACCUCCCAUGAAGUUUUUGACUAUUUUACUGGCCUCCCUUCAGAUUUUAAAAAUUGGACUAAUCUUCCUUAAAGUUAAUUAUCUUGUAACAUUUAGAUCCGAUCAAUAAUUUAAAAAAUAAUAUUAUGAGAGAGAAAAUAAUAUGAUUUUAUUAUUGCCCCCAUCUCACCACAUUAUUUAAUUAAUUUAAUAGCAACCCACACAUUAAAGAAAAUGACAGGUCGUCAACCUGUGCAAUAAUAAAAUUAAACCUAAUUGCCAGUUAAAAUGACCAAAACCCAAUUCCAAGUACUGGAGCAGGGACUCUAGGUGUGCAAUGGGUUACUUGAUUCACCCUGUUCCCGAAGAGUUUGCUUGAUCCGAUAUACCCGAAUGGAAUGGUUAUUCCUUUUCACAAAUGAUUAGGAAUUUGUAGACAGGGCAAGUAGGGUCGUAUCCACAGAGACUGGGUAUAUUUGUUUCUUAAGAAAUCCAAAGUAACACAGGGGGUGAUUUUGUAGGAACGACGAUAAUUAAAUAAAUUCAAAUGAGAAAGUAAAAAUAAAUAAUUAACUAGAAAUUAAACCACAAUUUACUGAACUCAGGAUAACAAUAGUUAAAGGCCUCAAUUAAUUAAAAUAAGGAAACAAUCAAAAAUAAAAUAAAGUAGGUAAUUAAAAGUCAAAUGGCAAUCCACUACAAUCAAGGAAAUAUUAACUAAAGAUCUAGCCAAGAAAUAACUUCAGCAAUGGUUCACCUAAUCGAUCAUUGAUGCAAAGCAAUCCCAAUUAUUUACUAAUAAAUAGGUUAUAACUACCAAACAAGCGAUGGCAGUCAACCCCUCCUUACUGUGUCGGUGAUCAAGGUACGCCCGUUAAUCACUGCUCUAAUUGAGAAAUAAUCCUAGGUACGCCCGUAGAAUUUAAUUCCCCAACUGCCUUACGUAUUAGAGGAGCCCUAUUCUACCCAAAUAACACACUACCAGGGUUAUUUUAGAUUAGCCCGCGUAUCCCCCUGACACGAAUCUAAUCGUGCCAGUUGUCACUAAUUUGAGGUAAUUAAACAAUUACGGAUUCAAUACCCCAAUUGACAAUAGAUUAUCAAACCAAUGAAUUAUCCGGAUCCAAGACAAUCAACUAAUUAAAUAAUCAUAAGCACUGCAACCAAGGAAUAUGCGAAUACCAAUAAAUAAAGGAAAAGAUAAAAUUAAAUCGAUCUCACAAUUUACAGGUGACCCAAAGCAUCAGUCGUUUCUUGACUAGAACGAGGGGGUUAGCUCAUAUUGGAUGAACUAAGCCCGCGGGAAAUUCCAGCAAAAGUCACGGCCGUUGUAUGCAUUUCAAGAGCCGCAAUUCGUCAAACACUUGGAAAGCGAAUGUAAGGCACGGGUAACAAUUGAAACUUUCUAAUUGUUCCUAGCAUUCGUAAAGCAAAUUCACUCCAGAAGUACAGUGAGGAAAAGUCAAAGAAAGUGGGCUUCAAUUCCUUGCUCCUGACAUGCGUGGAGACAAGCCAAUGCAAGACUACAAUAAACUAACAAGGAAAAGUCAAGAAUUGGAGCUAAGCUCCCCUGCCAUGCGCAGGAAUCCCAAAAGUAAAAAGUAAAGCUUCAAAGAAAAGUCAACAAUUCUUCCUAAGCUACAGACGGAAGAUCCAGCACAAAAGCCAGCUCCCUUUUUGAUCCCUUUUUCCCCCUUCUUAUUGCGGCGGCUCACCAGGAGAGGAGAGCCCUCCGUCCGUCCUUUCUUCCGGAAAUUACCAAAAUGGGCAUGACAUCUUCUCUUCCAAAAGUGCCCCUGGGACAAGCUUUCUCAUCUGAAUUCUUUUUUUUUCCAAUUUGGCACCUGUUAUCAUAUUUAUAUUCUACUCCCUGAAAUAAACGUCAAAUACUAAAAGUGAGUAGAAUCCAGCAAAUAAAUCCACAUCAAGUCAGGUAAUAGGAGGAAUUAAUAAUAAAAUAAAUGAAUAAAUUGCACCCUAUCAAUUCCCUCCACACCUAAACCAUGCUUGUCCUCAAGCAUAAGAAAAGUAAACGAACACCAAAAUUCGACGAUAGCCAUUGCCCAAUCUCCUAUAUUGCCAAGACAUUCAAGAGAAAAACACAUAUCGAGCAUUGGUGAUUAGAAUCCCAGAAGCAUCCCCCCGGUUAGCCUCUAACCCCCAGAUUCCUUCAAUUUCCAACUUAACUACUCUAAGAAAGAGGAAUGGCACACAACAUUUAUCAGCUAGUGGUCCGAAUAUUCACACAAGUCUUCAUAUCCAAUCCAUAAACCGGCAAGCUUCCCUAUUAUUUAGUCUCUCUUUUUUUCCGUUUUUUUUCAUUUUCAUUCUUCCCCUCUUUUUUUUUUUUUUUUAAAGCAGUAGCAAUCAACACAAAAGACUUAGUCGUUAGCCGUCAGGGCCUUUUGAUGCGAACUCCAACAUUUUUAGAAGGAGGAGCCCGGUUACUCAGCUCCUACCGCUAUACGACCACGCACUCAUAUAAAAUACCACCUUUUGACGCGAGAAUCGACACUUUUAGGUGCCGAUCCCCGGUUACUCAGUAGUAACUUAAUAGCGGAGCACAGUCAAGCUUAUUCUCAGCCAAACAAUGCACAAACGCAAAAUAACAGCACUAACAAUCAAACAUAGGAGCAGCUCGCCUCAUUAUUGUCAAACAUGGAGAACUGGAGUCAAUAUUGGACCAGUUCACAUUAAAAGGCCAUAUUCAUUCCCUACGCCUAGAAAAGUUAACAAAGAAAUCGAAAGAGUCAAACAGUUAAAUAUUCACCAAGGGGAUAUUCAGGACCCAACCACACUAACCCGAUACAUUUUGUAUUUUAAAAACUUGGCAAAAGUAGAUUUGGAGUCAAUGAGUCCACAUCUCAAUUUUAGCCUUCACAUGAAAGGCAAUCACCAAGAAGAAAGAACGGAAAAAUAAGCAACUAGAAAUGAGACUACGAAAAACUACUAAAACUAAAAACUCACUUUUUUUCUUUUUCUCUUUUUUUUUCUUUUUGAAUUUUUUUUUCAUUUUUAUUUUUUUUUAUUUUUUUUAUUUUUUAAACAUUAACUAUAAACAUUAACUACUAAAAACUAAAAACUAAAACUACUAAAAACUAAAAACACUAAAAACUGCUAAAAUGAAAAGCUGAAAACUGAAAACUACUAAAAACGGAGCACACUAGCAUAACUUUAGAUCCCCCCCACACCUAUAGGACACAUUGUCCUCAAUGUGACAAAUAAGAACCAAAAGUGAAGCACAAGUGAGAGGGGAAUCAGCCAAACUUCCCUGAAAUCGGGUCACAGCGGAGGGCGAGGUGGAAAUGGAGGUGCAAAGCCUGUAUGCAUCAGGAACUGUGCCAAAUUCUGUGCUAUGCCGGCGACAUUGGCGUCGACGUUGGUCAUCCGGGCCUGCAAAUCCUGAACCAGCUCCCUGAGAUGCUGCCAAUCAUCGGUCCCAGGUGGUGGAGGUGGCGCAGAAGUAGAGGUAGACGGCCCAGCAGUGUCCGCGGCCGACCCAGGGAAUGAAGAUGGCCCUGCCCGGGCCGAAUGGUGUGCACCCGGGGCUCGAGGUGGUCCCGGACGGGUAAACUGGUGAAAACCAUCUGGCAGACGCUCGACGACCCCCAUUUUCUCUAAGCAAACUACGUCCAAGUGCUCCAUCUCAAAUGCCAAAUGGAGGUCGUGGUCAUCCAGGUUAAGAACUCCCAACUGGGUCGCCAAGUGAGUGAUGUAGGACCCAAGGAUCAGUGGUUUGUUCUUCUUGGUCAAGACCGUCUUGAACUGUGCGGCCAACCAACAUCCCAAGUUCACCUUGAUAUUGUUCUUCAUACUCCAGAGAAAGAAGAAUUCGGGCCGAGAGAGUAUACCGGAGCUGUCCUUGCGCCCCGAGUAGCUAUAAGCUAAGAAUCGCUGAACAUAGCGGGCGCUAGGGUCCUUAAGAAAGGAGCUCCUGGACCGGGAAGGAUCGUAGCGUUGCCUAUCGACGGACAUGUCCUCCCAUACAUCAUGGUAGUGGGAGAGGAAAGGCUCUACGUAGUCACAGGCACUCUCCGCAUACUCCCUAGUCUCAGCAUACUCUCUAGUGAUAAACCCAAAUGCCAGAUUGAAUUGAGUAAUGGAGAAAUUGAAUUCUCGACCCAUGAGCCGGAAAUGAAUGACAUUCGGUGUUUCACCCGUGUAUCUCGUAGGUAAUUCGAACUCAAAGGUGGAGUAAAACUCCCGGAUCAGCUCAACAAAAGCGGGACAAGAAAUAUGGAAAUAUGGGCGCCACCCAAUGGCUGUGAACAUUUGCUCAACCUCCUCCCGUAUACCCAGGGCAGUUAGAGAGAGUCUAUGACAAGACUUACAGGAUAUUAUACGCCUCUCGCAGACCUUAGCGUACCUCUGCCGAUCGGCGGGUCUGGUAAAUGUUAAGUGCCCCCCAAAAUGAACAGGUGCAUCUACCUGAGCACCCCUAUCCCUACCCAAACGGGUUCGAACACUAGAAGAGGAGGGUAGGUUGGUAGGUGAGUUGACAGGAAUAGAGGCUUGUGGAGGGGGUUGAGACUGAGAGGUCCUAGACCUAGAGGAGGAUUUCGGUCUCACCAUUCCCCCCAAAGUAAGUUCAAGGCAACAGAAAAUCCGACAAGUAUAGAAACCAGCAAUUGACAAAGCAAAAAUCUCCCAGUAGUAACCCAGCCAAUAGCAAACAAAAGAGUUCCAGCAAGUAAUCAACAAGCAAUUCAGAAAUAUCUCAACUAAAAUCUCAAGAGAAACCCCAGCGAGUUAUCCAGCAAUUCAAGCAAUAUCCCCAAGCAAUGUGGUGGUCAAAAUGUCAUCUCCAAAUUGAACAAAUAAUCAGAGCAUUGCAACACAUUGAAAAUCUCAAUAAACGGCUCCAGUUGGCCAAGAAAAAUUGCUAACUCAUACUCAGCAAUAGUAGUGCAGCAAAGGGACAGUAACCACGCAAUAAAAACACUUAGCUUGCACUCAAAUGGUCACCCCAAAUAACAACCCAGUAUGAAACCCGCAGGCAGAGUAUUCCUCAAACCGUUAGCCUAAACCCAGUCAACAACCACGGCCAGAAAUAACCCCAUAAAUAGUGCAAUGAGUAAUCCCCAGCAACAUAAUCAGGUGUAAUCAACUGGAGCAAGCAAUUUACAUGGCAUAGAAACCUCCCAAUCAAACAAGUGCAUUAUUCUAGCGCACCCCAAAAUUCCAAGAAAUGGCUCCAGUUGGCCAAUUAAUUUCACAAUGUCACCCAACUCAGGAGAAAUAGCAAUUCCACACAAAAAUAGUCAAACCAGUACCACUGGCGAAAAAUCUUUCAAAUAUGCACAAUUUGCUACCAAAUAUCACCGGCUAACACUGAAAAAUUGAGGGCAAGUGUCAAAUACCUCCACAGGGACUACCCCAGGCGGCAGACAGAGAAGCGGCGUUGAAGCUGGUGGUCGAGCGGGGCGGCGCUCGCGUCGGCGUGCGCAGCGGCGACGGCGCGCGAGGAUGGAGUUUCGGGAGGUUGCGUGCGGGCUUGGCUGAAGACGCGGCGCGCGCUAGGGCUUCGCUGCGGCAGGCGUGCAGCAGGGGAGAAGAAAGAAAAGAGAAAGAAAGAAAGAAAAAGAAAGGAAAGAAAGAACAGAAAAGAAGGAAAAGAAAAAGGAAUUUUUCUUUUUUUUCUUUUUCUUUAGGCUACGGUUUAGAGGACAAAUUUUUCUUCUUCUUGUUUUCUACUUUUUUAUUUUUUUAUUUUUUAGUUUUUAAUUUAUUACUAUUAUUAUCAUAUUUAAUUGAGGAAAAAAAAUGUUUUUUUUUAAAUCCCUACCUUUCCCACGAACGUGACGCGGGCACGUCAAGAGGGCAAGAGAGCUCCCAGAAGUUUCAGAAUUUUCUGAUCGUAAGCGUCCUGCACAUCACCACGCGGGCACGUCAUGAGGACAGGAGAGCUCCCAGAAGUUCAGAAUUUUCUGAUCGUGAGCGCCCUGCACGUCACCACGCGGGCACGUCAUGAGGCCAGGAGAGCUCCCAGAAGUUUGAAGUUUCUGAUUCCUGCCCGUCAUCACGCGGGCGCGUCAUGACUGAAGGUCACCUACAAAUCAGCAAAAACGAAAACUAACACCCAAAAUCAGUCAAAUUCAGGGAAAGCAGAUUUAAACUAUGCUACAAAACCAACAAACAAUUAAAAGAAAUAAUUAGGUUGCCUCCCAAUGAGCGCCUUUCUUUAAUGUCUUUGGCUAGACAUGGUAAAGUGUCACUGAUUAGGACACGGUGGUGCGUCAAGCCUUAUUGUCUCCACCUCUCUACCUGAAAAUCCUUCGUAAUAAUAUUUGAGACGGUGUCCAUUCACCACAAAUUUGUUGUCUGUCUUAGCACUCUGGAUCUCAACUGCACCAUAGGGAAAAACAUGAGUAACAAUGAAAGGUCCAAUCCAACGGGAACGUAGCUUACCUGGGAAUAGCUUGAGCCUGGAUUGGUACAGGAGGACCUUCUGACCAACUUCAAAUGUUUUUCUUGAAAUUUGUUGGUCAUGAAAUGCCCGGCUUUUCUCCUUAUAUAUCAAGGCGUUUUCGUAUGCUUCGUUCCGGAUCUCCUCCAAUUCUUGCAAAUCCAACUUCCGUUGAGCACCGGCCUCCUCUAAAUUCAUAUUGCAGUGCUUUAUCGCCCAAAAAGCCUUGUGCUCGAACUCCACUGGAAGGUGACACGGCUUCCCAAAUACCAACCUGUACGGUGACAUCCCAAUAGGAGUCUUGUACGCCGUCCGAUAGGCCCAGAGUGCGUCUUCCAACCUUUGGCUCCAGUCUUUUCUAUCAGGGCGCACCAUUUUCUCUAAAAUGGACUUAAUCUCCCGAUUCGACACCUCCGCUUGACCAUUGGUCUGAGGGUGGUAUGACGUUGAGACCCUGUGGAGUACACCAUACUUGCGAAACAACGCAGCUAUGGUUUUGUUGCAAAAGUACGUUCCCCUAUCACUGACAAUAGCUCUAGGCAUUCCAAACCGCACAAAGAUAUUAGACCUGAUAAAAUCUGCAACUACUCUCGAAUCAUUAGUUCGAGUGGCCUUAGCCUCCACCCAUUUAGACACAUAAUCAACUGCCAGCAAAAUAUAUAAAAAACCAAAUGAAGUAGGAAAAGGCCCCAUGAAAUCUAUACCCCAGACAUCAAAAAUUUCAACAAAAAUCAACGGGACCUGGGGCAUUUGAUCUCUACGGGCUAUAUUACCUACCAUUUGACAGCGAUCACAUGACUUACAAAACACAUAGGCAUCUCUAAACAAUGAAGGCCAAUAAAAUCCACUUUCUAAAACCUUAUGAGCAGUUCUCUUAGGUCCAAAAUGACCUCCACAGGCAAAAGUAUGACAAAAAGCUAAAAUUGAUUGAAAUUCCAUUUCACUUACACAUCUCCUCAUCACUUGAUCGGCACACCUCUUCCAUAGGUACGGGUCAUCCCAGAUAAAAUACUUGGCAUCGCUCUUCAAUUUAUCCCUCUUCGAUUUCGGCCAACCUGCAGGAAAAUUACCAGUUACCAAAUAAUUGACCAAAUCAGCAUACCAAGGCAACUGAGAAUUUAAGAAAAAUAGGUAUUCUUCGGGGAAUGCAUCCUUCAAUGGCUCGCUAUCCUCUUCAACUAGUAUGCGACUCAAAUGGUCCGCUACUAGAUUUUCUGAGCCUUUUUUGUCCCUUAUCUCCAAGUCAAAUUCCUGUAGGAGCAGUAUCCACCGUAUGAGCCUCGGUUUUGCAUCUUUCUUGGUCAUCAGGUACCUCAAUGCUGCAUGAUCAGAAAAUACAAUCACUUUAGCACCUAACAAGUAUGACCUAAAUUUUUCCAAAGCAAAAAUAACUGCCAGAAGCUCCUUCUCAGUGGUGGAAUAAUUCAACUGGGCUCCAUUCAAGGCCCGGGAUGCGUAAUAGAUGACAUGAGCCGCCUUGCCUAUUCUUUGCCCCAGUACAGCCCCAACAGCGUGAUCACUGGCAUCGCACAUGAUCUCAAAUGGCAAAUUCCAAUCGGGGGGUUGGAUGAUUGGGGGUGAAGUCAGCAAUUCCUUCAGCUUGUUAAAGGCUCUCUCACACUUAUCAUCAAAUUCGAAGGCUACAUCUUUUUGUAGGAGUUGGAACAACGGGGCUCCAAUCUUUGAAAAAUCCUUGAUGAACCUUCGAUAAAAACCUGCAUGUCCAAGAAAAGAGCGCACCUCCCGCACACUCGCGGGGUAAGGUAAUGCAGAAAUAAUGUCUAUUUUAGCCUUGUCAACUUCUAUGCCCUUAGACGAUACAAUAUGACCCAGGACUAUUCCGUGCUCAACCAUAAAAUGACAUUUUUCCCAAUUAAGCACAAGAUUAGUCUCUAUACACCUGAUCAGGAUUAAUUUCAGGUUAUCUAGACAAGUAUCAAAACUAUCACCAUACACACUGAAAUCAUCCAUGAAAACUUCUAUUAUUUUCUCAACAUACUCGGAAAAGAUGCUUACCAUACAUCUUUGGAAAGUCGCAGGUGCAUUGCACAACCCAAAUGGCAUUCGUCUGUAGGCAAAGGUCCCGAACGGGCACGUGAAGGUUGUCUUCUCUUGAUCCUCCGGGGCAAUUGCUAUCUGAAAGUAUCCUGAAAAUCCAUCCAAAAAGCAAUAAUAAGCCCUACCAGCUAAACGUUCAACCAUUUGGUCAAUGAAAGGGAGAGGGAAAUGGUCCUUUUUGGUGACGGCGUUUAGCCUACGGUAAUCUAUACAUUGCCUCCAUCCAGUGGGUUUGCGCACUGGCACGAGCUCACCAGUUUGGUUGGCCUCUACCGUCACUCCUGCAUUCUUUGGGACUACCUGGACCGGACUCACCCAAGGGCUAUCAGAUAUUGCAAAAAUGAUGCCCACAUCUAGCAAUUUUAGAAUCUCUUUCUUUACGACUUCCAUCAUGAGGGGAUUGAGCCUUCUUUGAGCCUGCCUAACAGGUUUGGCAUCGUCUUCCAGCCUAAUCCGGUGCAUACAAAUGGCCGGGCUGAUCCCCUUAAUGUCUGCGAUUGUCCAGCCUAUUGCCUCUUUAUGCUCCCGAAGGACCCGGAUCAAUUUCUCUUCCUGGGUCUUUGACAGUGCCGAUGAGAUAAUCACUGGGAGUGUCUCAUUAUCACCUAGGUAUGCGUAUUUCAGGUGCUCUGGUAGAGGUUUCAACUCCAGUACAGGUGCCUGCACCACAGAUGGCAAUACCCUCUGGUGAGCCUUGGGAGUAAAAAUAGGUAAGACUUCAUACCUUUUCGUGGUGGUCUGCAACGAGUGUAAUGCACCUAUUGUGCAUUUUAAAUCCUCGCUCCACUCCACCUCAGGAGUUGUCUCCAACUCGAGGUGCUUGGUUAAAGCCACCUCCAGCUCAUCCCUGCCAUCAGUUUCAAACACUUCCUGCACUACAGGGUCAAUAGCACUCACAGAAAAAACUGAGCUAAAGUUGGAGUUAGAGGGGUACUUCAUAGUAUCAAAAAUAUUAAAAUGCACAAUUUACCCAUCAAACUCCAUGGACAAGGUACCCUUAUUAACAUCAAUUUUCGUCUGCGCAGUGCUCAUAAAAGGUCUACCCAAUAACAAAGGUGAGGGAUCAGGGGAGUGAUCAUCAUCCAUAUCUAGUACAUAAAAAUCAGCUGGAAACACCAAAUCAUUAACCUUUACCAACACAUCUUCAAUCAACCCAUCAGGAUAUGCAUUAGUUCGGUCAGCUAAUUGAAUAAUUAUUCCAGUUUCUUUUAAUGGACCUAGUUUCAAAGAAGCAUAGAUAGAUUUAGGCAUGACAUUAAUUGAUGCUCCCAGAUCCAGCAUGGCCCUUCUGAUCACAGUAUUACCUAUCUUACAGGGAAUAGUAAACAUACCUGGGUCCCCGCACUUUGGUGGGAGCUUUCUCUGCAGGACCGCAGACACAUUUUCUCCAACUAUGACCCGUUCAUCUCCCCUCAACCGCCUUCGGUUGACACACAAGUCCCUUAGGAACUUGGCAUAUUUUGGUACUUGUUUGAUGGCGUCUAAGAGGGGGAUAUUUAUCUCAACCUUGCGAAAAACCUCCAAGAUCUCCUUCUCCUUAUCCUGCUUCUUCGAUUUUUCCAACCUGCUAGGAAAAGGAGGCGGGUUAGUUUUAACUGUAAUUAUUGGGUCAGGAAGUACCUCUGGAUCUGCACCAUUGCUGUCCUCCCUUUCGAGCUCAUUUUCGAUCUUCUCUUCAUCCUUGUCCUUGGGAAUCACAGGUUCAGGCCCCUGAAUUUCUUUCCCACUCCUUAGGAUCAUUGCGCUCACGUUCUUCGGAUUCAACUCCGGUUGAGAUGGCAGCUUCCCUUGGUUCUGGGACUCCCAACGGUUCAUUCUGGUGGCCAAUUGACCUAUCUGAUUCCUUAUGUCCUGCAUUUCGGAGUCCGUCUUUUGCUGAUUUUGCAUAAUAGCUGCCUCCGUCCUUUGCUGAUUCUGCGCCAUGGUUGUCAUCAUUUGUUUCAGCAUCUCAUCCGUAGAUGAACCAGAUUGAGGGAGCGGAGGUGGUCGGGGUUGGUAUUGCUGCUGGUACCCUGGUGGCUUAUUUGGCACAAAGUUAGACUGCCUGUUUGGCGUGAAGUUGGAUUGCCUAUUUCCACCAUAACUGAGGUUGGGAUGAUCUCUCCACCCGGGGUUGUAGGUGCUUGAGUAAGGGUCGUACUGCUUCCUUGGCGCGGGCGCGUGGUCAGCCAUGUUCACCUGUUCCGCAGUUUCUUCCUGAAUCAUUGGGCACAUGUCUGCAGAGUGACCUAUACCAGUGCAAAUCCCGCAUACCCUGGCUUGUGAUGCAUUUCUCACAGCCUAUUGCCUAACGAACGCAGUCAACUCAUUUAGCUGCUGCUGCACAGAGGGUGUCUCUAUCUCAUUCACCCUACGUAUUGGGACAUCCUAUCUUGUACUGAAUUGCUGUGAAUUCUCUGCCAUCCCCUCUAUUAACUCCCGUGCUUCCUGAGGGGUUUUGUUCACCAGUGCCCCUCCACUUGCAGCAUCAAUGAUGCUCCUGUCUCUAAAAAUGAGCCCCUCAUAGAAAUAUUGUAUGAUCAACUGCUCACUUAUUUGGUGAUGGGGGCACCUGCGCAACAAGCUCUUAUACCGUUCCCAAUACUCGUAAAGUGACUCCUCGGGAUGCUGCUUGAUCCCACAAAUUUCUUUCCUUAGACUCGCAGCCCUGGACGCAGGAAAAUAUUUAUCCAGAAAUUUUUUCUUCAAUUGGUCCCACGUGGUGAUGCUACCUGGUGACAGGUAGUACAGCCAGUCCUUCGCAGAAUCUUUCAAGGAGAAGGGGAAUGCCCUCAUUUUUAUCUGCUCUUCUGUGAUUCCCGGGGGUUUCAUACUGUUGCAAACGACAUCAAACUCCUGCAGAUGCUUAUACGGCUCUUCACCUGGUAAACCAUGAAAAGAGAGUAAAAGCUGAAUCAGACCAGAUUUUAGUUCAAAUGGAAUGUUGUCAUUUAAAGCUGGGAAAGUAAUGCAUAACGGCUGCUGAGUUAAAUCAGGAGCAGCCAACUCCCUUAAUGUUUAUGCAUUAGCCAUGGUGCCUUCCUGCUGGUCAGAGUCACUCGAAGUGUUACCAAACGAAUCUGUUGGUUCAACUUCUGACUCGGGUCUUUGAGAUGUAGCACUAGAGUGCUCUUCUCUGAGCUGUCUGGUUUCCUUUCUCGUUCUACGCGCGGUCUUCUCUACCUCAGGAUCAAAAACCAAAUCACCUGUGCGACAAGAUCGAGGCAUACACUAGAAGAAAACCAGAAAAUUAGGACAAAAUUGAAUUUAAGAAGAAACAAAUAAUAACGCCAGUCCCCGGCAACGGCGCCAAAAAUUGACAGGUCGUCAACCUGUGCAAUAAUAAAAUUAAACCUAAUUGCCAGUUAAAAUGACCAAAACCCAAUUCCAAGUACUGGAGCAGGGACUCUAGGUGUGCAAUGGGUUACUUGAUUCACCCUGUUCCCGAAGAGUUUGCUUGAUCCGAUAUACCCGAAUGGAAUGGUUAUUCCUUUUCACAAAUGAUUAGGAAUUUGUAGACAGGGCAAGUAGGGUCGUAUCCACAGAGACUGGGUAUAUUUGUUUCUUAAGAAAUCCAAAGUAACACAGGGGGUGAUUUUGUAGGAACGACGAUAAUUAAAUAAAUUCAAAUGAGAAAGUAAAAAUAAAUAAUUAACUAGAAAUUAAACCACAAUUUACUGAACUCAGGAUAACAAUAGUUAAAGGCCUCAAUUAAUUAAAAUAAGGAAACAAUCAAAAAUAAAAUAAAGUAGGUAAUUAAAAGUCAAAUGGCAAUCCACUACAAUCAAGGAAAUAUUAACUAAAGAUCUAGCCAAGAAAUAACUUCAGCAAUGGUUCACCUAAUCGAUCAUUGAUGCAAAGCAAUCCCAAUUAUUUACUAAUAAAUAGGUUAUAACUACCAAACAAGCGAUGGCAGUCAACCCCUCCUUACUGUGUCGGUGAUCAAGGUACGCCCGUUAAUCACUGCUCUAAUUGAGAAAUAAUCCUAGGUACGCCCGUAGAAUUUAAUUCCCCAACUGCCUUACGUAUUAGAGGAGCCCUAUUCUACCCAAAUAACACACUACCAGGGUUAUUUUAGAUUAGCCCGCGUAUCCCCCUGACACGAAUCUAAUCGUGCCAGUUGUCACUAAUUUGAGGUAAUUAAACAAUUACGGAUUCAAUACCCCAAUUGACAAUAGAUUAUCAAACCAAUGAAUUAUCCGGAUCCAAGACAAUCAACUAAUUAAAUAAUCAUAAGCACUGCAACCAAGGAAUAUGCGAAUACCAAUAAAUAAAGGAAAAGAUAAAAUUAAAUCGAUCUCACAAUUUACAGGUGAUCCAAAGCAUCAGUCGUUUCUUGACUAGAACGAGGGGGUUAGCUCAUAUUGGAUGAACUAAGCCCGCGGGAAAUUCCAGCAAAAGUCACGGCCGUUGUAUGCAUUUCAAGAGCCGCAAUUCGUCAAACACUUGGAAAGCGAAUGUAAGGCACGGGUAACAAUUGAAGCUUUCUAAUUGUUCCUAGCAUUCGUAAAGCAAAUUCACUCCAGAAGUACAGUGAGGAAAAGUCAAAGAAAGUGGGCUUCAAUUCCUUGCUCCUGACAUGCGUGGAGACAAGCCAAUGCAAGACUACAAUAAACUAACAAGGAAAAGUCAAGAAUUGGAGCUAAGCUCCCCUGCCAUGCGCAGGAAUCCGAAAAGUAAAAAGUAAAGCUUCAAAGAAAAGUCAACAAUUCUUCCUAAGCUACAGACGGAAGAUCCAGCACAAAAGCCAGCUCCCUUUUUUAUCCCUUUUUCCCCCUUCUUAUUGCGGCGGCUCACCAGGAGAGGAGAGCCCUCCGUCCGUCCUUUCUUCCGAAAAUUACCAAAAUGGGCAUGACAUCUUCUCUUCCAAAAGUGCCCCUGGGACAAGCUUUCUCAUCUGAAUUCUUUUUUUUUCCAAUUUGGCACCUGUUAUCAUAUUUAUAUUCUACUCCCUGAAAUAAACGUCAAAUACUAAAAGUGAGUAGAAUCCAGCAAAUAAAUCCACAUCAAGUCAGGUAAUAGGAGGAAUUAAUAAUAAAAUAAAUGAAUAAAUUGCACCCUAUCAGAAAAAUGCAAAAAUUUGUUAUUUAUCAUUAAGGAUCAUAUCGCAUAUAACAUCAAAAAAUAGUAUAUUAUUUAUAUCUUUCACUUAAUAUAAUAUCCAAAUUACUCUUUUCAGUUACAUACCCAUUGUUAGACAAAAUCAACAACAAAUAACCAAAAAAUUUGCAACCAAAAUAUUACCAAAAAAAUAAACUUUAACAUCAUAAAUAUUUUUAUCAACAUAUUAAAGUUAGUUAUUGAAAUUUUUAUGGUGUUAAACUUCACUCUUAGCAAUAUUUUGGUUACAGAUUUUUUUGAUUAUUUAUUGUUGAUCGUGUUUGACAAUGGAUUUGUAACUGAAAAGAAUAAUUUGAAUCUUACAUUAAGUGAAAUAUAUAAAAUAUUAUACUAUUUUUUAUGGCAUAUGUGAUUCUUUUUUUUUUUUUUAUCAGAACGGCAACAUUGUAUUAAUAGUAAACCAAUUACAGUAUAGGUGGGCAACCGCCCUCACAAUCUGCCUGGACUUGUUCCAGCAGCCAAACUGGGAAGUUUUCCUUCCAUUCAGUAUUUUGUUCCAAAGUAAUAGCUACUUUAGCUAGUUUAUGGCUAACAAAGUUGUUCACCCUAUUUGCAAAGGUAAAACAACAUUCAUCAAAUUUUAUUCAUGUACAAUUGUUGCUAUCACCACGUCCUCCUCCUCCUCCUCACUGCACACUACUUGACUACCACCCUUCGCCAACCUUGCUGUUGCAUGUGCAACUAUCAUGGCCUCUCUUAGCGCCUUUGCUUCUUCGACCUUUGGACUGGCACAGCUAAAAUUUGGAACAGCCCAGGCCCACCCGCAAUCUUCCCAACCAAUCCCUGGCCACCCUUUUCCCACCCAGCUUCUAUGGCAUGUGUGAUUCAAUCCUUCUUGAUAGGAUUGGUAAUAGAGGCAGAGGGGGGAGCCGGCUGCAUCCGGUCUACUUUUCAUAGAUAGUACAAUAUUGCGAAAUCGAUCGCAUUCACACAAGAAUAUUUCGAAGUCAUUGCAUCGCUAAGUUGCAAAAAAGUACAAACACUUGUUAUUAUAUAGCUUAAGAUUCAAAACUUUAGAGCACAACCCUCCACCUAACACAAUUGAAUAAUGAAUAUUCACGAUUGUCAAAUCUGUCAAAGCACAGUUUGAGGACAACCCAUUCCAACCUGCAAAAGAUUUUUGACUUUUUUAAAGUUGUUGAGAGCUGUAAAAAGACUUACCAUGCUUACAUCUUCCGAGCCUUGGGAGUUAAAAAUGAAGGCACUGAGUGCUAUAAAAAGGGGGCUAGAGGCUGCCUAGAAGCAUAUCAGCCUAAAACAAGAAUUUGUAGUUAUGAUGGGAAGCAAAGCAAAAGCAAUGGGGUCUGGGCUGACUCCUCUUCUUACCACUGUUUUAGUGGUAUUUGUUGCUCUUGGCUUGCCCUCAGAAACUGCAGCUGAUGAUCACUACAAGUAUUCAUCUCCUCCUCCUCCUUACCACUAUCCCUCACCACCACCUCCAGUGCAUUUACCUCCACCAGUGUACAAAUACAAGUCCCCACCACCACCUCAUCAUGUUUACAAGUACAAAUCUCCACCACCCCCACCACCACACCCAGUUUACAAGUAUAAGUCGCCACCACCACCUCCUCAUCCGGUAUACAAGUACAAGUCUCCUCCGCCACCUCCUCAUCCGGUACCACACCCAGUUUACAAGUAUAAGUCACCACCACCACCUCCUCAUCCGGUACCACACCCAGUUUACAAGUAUAAGUCUCCUCCGCCACCAGUUUACAAAUAUAAGUCUCCUCCACCACCACCUCCAGUGUACAAAUACAAGUCUCCACCACCACCAGUUUACCACUACAAGUCUCCACCACCUCCUCCCCCAGUUUACAAAUACAAGUCUCCACCACCACCACCACCAGUUUACCACUACAAGUCACCACCACCUCCUCCCCCAGUUUACAAAUACAAGUCUCCACCACCUCCUCACCACUACUAAGCAAUUGCUUCUGAGGUAAUAACACUUGUUCAAUAUACCCACUUCUGCAUGAUAAAGCAUAUCUCUAUCAACACAAACUGUCAUGUCUAUCAUGCUAAGUGCCUUCACUUCAUCCACCAAAAUGACUGCUAGAAAAUUUUUUUUAUGUUACCAAAGAAAGGCAUCAUUUUUUCCCUCUGUUAUCAAGAACUUGUACAGUAUAUAGAUUAAAGAGUAUUUUUUUAACUAGCUUAUCAACUGAGAAAUGCAUAUAGCUGAUAGCCAGCUGAAUAUUUGCAGGCAAAGGAGAAGGAAACCAGUGUUUGAGACCUUCUUGAAGAUGUAGAAGCAUAAGAAUUAAAGCCCAAUGUGAAGAUGAUGAUUUCAAGUUUUUCUACGUUACCAUUUCUUUAUCUAAAUUGGUUGUAGCGCCUUAGUUCCUUUGUUUAUGGGAUUUGUAUCGUUUUACGUACCAUGCAGUACAUGUCAUGUUUGUAAGGUUUUCUAUCCUGCCGGCAAACCGCAGGUUCCAUGUAAUAAAUCAAUACUAUUUAUAUUACGACACUUUUCUCUGUUUCUCUUAUAUUUUGUCGUCUUUAAUAUUCUUAAUCAUAUUUUUAACAAAAAUAUUCAAACACUUAGGCAAUCUGGUCUAAUGCUAAUUGUAUGUUUUACUUUUCUUUUUCACCUGCUCCCCUUUUCAACUCAAAAGGAUGCAAUAGUUUGUGAUCACUGUUGAAGACGGAAGCAUGAUACUAAUGAAUAUAUCAUUGAAACUCAAGGAAACUAACAUUAUGAAAAGUGUAAAUCUUGAUUUGAUGCAACUAUUUAUUCGUGGAAUCUAUAGUUACAAAACUCAAACUCUGACUGCGCCAUUGAUAAAUUAUUAAUGACGCUAUCAUCAUUAUUUAUCCCCAACUAGUUUCGACUACAACUGAACCCAAUAUUUUCCCCAUGAUAAAAGUUUUUUACUAUUUUACUGGCCUCUCUUCAAAUUUUAAAAAUUACACUAAUCUUCAUUGAGAUUAAUUAUCUUGUAGCAUUUAAGUCCAAUUAAUAAUUAAAAAAUAAUAUUAUGAGAGAGAAAAUAAUAUAAUUUUAUCAUUGCCCCCCAUCUUGCUAUAUUAUUUAAUUAAUUUAAUAGCAACCCACACAUUAAAGAAAAAUACUAAAAUUUGCUGCUUUUCAUUAAAGAUCAAAUUGCAUAUGCCAUAAAACAUAGUAUAUCAUUCUAUAUGUUUCACUUAAUGUAAGAUCCCAAUUGUUCUUUUCAAUUACAAACCCAUUGUCAAACAUGAUCAAUAACAAAUAACCAAAAAAUUUGCAACCAAAAUAUUACAAAAAAAAACUUUAACAUCAUAAAUAUUCUUACCACCUCUAGUGCAUUCACCCUCAUAAAAUAAUUCAAGACCCUACUGUCAUAAAAUGACUGAUCAACUCCUGUAAACCUAAUUUGACAACAUUUAAAUGGAGAACUUUAGCUAAAAGAAUUAUGGUCAAGCUAAAGAAAAAACCAGUUAUUUUCCAACAUAUGCAAUCAUUGAUCAGGGAAAAAAAAAAGAAGCAAAAAGACAUCUUCAAUCAUUUAAUAGCUUACAGGGCAAAUUAACCCCUAAGCGAAAACUGGUUGCUCUAGAAUCAAAAUUUUACUUUAGUUACCCAGGCAACUUUUUUUGUUGCCUUUUCUUUUUCUUUUUUGGGUAUAUAUAUAGCUCCAGUUUUGCCCCCUCUGUCAAGCUUAUAUAAUUAUUAAGAUAAUAAAAGUGCCUUUAAUAGUAUUAAUAUAUCCAUUGACUUGAGCUGUCAUCGAUCGGUUUGGGCUACUUCGAUUCCAUGAGAACAAAUGGUAAUAAAAGUACUCAGAAAAUGGGGAGUCAUGAAACCCUUUUGUUCUAUUCAUUGCUAAGAUGCUUUUCUCUAUAAAGACACUUCCUAACGAAAAUACUUUGUAGAUUUCUUUACUCCAAGUGGUGCAUGGAAAAUUAAUAUUUUCAAUUAUCAAAUAAAAUUCCCUUUUUUCGGUGUAGAUUUCAUCCAUUCAGCUGUUAACACUCCGAAUUGACUAAUCUUUUCGUUUCCAUUUUCCAACUUGCGAAUACGGCAUCUUACAUAUUGUCUGCUGAAUAUGAAUACAUAUCCCUUUUCUGAGCAGGUGCAGAGUCAUUAUCAUUUUUAUUCCCACCUAACAAAUUAGUUAAUAAUCUUUUAAAGAACAUGUUAAAUUAAUUUAUUGGUAUGAAUAGUAGUCAAAGAAGUAUGUUAAAGUUAGUAAUCUUUAAAAUAAUAUGUUAAAAUUAUUCGUACAAAUUAGCCAGAGAAGUAGCAUAAACACCGCGAUGCAAUUAAUACUUUCAAUCUCAAGGUCUCUAUUAUGGAAAUUUGCAUCGGUCAACAUACACAAAGCAUUAUUGUAUGCACGUCUCUCUAUUAUGGAAAUUUGCAUAGGUCAAUAUACACUUGGCAUAGUUGCAUGCACGUCCAAUUUUUUUUUAUUUUUAUUUUUGGUAUUUUACUUCCUGCCUUAAGUUGCCUGCAGAUGUUUGUAUUACAAAUAUAUGGUAUACUAAAUAUAUAGUAUGCACAUUAAUUUCUUUGGGUUGCUUAAGGGUAUAUUGUUAAUAAUAGGGGGUUUAACCAUAAAUUAUAACAAUGAUGAAGUAAUAUAUAUUAGAAAAUUAACACAAUUAUGAUUUUUUUUUUUGUAAAAUUCAAAUUUUAUUAAUAAGAAAUGAAAUAGGCAGUAAGCAUUUACAAACCGAAAACAAAAUCCUACAACAACUCUAGGACUCUACACCUUAUUAAAAAAAAACAUUUUGAUAGCGUUUUUCCAAAAGCAGAAGAUGGAAAAUUGCCCAUUUGUACUGGGGAGUUCGUGAUCUUUUCCUCAUUCUAGUCUACUUACAAUUCUUGGAAAAAGGAAUACUCACAUCUCAAACAACAGCCUGUUCAUCUGCAGUGUCCUGCCGAAUUCUAGAAAGUUUGGUGGCAAUGUUAAUUACAUUUCAAAAUUGACUGCUGCGAUAACUAAUUCGAUGGCUUACUACAUGGUCAACGUUUGGAUCUCUUCCUGUCCUUUUUGGAUGCACAUUUUUUUUCUCUAGGUAAUAUAUAAUCUCCCAACUCAUUUCUUUACAAAUGCACCUUUAAUCACCACCAAAAGGUGUGGACAUGAUCUUUACCCUAGAAAACUAUUCACCGACAGGCAAAUUGACGUCAGAAAUACUAAGAGGAAUUCUAGUUUCCUUCGGGUUAAUGCCAUUUUGUACCCUUCAACUGUAACUCAAUUUCUAAGCUGUAAUUUGUGACAUUAUAGUCCUUAAACUAUGAAACCCUUUCUUAUUUAAUUACAAUGGUUAAUACAAUGCCCGUGACUAGACAAGUAUGAAGCAACCAUAACAAAAAAAAAAUCCAAAAUUAGAGAAAAGAAAGAAGUUGCGACCAAAGUAUGUAUCAAGGCAUAGUAUAGAAAUAAAAGUGUCAAAAUUAAGAGUUUAGGGAUAAAAAAGAAUCAAAAUAUAGUUUAGGAAUUGAUUUGUCUCAAUUAGAGUUUAGAUGUCAACUAAGAAGAGAGAUAUAGUUGAAGGGUAGAAUAUAGAUAUAACAGUUCAAUGAUUGAUAUCAACGAGACAAUGACAACUUUGGAUUAUUACCAACCUCUUCUUGAUGGAAAAGGAAAUAGAGAAGAAAGUCGGGCCUGGUCUAAGCCUGUUUCGGAGGCAAAACAACAUUAUGAAAUCACCGGCAUUCACACAAAUAUGUCAAAGUCACCGGCAUGCUAAGUUGCAAAAUUUAUACAAACACUGAAUAUUAUAUUCUUCUCAAAAUUUUUGUUUAAGAUUUAACAAUUAGAGCACGGUACACGAAUUAGCAAUAUUAAAUAAUGAAUGUUCACGAUUGAUAAAGUUAUCAAAGUACAGUUUGAGGACAACCCAUUCCAACGUGUACAAGAUGUUUAGCCUUUGAAAAGUUAAUUAGAGAAGGUGACGAGAUUUUACUAGGCUUACAACUUCUAGGCCUUGGGAGUAAAAAGUGAAGACACUGAGUGCUAUAAAAAGGGGGCUAGAUGUUGCCUAGAAGCAUAUCAGCCUCGGACCACAUUUUGUAGCAAUGGGGAGCAAAGCAAAAGCAAUGGGGUCUAGGCUGACUCCUCUUUUUACCACCGUUUUAGUGGUAUUUGUUGCACUUGGCUUGCCUUCAGAAACUGCAGCUGAUUACGACAAGUAUUCACCUCCUCCUCCUCCUUACCAUUAUUACUCACCACCACCUCUUGUGCAUUCACCUCCACCACCGCCAGUUUAUAAGUCACCCCCACCACCUUAUCACUACUUCUCACCACCACCUCCAGUGUAUCCAUCUCCACCACCAUCUGUUUACAAGUCACCUCCACCACCUUCGCCAGUAUACAAGUCCCCACCACCACCUUAUCAAUAUUCCUCACCACCACCUCCAGUGCAUUCACCUCCACCACCACCGAUUUAUAAGUCACCUCCACCACCUCCUCCAGUUUACAAGUCCCCGCCACCACCUUACCAUUAUUCCGCACCAUCACCUCCAGUGCAUUCACCUCCACCACCACCGAUUUACAAGUCACCUCCACCACCUCCUCCAGUUUACAAGUCUCCAUCACCACCUUACCAUUAUUCCUCACCACCACCUCCAGUGCAUUCACCCCUACCACCACCGGUUUACAAGUCUCUGCCACCACCUUACCAUUAUUCCUCACCACCACCUCCUAUGCAUGCACCUCCACCACCAAUAUACAAGUCACCUCCACCACCUCCUCCAGUUUACAAGUCUCCACCACCACCUUACCAUUAUUCCUCACCACCACCUCCAGUGCAUUCACCCCUACCACCACCAGUUUACAAGUCUCCGCCACCACCUUACCAUUAUUCCUCACCACCACCUCCUGUGCAUGCACUGCCACCACCAAUUUACAAGUCACCUCCACCACCUCCUCCAGUUUACAAGUCCCCACCACCACCUUACCAUUAUUCCUCACCACUACCUCCAGUGCAUUCACCUCCACCACCACCGAUUUACAAGUCACCUUCACCACCUCCUCCAGUUUACAAGUCUUCACCACCACCUUACCAUUAUUCCUCACCACCACCACUCUUCAAUUUGGAUGUAAUUCAAUUUUCCUUGUAAUCGGUGGCCCUCCUUCGGAAUCCAAAUAGUCAUUGAGUGCAGCCUUCUUUCUUUAUUUUUUACUCAUUUUCACCUCAUAAAUUGCUUUCAUCCCCUAAAACUUGUUCGCUGGAAUUUUGAAUUUACCCAUACAACUAAACUCAGAAAAUUCUUACACAAAGGGAUUAGUAGCAUGAAUAGCAAACACAGAAUAAGAGAUAACAGUAUGUUUUAUUGUAUUAAAAAUAUUAAAGUGGAUUAUUUCUCCAUCGAAUUCCAUUGUGAGAGUAUCGUUACUAACAUCAAUCUUAGUUUGAGCAGUACUCAAGAAUGACCUUCCUAAUAUAAUGGGUGAUGGAUUUGGGACACUUUCAUCAUCCAUAUAAAACACAUAAAAAUCAACAGAAAAAAUUAAUCCAUCUACUUGAACUAAAAACAUCCUCAACUACCCCAUUUAGAUAAGCAAAUAUACGAUCAGCCAAUUGAAUUAUUAUCCCUAUUUCUUUUAAAUGUUCUAAAUUUAGGGAAUCAUAAAUUGAUUUAGACAUCACAUUAAUAGAAAUCUUUAAAUCUAUCAUGGCAUUUUUUAUAUUAGAAUGUCCAAUCUUACAUGAGAUAGUAAACAUACCUAGAUUCUCGCAUUUAGGUGGUAGUUUCCUUUGUAAAAUUGCUGAAACGUUCUCAUCUACCACAAUAUGCUUGUCCUCCUCAAUUUCUUCUUGUUGACACACAAGUUUUUCAAGCAUUUAACGUAUUUUGGAACUUAUUUGAUUUGCGUCCAACAAAGGGAUAUUGAUUGCCACCUUGCGAAAAUCUCUAAAAUCUCCUUUUCUUUAUCUUGUUUCUUUGAUUUCUCUAACCUGCUUGGAAAAGGUGGUGAGUUAGUUCCAACUCUAAUUAUAGAAUCAACAAUUACCUUUGGAUUCACAUUUCUCAUUCCUUCCUCCUCAAGCUCUUUGUCGAUUCGAUCUUCAUUUUUAUCCUUUGGAAUCACAACUUCGGAUCCCUGAAUUUUCUUCUCGCUCCUUAAGGUCAUUACACUUACAUUCUUCAGGUUCAGUUCAGGUUGAGACGACAAUUUUUCAUAGAUUUGGGAUUCCAGGCGGUUGAUUGCUAUUACCAUCUGACUCAUCUGACUCUGCAGUGCUUGCACCUGUCCCAAUUGAUUCCUCAUACUUUGCAAGUCAAAAUCCAUCUUUUGUUGAUUAGCAAUUAAUUGCUUCAUUAUCUCUUCUAUAGAUGGACUUGAGUUUGAAAGAGGUGGUGGCGGGCGAGACUGAUACUGUUAUUGAUACCCUUGCUAUCUAUUUGGUGCAAAAUCUGGCUACCUAUUUCCUCCAUAGCUGAGGUUGGGAUGAUCUCUCCAACCAAUAUUGUACGUAUUCGUGUACGAGUCGUAUGGUUUUCUUGGCACGGCGCGUGACCAGCCAUGUUCACUUGCUCCGUACUUUUCUCUUGAAUCAUUGAGCACAUCUCUGUAGAAUGACCCAUAGCAGUGCAGAUCCCACACAUCUUGACUCGUGAUGCAUUUCCUAUAGCUAAUUGCCUAACAAAGGAUGUUAAUUCGGUCAACUGCUGUUGGAUAGAAUAUGUUUCUACCUCAUUUACUUUGCGUGUUGGGGCAUCCUCCCUCGUACCAAACUGUUGCGAAUUUUCCGCCAUUCCUUCAACUAGCUCCCACGCUUCUCGAGAAGUCUUGUUCACCAAUGCCCUUCUACUUGCAGCAUCAAUUAUACUCCUGUCUCUAAAACGCAGCCCCUCGCAAAAAUAUUGGAUGAGCAAUUGCUCACUUAUUUGGUGUUGAGGGAACUUGAUGCAUAACUUCUUGAAUCGCUCCCAAUAAUCAUAAAGCGACUCUCCUGGAUGCUACUUGAUACCGUAUAUCUCCUUCCUUAGACUUGCAGCUCGAGAUGCAAGAAAAUAUUUGUCCAAGAACUUUUUCUUCAGCUGAUCCCACGUGGUGAUGCUACCUGGUGGUAGAUAGCACAGCCAGUCUUUUGCGGAGUCCUUCAAGGAGAAGGGAAAUGCCCUCAUUUUUAUCUAUUUUUCUGUAAUUCUCGGAGGUUUUAUGCUGUUGCAAACGACAUCAAACUCUUGCAAGUGCUUAUACGGUUCCUCACCUGGUAAACCAUAGAAAGAUGGCAAGAGAUGAAUUAGACCAGAUUUUAACUCAAAUGAAGUGUUAUCAUUUAAAAAUAGAAAAGUAACUGAGAUGCAGCACUGGAAUGUUCUUCUCGAAAUUGUCUGGUCUCUUUCUUUGUUCUACGCGUAGUCUUCUCUACCUUAGGAUCAAAAAUUAAUUUACCUGUACGAGAAGAACGAGGCAUACACUAGAAAAACACUAGAAAAUUAGAACAAAAAUGAACAUAAAAAGAAACAAAUAAACCAACGUCAGUCCCCAGCAACGGCGCUAAAAAUUGACAAGUUGUCGAUGCCUGUGCAAUAAUAAAAAUAAACCUAGUUACCAAUUAAAAUAAUCAGAGCCUAAUUCUGAGUACUAGAGCAGGGACUAUAGGUGUGCAAUGGGUUACUUGAUUCACCCUAUUCCUGAAGUUUGCUUAACCCGAUAUACCAGAAUGAGAUUGCUUAUUCAAAAGGAAUUAUUGAUUUGUAAACAGGGCAAGUAGGGUCGUAUCAUCAGGGAUUGAAAAAAUUUGUUUCUUUUCAAAUCCACAGUAACAAGGGGAUGUUUUUGUAUAAAUGAUAACAAUCUAAGGAGUGCAAAUAGAAAUAAAUAGAUAACUAGAAAUUAAAUGACAAUUCACUAAAAUUAGAGUAAUAAUAAUUAAAGGUCUAGCUAAGAAAUAACUUCAGCAAUGGUUCACCUAAUUGAUCAUCGACGCAAAGGCAAUUCCAAUUAUUUACUAAUAAAUAGGUUAUAACUGCAAAACAAGCAAUGACAGUCAACCCCUCCUUACUGUCGGUCGGUGAUUAAGGUACGCCCAAUCACUGCUCUAGUUGAGAAAUAAUUUUAGGGACGCUCGUAAGAUUUAAUUUUCCAAUUGCCUUACGUAUUAGAGGAGCCAUAAUCUAACCAAAUAACGCUACCAGGAUUAUUUUAAAUUAACCCGUGUAUUCCCUUGAUACAAAUUCAAUCAUGUCAGUUGUCACUAUUUCAAGGUAAUGAAACAAUUACGGAUUUAAUAUCCUAAUUGACAAUAGGUUACUAAAUCAAUUCACUAUUUCGAUCCAAGAUAAUCAAUCAAUUUAACAACUAAUAGCACUGCAAUCGGAGAAUAUGUAAAUACCAAUAAAUAAGAGGAAAAGAUAAAAUUAAAUCGAUCUCACAAUUUUUAAACAAAUCAAAGUAUCCGUUGUUUCUUGACUAGAAAAGAAAAUUUAGUUCAUUCCUAAUGUGAAAGACCCACGUGAGAAUUCAAAAAUAAUAUUCACGGAUAUUGUCUUGAUUCAAUAGAUUCAAUUGCGUUGGAAUAAGGAUAAAAAGCCAAACUAUAGAGAGUGAUUCAAUGUUUUGUUUCGUUUGCAUUUUUUCUACACAUAUGGAAGAAGAAAAACAACUAAAGGACGAAAAAAAAAAGUCAAAGAAAGGCACCCAAAGUAGUGCUUGGUCUCUACCAUCCUAUUUCCUAUCUAAUUACUACUUCCCUUCUGCGGCUGCCUAGAGGAAGAAAGAGAAAGCAGACUUCAGGUCUUGUUCCAUCUCCUCCCUUUUCGGCAAUUCCCCAAAAGUAGAAAAGUUCCUCCGUUUACCAAAAUGCCCCUGGAAUGAGGACUGCUACUUGAACUCAUUUUCUUGAUAACUGUCAAAUUAGCACUUGUUAUGGUAUUUGCGUCUACUUCCUGUAAUAAAUGUAAAUUGCCAAAAGUGAGUAAACUGAUAAUUAAUUUACAUCAGGUCAGGUAAUAGGAAAAAUUAAUUAUAAAAUAAAUGAUAAAAUUGCAACCUAUCACUUAGAAUAACCAGAAAUAAAACAAAACAAGAAAUGAAAGAAAUAAGAGGGUAGCAUAGACAUUUUGGAUUUUUCUGUUAAUUUGGAUGAUUUCCACCUACGGUCUAAUUUAAUCCAAAACACAAAUGGAUUAUGUGGAGAUUUUUAAACAAUGAGGGAGUAUCGUGACCGAAUCCCAAACCACAAAGGGGAUUUACUAUAUUUUACUCUUAAAUUUUGGUUUCAUCUCAUAGCAUACAAGAGUACUAUUUCACUGUCUGUCGACCAGGGAGGAGGGUUGGGUUGGGUGGUACGGGGGAGGGAGUCUAAGUAAGAGGUCUCAGGUUCGAAUCCUCCUGUUUAUACUAAAAAAAAAAAUUUACUAUCUGUCGACAAAGAUUUUCUAUGGUUGAUGUACCAUAGGAAAAAUCUGCCUAUACAAUUAUUUGGAAAAAUUAUCCAUCCAAACAUAGUCACGAUAGCAUUUUUUCAAAAACACUAGAUGCAAAAUUGUCCCCUUAAACGUGGAAAUUCAUGAUCUUUCCUCGACUAGUCUACUUGUCAAUUUUUGAAAAAAGAAUACUCACGCCAAAAACACGGCCUCUUCAUCUGCAGAAUUCUAAAAAGUUACGUAAACUCUAUAAACAAGUUGAUAGGUACAAUCGUACCCAAGAUCAAGUACAGAUAGUUGUACAUUCACUGCUGCAAUAACUAAUCUGAUGACUUACAAACACAUCAUGGUCAAUCGUUGAAUGGUAAUGAGUCUUUUGUUAUGCAUUAGUAUUAGUGUGUACACUCUAAUAGAUUGAUACUUAUACUCUUUAAAUUAUCAUAAUAAUACCCUUAAUUAACUUUAACCCUUAAAAAGAAUACGUGUUAAUACACGAGAGUGUGUAACCUGAAUUGUUACUUAUACAUUAGUGUGUAAUAGAACGGCAAGCAUUAUGGUGGUCAUUGAGCAACUUAUAGGAGAAAUAGUCCUAUAAGCUGUUCAAUGACCAAUCACAACUUGCUAAUUGGAUGACUAAUAUAGCUCUAGCUGUAAUGUUUUAAUUAAAUUCCACACUAACGUUGGGAUGACUUUUUAAUCAAAAAAAAAAAAGCCUUAGUUCAAGCUUUUCCCCUUAUUGUGCAUUUUUUAAAACAUUUGAUAGGCACUGCAAAUCUGUCAUUUUGGACAUUUUAUUAUUAACUAACAAUGAAAGCCGUGGACAUCAACCCAUAUCCAACAAAAUAUUAAAUUAAUAUUAGAAAAAUUAUUAAGUAAUUGGAAAAAAAAAAGAAGAGGCUAAUUUUCAUUGAAACCCACCGACAAACUAUCCGUGUCCAUAGCUUUUGAAUAGUGCAUUCAACGUUUAAUUGUAUGGUCCAGUUCAUUGCCGAUUACAUGGAGUAAAGAUUGUGCUCUUUCCUUUUUCACCCCUUUUGGAAUCGAUACUGUGGAGAAUUGGGUUUUUCCCUCCUUUUUUUCUUUUCUUUCCUUCUGUGCUUUGCAAAACAUACGUAAAAAUAUGAAAUCCGAAGCAUUCUUUAAUUGGGAUUAAGUAUUGUUGUUGAAAUUAAAAAGAAGAAAGAAAGAACAACAAAAAUCCCAAUCUGGGUUGAUUGUUGAGCUCUAGAUUGGCUGCAUCGUGCUUCCAUAGAAGUUCUCUUAGUGUGAUACGCUGCUUUCAAUCAGUUUUAAUAUUUAAGUAGAGUGCAAAAUAACUUUACUAUUUAAUGGGUUAUAAUGCACCAUUUGGUACCUCUCACCCACCUAUGAUUUGAUUUACUACUGGCAUGGUAAUGGACAGAGUUGGGGGAGCAGGAGGAGGGAGAUGGCGGUACCAGUCCGUCAACCACAGCACACCCUCCCUCGGACUUUGCGUGGUAGCGAAGUGGAGGCAGAUCGAGCACACAUGCACUAACGCCUUAAGUAUGUACAAUAUAUGUAUGCCAAAAGCAUAGCCAAGCCUACCAGCGCAUUUCAAUAAUAUAACCCGGAAAUUAAGGGCAUUGAAUUAAGUACGAUGAAUCAUAUUGGUGCACAAUUACAGUUUGAAGCUACCGAUUCGAGUAAAUUUAAGCGUAAGCACAAUCAAUCGCCAGUCAAAUGCUGAAAUAUGCAUAUGCAUGGAUGAAUGUAUGGGUUUCUUAGUUCCAGACCAAAGGCCAACAAUAAGGGAAGGAAGGACAGUUCUCAUUUUUAGCACGGACAAGGAGAUGAAGAAAAGUGUAUGUAGCUUGAGACAGAACAAUGGCAUGUGACCGCUCCUGAGACCACAUAACGUGGGGUGGGGAUGGGACGGCCAAGAAUGAAGAUGCCUGUCGGUCUCUCCGUGCUGCUACCAUAUGAAUCCCCCGUUAACCAAUUCAAGAUAAGCCUGAAGUUCUUUUCAUCCCCAAACCCUGUCCCAUCUGUGUAAAUCCAACAUCAUCAUUUACGACCUGCAACUCAGGUUAAGCAUGUUCUAUUGAGAUUCAGACACCACCCUUCAAAAGAUAUACUACUGUGAAACCAGCAGCUUAAUAUCAUUGUAUAAAAAAAAAAAAAAAAGAAAGAAGAAAAGACAUGAAAAGCAAAUUUUGUGGGGAUAAUUUCAAAAUCUCUCCUAAAGUUUUUUACUAUUUUACUGGCCUCCUUUCAAAUUUUAAAAAUUACACCAGUCUUCCUUGAGAUUAUUUAUCUUGUAACAUUGAGGUCCAAUCAAUAAUUAAAAAAUGAUAUUAUGAGAGAGAAAAAAAAUAAACUUUAACAUCAUAAAUAUUCUUAUCAACAUAUUAAAGUUAGUUACUGAAAUUUUUAUGGUGUUAAACUUCACUCUUUGUAAUAUUUUAGUUACAGAUUUUUUGAUUACUUGUUGUUGAUUUUUUUUUUUUUAGUGUAAACAGGAGGACUCGAACCUAAGACCUCUCACUUACACUCCCUCCCCCCGUACCACCCCAACCCAACCCAACCCUCCCCUCGUUGUUGAUCAUGUUUGACAAUGGAUUUGUAAUUGAAAAGAACAAUUUGGAUCUUACAUUGAGUGAAAUAUAUAGAAUGAUAUACUAUUUUUUAUGGCAUAUGUGAUUCAAUCCUUGAUGAUAAAAGCAAAUUCAAGUGUUUUCUUUAAUGUUUGUGCUGAUAUUAGAUUAAUUAAAUAAUUUAGUAGAUGAAGGAAAAUGGUGAAAUCAUAUUAUCUUCUCUUUCCUAAUAUCACUAUUUAAUUAUUGAUUGAACUUAGAUAUUACAAAUAAUAAAUCUCAAGGGAGAUUAGUAUAAUUUUCAAAUUUUGGAGAGAAGCUAAUGAAAUAGUCAAAAACCUUAAGGGAGGUUUACAAAAUUAUCCCAAAUUUGUGGGAAUUAGAAUAAUUGUACUGGACGGCACUGCCGCAACAGAGGGAAAGAGGAGGAGGUGCAGUUAACUUUUUGUUGUUUGAAAUCCUUGGUGAAAUAUUACAGAAAGACAGAUAAAACAGUUAGUACAUAGAUGUAUAUGACAGGGAAAAUGGUACGUCUGUUAAUCACAUUUGAAACACUUUCAUUGGUGAAUGACGAAAACUAUCAGGCUUGCCCAAUAGUUGAUCAUUGACCAAGACAAAUCUUGCCAUGCUAGAGGUACCAUCUUUUCGUACCUCUUUAGUGCACAGGACAUUCCUUUGUUUCAUCUAGCUAAUAAUCUACCAACUCAUUUCUUUGCAAAUGCACCUUUUAUGGUCACGUCUACGAAAGCUUUACAGGAUCUUUACCCAAAAAAUCAAUUCACCGACUCGCAUUUGAUGUCAAAAUUUCUUUACUUUACUCCAAGAUUGACUGUUAAUAAUAAUGCCACUUUGAAUUAUCACACCAUCCUUCUUGAUAGGAUUUGUGCUAGAGGUAGGGAGGGAGUCGCUGCAGCCGGUCUUCUCUUCAUAGACAGUACAAUAUUGCGAAAUCGAUCGCAUUCACGCAAUAUUAUAUUUCCAAGUCGUUGCAUGGGUAAGCUGCCAAAAAGUACGAACACAUGUUAUUAUAUAGCUUAAGAUUCAAAACUUUCGAGCAUAACCCUCCACCUAACACAAUUGAAUAAUGGAUAUUCACGAUUGUCAAAUCUGUCAAAGUACAGUUUGAGGACAACCCAUUCCAACCUGCAAAAGGUUUUUUUACUUUUCUAAAGUUGUUGAGAGCUGUUAAAAGAUUUACCAUGCUUACAUCUUCCGAGCCUUGGGAGUUAAAAAUGAAGGCACUGAGUGCUAUAAAAAGGGAAUAGAGGCUGCCUAGAAGCAUACCAGCCUAAAACAAGGAUUUGUAGUUAUGAUGGGAAGCAAAGCAAAAGCAAUGGGGUCUGGGCUGACUCCUCUUCUUGCCACUGUUUUAGUGGUGUUUGUUGCUCUUGGCUUGCCCUCAGAAACUGCAGCUGAUGAUCACUACAAGUAUUCAUCUCCUCCUCCUCCUUACACUAUCCCUCACCACCACCUCCAGUGCAUAUACCUCCACCUCAUCCUGUUUACAAGUACAAAUCUCCACCACCCCCACCACCACACCCAGUUUACAAGUAUAAGUCACCACCACCACCUCCUCAUCCGGUACCACACCCAGUUCCUCAUCCGGUGCCACACCCAGUUCCUCAUCCGGUGCCACACCCAGUUUACAAGUAUAAGUCACCACCACCACCUCCUCAUCCGGUACCACACCCAGUUCCUCAUCCGGUACCCACACCCAGUUUACAAGUAUAAGUCACACCACCACCUCCUCAUCCGGUACCACACCCAGUUUACAAGUAUAAGUCACCACCACCACCUCCUCAUCCGGUAUACAAGUAUAAGUCUCUCCGCCACCAACACCCAGUUUACAAGUAUAAGUCACCACCACCACCUCCUCAUCCGGUGCCACACCCAGUUUACCACUACAAGUCACCACCACCACCUCCUCAUCCGGUACCACACCAGUUUACCAUACAAGUCACCACCAAUCCUCACCCAGUUUACAAAUACGAGUCUCCACCACCUCCAGUUUAUAAGUACAAGUCACCACCACCUCCUCCACCAGUUUACAAGUAUAAAUCUCCUCCACCACCACCACCAGUUUACCACUACAAGUCUCCACCACCUCCUCCCCCAGUUUACAAAUACAAGUCUCCACCACCUCCUCACCACUACUAAGCAAUUGCUUCUGAGGUAAUAACACUUGUUCAAUAUACCCACUUCUGCAUGAUAAAGCAUAUCUCUAUCAACACAAACUGUCAUGUCUAUCAUGCUAAGUGCCUUCACUUCAUCCACCAAAAUGACUGCUAGAAAAUUUUUUUUAUGUUACCAAAGAAAGGCAUCAUUUUUUCCCUCUGUUAUCAAGAACUUGUACAGUAUAUAGAUUAAAGAGUUUUUAUUUUAACUAGCUUAUCAACUUAGAAAUGCAUAUAGCUGAUAACCAGCUGAAUAUUUGCAGGCAAAGGAGAAGGAAACCAUGUUUGAGACCUUCUUGAAGAUGUAGAAGCAUAAGAAUAAAAGCCCAAUGUGAAGAUGAUGAUUUCAAGUUUUUCUACGUUACCAUUUCUUUAUCUAAAUUGGUUGUAGCGCCCAAGUUCCUUUGUUUAUGGGAUUUGUAUCGUUUUACGUACCAUGCAGUACAUGUCAUGUUUGUAAGGUUUUCUAUCCUGCCGGCAAACCGCAGGUUCCAUGUGAUAAAUGAAUACUAUUUAUGUUACGACA
rnacentral:lncRNA from 1 species